GACGCCCUGUCCUUCGCGGAAGUGGGCUGGUGCUUUAACUAGGGGAGGCUACUAGUGGCGGCCUUGCCGUGCCUCCCCCUUGGUAUAUAUAUGAUAUAUGACUUUGCUCAUAAGACAAUGGGAGUUGACUAGGUAGUAUCUAACCUGUCAUACUGACUUCUGUUGAUAGAAGAGAGUGGGGAUGAGAUGCUGCUUAGGAUGCUUUAUCCGCGAAUAAUCUUGAAGUUUGUGGACGCUUGUUUUUUCUUUUCUUUUAACUCAAAUGGAACUCUAGUAGAGGUGUGCUUUGUGAGUAGAUGUUGAAAGUGUGGAUUGUGUGUGUUUGGUGCCUGGGUAUUGAUAAUCAAGAACAAGUUACAUAUGGAACUUGAAUCGCAUCUGAAGAUGGAAAUAGCAGCCGGAAUGAUUAUUAUUUUUGCCUUUUGAGGGUUGCAACUGAGUUUUCUCUUUUCUCCGAGACCCAGUUUUGCUGUUGAAUUGACAAUUCUUACAAAGAAAUUGUAGGUGUUAAAUUUCACAAAAUCCACCUUUAGGUAUCUUGUGAUGUAAAGCUGUAGAAAUAGCCCUAGGCCUCCUUUUUUUAUUUAAAGGAAUUGUUUGUAGAAAUGAAUUCCUAUUCUUAUCUAAGAUAGGAAUCAGUUCUUUACAUUUCGAAGUAAAAGUAAAUAUUAGCGUAGACUCAAUGAAAAAAUUCUUAAGCAAAAUCAUAUGUUGCACUUAGAUGAGCUCAGGAGCCGAAAUCAAAAUAAUGGUCAAAAUCAUAUGUUGCACUUAAGAUGAGGGAGCCGAAAUGGAUAUUCGCCAAAGGAGGCCCUAGACUGAAUGUGAAUGUGUUACUUACAAUGUUUUUGUCGAGUCCAAGGUUAAGCAGAAAUAAGAGAAAAGGAUGGGUCGACAUGUAUAUUUUGUAUAAAUCUGCUUCACAGACGGAUCGGGCACCAAUAUUUUCAAAAGAAAAAGAAAUUGUUGAUGCACAUUGUCUAACGGAGUUUGGGAAUUGUGUAAUCCUAGGAGUUUUAUUGAAACACUGUGAUGCUAAACAUCAUUCACACCGGCAAUAAACACAAUACUUCAAACCGAACACAUGGGACACCUCUUCGAAAACCUUCGAAGACUUUGGAUUUGUCAGAGAUCAUUAGGACAAAGCAGCAAAAUUUGUCAAAGAUGACAAUAAAGUAUUGAGACUGAUAUUAGGUUGAAUCCAAGAGAUUCGACAAACAUCACUUUAUUUAUGUGUUGAUCCUUUGAGAUUGUAACCCUACGACCUAAUACCUUACUUUUCCCUUUAUCAGCAAAUGUGAUGUGAUUUUGUGUAGGAGGACGUAGAGUUGAGUACAUAAGUAAGCUUCGAUCACCAGUCAUAUGGUUAGUAUAGCCACUGUUUAGGAUCCACUCAGUAACUUUAAGAAAUAUAUUCUACAUUACAGUUAGUGGGAUAGGUUUCACCAAGACAAUUUGAGUGACAAACAUAAUACGAGAAACACUUUCAAGUAAAGUAGGUUUCUUGGAGGAUAUAACAGCGUGAGCAUCAAGAAAUCCAGGGACGAAAUAAAUGGUAAGACUAUUUAUACACUUUAUCUUGCGUCCGACAAGAUGUUUCAGGUCUUCAACAUUGUCUUUAGAUUCCAAUGCAUUUCACCUGGAAACCCGACCCCGCAUGAAAAGAUUUGUUCUUAACCACCCACAUAUGUAAGGGUGGCUUAGAAACAAUGAGUCUAAGUGCAACAUAUAACAUUUUUGGCUUUGAAGCCCUAGCAAAUAGAUUCACGGGGGGCUAGAAUACUCAAAUGAAUAUGUACAAAAAAGUACGAUUUGUGAGCAUAGUUGAUACGUCUCCAACGUAUUUAUAAUUUUUAAGUGUCUCAUGCUAUUAUAUUAUCAAUUUGGAUGCUUUAUAUGCAAUUUUAUAUCAUUUUUAGAACUAACCUAUUAACCUAGUGUCUAGUGCUAGUUCCCGUUUUGCCUAUUUUAUUGCUUCACAGAAAAAACAGUAUCAAACGAAGUCCAAACGUGAUGAAACUUUGCGGUGAUUUUUUUGGACCACAAAGGACCCUGGAAGCAUCAGGAGGAGGCCAGAAGAUGUACAACCGGGCCACAAGCUCACACGACGCGCACCCAGGGGGCACCACCUAAGCUUGUGGGCCCCUUGUAACUCCGUUUUCCUUAAUUCUACUUCUAUAAAUUCUAUAAAUUUCCUAAAAUCCGAAAACCACCAGAGCGAGACCUGAAACAAUUAUUCUGCCACUGCAAGCCUCUGUUCUUCCGUGAUCCCAUCUAAAGGCCUUCGCCGGUACCUUUGCCGGAGGGGGAAUCGAUCACGGAGGGUUUCUACAUCAACCUUGCUGCACCUCCGAUCAUAUGUGAUCAUUUCACCAAAGACCUACGUGUCUAUAGUGAUUAGCUACAUCUCUCUCUCUCUCUCUCUCUCUCUCUCUCUCUCUCUCUGAUAUUCAAUACAAUGUUCGCCUCAGAGUUCUAUUCGAUGUAAUCUUCUUUUACGGUGUGUUUGUUGGGAUCCGAUGAAUUGUGGGUUUAUGAUCAGAUUAUUGAUUGAAAGUAACUGAGUCUUUUCUGAAUUUUAUUAUGUGUGAUUGUUAUAGCUAUGUAAUUCUUUUCGAUCUAUGAGUUUUCUUUGGCCAAGUUGAUGAGUAGAUCUUUAGUGGAAGUGGUGCAUAGUAGUAGGUUCAAUCUUGUGGUGUCCUCACCUCGUGAUAGAAGGGAUAAUGAGGCACUUAUUUGUAUUGUUACUACUAAGGGGAAAACGACUGGGUUCAAUCACAUUGCUUGAUUUUAUUCUGACUACAUUAUGUCAUCAUACUUCAUGCAUUAUUUUGUUUGUUAUGAACUUAAUACCUAGAGAGGCAAGUAUAAAAGCUCUCUCAAAGUGGAAGUGGAGUAAUAGUAGUAGAUGCAGGCAGUAGUGAGUCUACUUGUCACGGACGUAAUGACUUUGUACUGAUUAUGCAAUGAAUAAGCCAUAACUAUGCACUUUUGUAUCAAUUGCCCAACAGUAAUUUGUCUACCCACCAUAUGCUAUGUUCUUGAUAGAGAUGCCUCUAAUGAAAACUAUGGCCUUCGGGUCUAUUCAACAUAUUUACUAAAACCUUAAAAUACCUUGCUAUAAUUUAUUUACUUUUAUUUUACUUUGCAAUUUAUUUACUUAAAAUACCUUGCUAUAAUCUACUACUAUCAGAUUUAAUCCUUGCAAUUAACGAGUAGAAGGGGAUUGACAACCCUCUUGCCCGUGUUGGGUGCAAGUAUUUACUCUUGUUUGUGUAGGUACUGUCAACAGUUGUUUAUGAACAUCCUGAAGUUAUUAAUGUUAUUAAUAUUAUUAAAAAUAAAAAGGUAUAAAAAUACUUUUUUUCAUGAAUAAAAAUUACAUGCAAAUGUAGGUGAUGUUUUCUGAACAUCCUGAUAUCUUUUUUGCAUUUUUUUGAGUUCAUAUCAACUUGUUAUGCAUGUUCAAACGACUUUGACCAUUAUUUUGAAACUUCAUAACAAGUUGAUAUGAACUCAAAAAAAUGCAAAUAAGAUAUCAGGAUGUUCACAAAACGUCAUCGACAUUUGCAUGUAAUUUUAUUCCUGAAAAAAUAUUGUUUAUGUUGGGGAACGUAGUAAUUUUAAAAAAAAAUUCCUACGCACACGCAAGAUCAUGGUGAUGCAUAGCAACGAGAUGGGAGAGUGUGAUCUACGUACCCUUGUAGACCGACAGCGGAAGCGUUAUGACAACGCGGUUGAUGUAGUCGUACGUCUUCACGGCCCGACCGAUCAAGCACCGAAACUACGACACCUCCGAGUUUUAGCACACGUUCAGCUCGAUGAUGAUCCCCGGACUCCGAUCCAGUAAAGUGUCGGGGAAGAGUUCCGUCAGCACGAUGGCGUGGUGACGAUCUUGAUGUUCUACCGUCACAGGGCUUCGCCUAAGCACUGCUACAAUAUUAUCGAGGAUUAUGAUGGAAGGGGGCACCACACACGGCUAAGAAUAUGAUCACGUGGAUCAACUUGUGUGUCUAGAGGUGCCCCCCUGCCCCCGUAUAUAAAGGAGCAAGGGGGAGGAGGCCGGCCCUAGGAGGGGUGCGCCAGGGAGUAGGAUUCCUACUCCUAGUUGGAGUAGGUUUCCUCCUUUCCUAGUCCAACUAGGAGAAGGGGGGAAAGGGGGGAAGAGGGGAAGGAAGGGAGAGAGGGGCCGCGCCCCAAACCCCUUGUCCAAUUCGGACUGGGCUUGGGAGGGGCGCGCGCCACCUCCUGGUCCUUCCCACUAAGGCCCAUUAAGGCCCAUUGCUUCUUCCUCGUAUUUCCGUAACUCCCUGGUACCUCCAAAAAUACCCGAAUCACCCGGAACCUUUCGAUGUCCGAAUAUAGUCGUCCAAUAUAUCGAUCUUUACGUCUCGACCAUUUCGAGACUCCUCGUUAUGUCCCCGAUCUCAUCCGGGACUCCGAACUCCUUUGGUACAUCAAAACUCAUAAUAUAACUGUCAUCGAAACCUUAAGCGUGCGGACCCUACGGGUUCGAGAACAAUGUAGACAUGACCGAGACACGUCUCCGGUCAAUAACCAAUAGCGGAACCUGGAUGCUCAUAUUGGCUCCCACAUAUUCUAUGAAGAUCUUUAUUGGUCAGACCGCAUAACAAUAUACGUUGUUCCCUUUGUCAUCGGUAUGUUACUUGCCCGAGAUUCGAUCGUCGGUAUCUCAAUACCUAGUUCAAUCUCGUUACCGGCAAGUCUCUUUACUCGUUUCGUAAUACAUCAUCUUGCAACUAACUCAUUAGUUGCAAUGCUUGCAAGGCUUAUGUGAUGUGCAUUACCGAGAGGGCCCAGAGAUACCUCUCCGACAAUCGGAGUGACAAAUUCUAAUCUCGAAAUAUGCCAACCCAACAUGUACCUUUGGAGACACCUGUAGAGCUCCUUUAUAAUCACCCAGUUACAUUGUGACGUUUAGUAGCACACAAAGUGUUCCUCCGGCAAACGGGAGUUGCAUAAUCUCAUAGUCAUAGGAACAUGUAUAAGUCAUGAAGAAAGCAAUAGCAACAUACUAAACGAUCGGGUGCUAAGCUAAUGGAAUGGGUCAUGUCAAUUACAUCAUUCUCCUAAUGAUGUGAUCCCGUUAAUCAAAUGACAACACAUGUCUAUGGUUAGGAAACAUAACCAUCUUCGAUUAACGAGCUAGUCAAGUAGAGGCAUACUAGUGACACUUUGUUUGUCUAUGUAUUCACACAUGUAUUAUGUUUCCGGUUAAUACAAUUCUAGAAUGAAUAAUAAACAUUUAUCAUGAAAUAAGGAAAUAAAUAAUAACUUUAUUAUUGCCUCUAGGGCAUAUUUCCUUCAGUCUCCCACUUGCACUAGAGUCAAUAAUCUAGAUCACAUCGCCAUGUGAUUCAACACUAAUAGUUCACAUUACCAUGUGAUUAACACCCAUAGUUCACAUUGGCAUGUGACCAACACUCAAAGGGUUUACUAGAGUCAGUAAUCUAGUUCACAUCUGUAUGUGAUUAAUACCCAAAGAGUACUAAGGUGUGAUCAUGUUUUGCUUGUGAGAGAAGCUUAGUCAACGAGUCUGCCAAAAUUCAGAUCCGUAUGUAUUUUGCAAAUUUCUAUGUCUACAAUGCUCUGCACGGAGCUACUUUAGCUAAUUGCUCCACUUUCAAUAUGUAUCCAGAUGAAGACUUAGAGUCAUCCGGAUCAGUGCCAAAAACUUGUAUUGACGUAAUCUUUUUACGACGAACCUUUUGUCACCUCCAUAAUCGAGAAACAUAUCCUUAUUCCACUAAGGAUAAUUUUGACCGAUGUCCAGUGAUCUACUCCUAGAUCACUAUUGUACUCCCUUGCCAAAAUCAGUGUAGGGUAUACAAUAGAUCUGGUACAUAGCAUGGCAUACUUUAUAGAACCUAUGGCUGAGGCAUAGGGAAUGACUUUCAUUCUCUUUCUAUCUUCUGUCGUGGUCGGGCUUUGAGUCUUACUCAAUUUCACACCUUGUAACACAGGCAAGAAAUCUUUCUUUGACUGUUCCAUUUUGAACUACUUCAAAAUCUUGUCAAGGUAUGUACUCAUUGAAAAAAACUUAUCAAGCGUCUUGAUCUAUCUCUAUAGAUCUUGAUGCUCAAUAUGUAAGCAGCUUCACCGAGGUCUUUCUUUAAAAAACUCCUUUCAAACACUUUUUUAUGCUUUAUAGAAUAAUUCUACAUUAUUUCCGAUCAAUAAUAUGUCAUUCACUUAUACUUGUCAGAAAUGUUGUAGUGCUCCCACUCACUUUCUUGUAAAUACAGGCUUCACCGCAAGUCUGUAUAAAACUAUAUGCUUUGAUCAACUUAUCAAAGCGUAUAUUCCAACUCCGAGAUGCUUGCACCAGUCCAUAGAUGAAUCGCUGGAGCUUGCAUAUUUAGUUAACACCUUUAGGAUCGACAAAACCUUCUAGUUGCAUCGUAUACAACUCUUCUUUAAUAAAUCCAUUAAGGAAUUCAGUUUUGUCUAUCCAUUUGCCAGAUUUCAUAAAAUGCGGCAAUUGCUAACAUGAUUCAGACAGACUUAAGCAUAGAUAUGAGUGAGAAACUCUCAUCGUAGUCAACACCUUGAACUUGUCAAAAACCUUUUGCGACAAUUCUAGCUUUGUAGAUAGUAACACUACUAUCAGCGUCCGUCUUCCUCUUGAAGAUCCAUUUAUUUUCUAUGGCUUGCCGAUCAUCGGGCAAAUCCAUCAAAGUCCAUACUUUGUUCUAAUACAUGGAUCAUAUCUCAGAUUUCAUGGCCUCAAACCAUUUCGCGGAAUCUGGGCUCAUCAUCGCUUCCUCAUAGUUCGCAAGUUCGUCAUGGUCUAGUAACAAGACUUCCAGAACAGGAUUACCGUACCACUCCGGUGCGGAUCUCACUCUGGUUUACCUAUGAGAUUCGGUAGUAACUUGAUCUGAAGUUACAUGAUCAUCAUCAUUAGCUUCCUUACUAAUUGGUGUAGUAGUCACAAGAACAAAUUUCUAUGAUGAACUACUUUCCAAUAAGGGAGCAGGUAUAGUUACCUCAUCAAGUUCUACUUUCCUCCCACUCACUUCUUUCGAGAGAAAUUCCUUCUCUAGAAAGGAUCCAUUCAAAGCAACGAAUAUCUUGCCUUUGGAUCUGUGAUAGAAGGUGUACCCAACAUUUUCUUUUUUGGUAUCCUAUGAAGACACACUUCUCCGAUUUGGGUUUGAGCUUAUCAGGUUGAAACUUUUUUUACAUAAGCAUUGCAACUUCAAACUUUAAGAAACGACAACUUAGGUUUCUUGCCAAACCAUAGUUCAUACGGUGUCGUUUCAACGGAUUUAGAUGGUGCCCUAUUUAAUGUGAAUGCAGCUGUCUCUAAUGCAUAACCCCAAAACGAUAGUGGUAGAUCGGUAAGAGACAUCAUAAAUCGCACCAUAUCUAAUAAAGUACGGUUAUGACGUUCGCACACACCAUUACAUUGUGGUGUUCCAGGUGUCGUGAGUAGUAAAACUAUUUCACAUUGUUUUUAACUGAAGGCCAAAAUUGUAACUCAAAUACUCUUCUCUACGAUCAGAUCGUAGAAACUUUAUUUUCUUGUUACGAUGAUUUUUCACUUCACUCUGAAAUUCUUUGAACUUUUCAAAUGUUUCAGACUUAUGUUUCAUCAAGUAGAUAUACUCAUAUCUGCUCAAAUCAUCUGUGAAGAUCAGAAAAUAAUGAUACCUGUCGUGAGCCUCAAUAUUCAUCGGACCACAUACAUCAGUAUGUAUGAUUUCCAACAAAUCUGUUGCUCGCUCCAUUGUUCCGAAGAACAGAGUCUUAGUCAUCUUGCCCAUGAGGCAUGGUUCACAAGCAUCAACUGAUUCAUAAUCAAGUGAUUCCAAAAACCCAUCAGCAUGGAGUUUCUUCAUGCGCUUUACACCAAUAUGACCUAAACGGGAGUGCCACAAAUAAGUUGCACUAUCAUUAUUAACUUUGCAUCUUUUGGUUUCAAUAUUAUGAUUAUGUGUAUCACUACGAUCGAAAUCCAACGAACUAUUUUCAUUGGGUGUGUAACCAUAUGAGGUUUUAUUCAUGUAAACAGAACAACAAUUUAUUCUCUUACUUAAAUGAAUAAUCGUAUUACAAUAAACAUUAUCAAAUCAUAUUCAUGCUCAACGCAAACACCAAAUAACACUUAUUUAGGUUCAACACUAAUCCCGAAAUUAUAGGAAGUGUGCGAUGAUGAUCAUAUCAAUCUUGGAACCACUUCCAACACACGUCGUCACUUCACCCUUAACUAGUCUCUGUUUAUUCUGCAACUCCCGUUUCGAGUUACUAAUCUUAGCAACUGAACUAGUAUCAAAUAUCGAGGGGUUGCUAUAAACACUAGUAAAGUACACAUCAAUAACAUGUAUAUCAAAUAUACUUAUGUUCAUUUUGCCAUCCUUCUUAUCUGCCAAUCACUUGGGGUAGUUCCGCUUCCAGUGACCAGUCCCUUUGCAGUAGAAGCACUUAGUCCCAGGCUUAGGACCAGACUUGGGCUUCUUCACUUGCGCAGCAACUUGCUUGCUGUUCUUCUUAAAGUUCCCCUUCUUCCCUCUGCCCUUUUCUUGAAACUAGUUGUUUUGUCUACCAUCAACAGUUGAUGUUUUUCUUGAUUUCUACCUUCGUCAAUUUCAGCAUUACGAAGAGCUUGGGAAUCGUUUCCGUUAUCCCUUGCAUAUCAUAGUUCAUCACGAAGUUCUACUAACUUGGUGAUGGUGACUAGAGAAUUCUGUUAAUCACUAUUUUAUCUGGAAGAUUAACUCCCACUUGAUUCAAGCAAUUGUAGUACCCAGACAAUCUGAGCACAUGCUCACUAGUUGAGCGAUUCUCCUCCAUCUUUUAGCUAUAGAACUUGUUGGAAACUUCAUAUCUCUCAACUCGGCUAUUUUCUUGAAAUAUUAACUUCAACUCCUGGAACAUCUCAUAUGUUCCAUGAUGUUCAAAAUGUCUUUGAAGUCCCGAUUCUAAGCCGUUAAGCAUGUUGCACUAAACUAUCAAGUAGUCAUCAUAUUGAGCUAGCCAAAUGUUCAUAAUGUCUGCAUCUGCUACUGCAAUAGGUAUGUCAUCUAGCAGUGCAUCAAGGACAUAAUUCUUCUGUGCAGCAAUGAGGAUAAACCUCAGAUCACGGAUCCAAUCCGCAUCAUUGCUACUAACAUUUUUCAACACAAUUUUCUCUGGGAACAUAUCAAAAUAAACACAGGGAAGCAACAACGCGAGCUAUUGAUCUACAACAUAAUUUGCAAAAUACUAGCAGGACUAAGUUCAUGACAAAUUUAAAGUUCAAUUAAUCAUAUUACUAAAGAACUCCCACUUAGAUAGACAUCCCUCUAAUCCUCUAAGUGAUUACGUGAUCCAAAUCAACUAAACCAUGUCCGAUCAUCACGUGAGAUGGAGUAGUUUCAUUGGUGAACAUCACUAUAUUGAUCAUAUCUACUAUAUGAUUCACGCUCGACCUUUUGGUCUCCGUGUUCCGAGGCCAUAUCUAUAUAUGCUUGGCUCAUCAAGUAUAACCUGAGUAUUCCGUGUGUGCAACUGUUUUGCACCCGUUGUAUUUGAACGUAGAGCCUAUCACACCCGAUCAUCACGUGGUGUCUCAGCACGAAGAACUUUCGCAACGGUGCAUACUCAGGGAGAACACUUCUUGAUAAUUAGUGAGAGAUCAUCUUAAAAUGCUACCGUCAAUCAAAGCAAGAUAAGAUGCAUAAAAGAUAAACAUCACAUGCAAUCAAUAUAAGUGAUAUGAUAUGGCCAUCAUCAUCUUGUGCUUGUGAUCUCCAUCUUCGAAGCACCGUCGUGAUCACCAUCGUCACCGGUGCGACACCUUGAUCACCAUCAUAGCAUCGUUGUCGUCUCGCCAAUCUUAUGCUUGCACGACUAUCGCUACCGCUUAGUGAUAAAGUAAAGCAUUACAGCGCAAUUGCAUUGCAUACAAUAAAGCGACAACCAUAUGGCUCCUUCCAGUUGCCGAUAACUUGGUUAAAAAACAUGAUCAUCUCAUACAAUAAAAUUUUAGCAUCAUGUCUUGACCAUAUCACAUCACAACAUGCCCUGCAAAAACAAGUUAGACGUCCUCUACUUUGUUGUUGCAAGUUUUACGUGGCUGCUACGGGCUUAAGCAAGAACCAAUCUUACCUACACAUCAAAACCACAAGGAUAGUUUGUUAAGUUGGUGUUGUUUUAACCUUCGCAAGGACCGGGCAUAGCCACACUCGGUUCAACUAAAGUUGGAGAAACUGUCACCUGCUAGCCACCUUUGUGCAAAGCACGUCGGGAGAACCGGUCUCGCGUAAGCGUAUGCGUAAUGUCGGUCCGGGCCGCUUCAUCCAACAAUACCGCCGAACCAAAGUAUGACAUGCUGGCAAGCAGUAUGACUUAUAUCGCCCACAACUCACUUGUGUUCUACUCGUGCAUAUAACAUCAACACAUAAAACCUAGGCUCGGAUGCCACUGUUGGGGAACGUAGUAAUUUAAAAAAAAAUCCUACGCACGCGCAAGAUCAUGGUGAUGCAUAGCAACGAGAUGGGAGAGUGUGAUCUACGUACCCUUGUAGACCGACAGCGGAAGCGUUAUGACAACGCGGUUGAUGUAGUCGUACGUCUUCACGGCCCGACCGAUCAAGCACCGAAACUACGGCACCUCCGAGUUUUAGCACACGUUCAGCUCGAUGACGAUCCCCGGACUCCGAUCCAGCAAAGUGUCGGGGAAGAGUUCCGUCAGCACGACGGCGUGGUGACGAUCUUGAUGUUCUACCGUCGCAGGGCUUCGCCUAAGCACCGCUAUAAUAUUAUCGAGGAUUAUGGUGGAAGGGGGCACCGCACACGGCUAAGAAUAUGAUCACGUGGAUCAACUUGUGUGUCUAGAGGUGCCCCCUGCCACCGUAUAUAAAGGAGCAAGGGGGAGGAGGCCGGCCCUAGGAGGGGCGCGCCAGGGAGUAGGAUUCCUACUCCUAGUUGGAGUAGGUUUCCUCCUUUCCUAGUCCAACUAGGAGAAGGGGGAAAGGGGGGAAGAGGGGAAGGAAGGGAGAGAGGGGCCGCGCCCCAAACCCCUUGUCCAAUUCGGGCUGGGCUUGGGAGGGGUGCGCGCCACCUCCUGGUCCUUCCCACUAAGGCCCAUUAAGGCCCAUUGCUUCUUCCUCGUAUUCCCAUAACUCCCCGGUACCUCCGAAAAUACCCGAAUCACUCGGAACCUUUACGAUGUCCGAAUAUAGUCGUCCAAUAUAUCGAUCUUUAUGUCUCGACCAUUUCGAGACUCCUCGUCAUGUCCCCGAUCUCAUCCGGGACUCUGAACUCCUUCGGUAGAUCAAAACUCAUAAACUCAUAAUAUAACUGUUAUCAAAACCUUAAGCGUGCGGACCCUAUGGGUUCGAGAACAAUGUAGACAUGACCGAGACACGUCUCUGGUCAAUAACCAAUAGCGGAACCUGGAUGCUCAUAUUGGCUCCCACAUAUUCUAUGAAGAUCUUUAUCGGUCAGACCGCAUAACAACAUACGUUGUUCCCUUUGUCAUCGGUAUGUUACUUGCCCGAGAUUCGAUCGUCGGUAUCUCAAUACCUAGUUCAAUCUCGUUACUGGCAAGUCUCUUUACUCGUUUCAUAAUACAUCAUCUUGCAACUAACUCAUUAGUUGCAAUGCUUGCAAGGCUUAUGUGAUGUGCAUUACCGAGAGGGCCCAGAGAUACCUCUCCGACAAUCGGAGUGACAAAUCCUAAUCUUGAAAUACGCCAACCCAACAUGUACCUUUGGAGACACCUGUAGAGCUCCUUUAUAAUCACCCAGUUACGUUGUGACGUUUGGUAGCACACAAAGUGUUCCUCCGGCAAACGGGAGUUGCAUAAUCUCAUAGUCAUAGGAACAUGUAUAAGUCAUGAAGAAAGCAAUAGCAACAUACUAAACGAUCGGGUGCUAAGCUAAUGGAAUGGGUCAUGUCAAUUACAUCAUUCUCCUAAUGAUGUGAUCCCGUUAAUCAAAUAACAACACAUGUCUAUGGUUAGGAAACAUAACCAUCUUCGAUUAACGAGCUAGUCAAGUAGAGGCAUACUAGUGACACUUUGUUUGUCUAUGUAUUCACACAUGUAUUAUGUUUCCGGUUAAUACAAUUCUAGCAUGAAUAAUAAACAUUUAUCAUGAAAUAAGGAAAUAAAUAAUAACUUUAUUAUUGCCUCUAGGGCAUAUUUCCUUCAGUUUAUAUCUUUUUAUAUUGGGAUUUUUGUAUUCGUGCCCCUAGUUGGGUCACGCUCGACUGAUUUGCCCCUAUUUUUUCAACAAUUGCGGUUUUGCCCAGCUCACUUCAAUUGCCUUGUGUUUUUGCCCUUCCAGGGAGGUUCUGACCAGUGAGCAGUCGCCACGUGGCGAAUCGUGAUUGGCCGGAACCGCCCCGGAAGGGCAAAAACACAAGGCGAGUGAAGUGAGCUGGGCAAAACCGCAAUUGUUGAAAAAAUAAGGGCAAAUCAGUCGAGCAUGACCCAACUAGGGGCACAAAUACAAUUAUUCAUUUUAUAUUUAAUAAUGUUAAUAACAUCGAUAACCUUAGGUAGUUUAAACAGUACUUUUGUCUGAAAUGCAAAUGACAUACACAUAAAGGUAAUGUUUAUCUGAACAUUUUGAUAUCUUAUUUGCAUUUUUCUGAGUUCAUAUCAAUUUGCUAUGAAUUUUCAAAGUAUUGGUCAAUCGGUCAAAGGGCAUUCGAGUGACCUCGGAGGAAAAUCUAAGGGCAAAACUGAGCAGAGUCGAAAAGUAGGGGCAAAACCCGUGGGUAGGUUCUAACUAGGGGCAAAAAUGCAUUUGUCCCUUAUUCUUUUUACUUGAACUUGAUCUCAACUGAAAUUUCUACACAGUAAUAAGAUACAAAUUAUCUAUGUUGUCCUCAUUUUUCAGAUUUUUGGAGUUACAGAAGUAUGGUUUUAGUUCAGAUCAAUACAGACUAUUCUUUUUUAGACAUAUUCCAUUUUUUAUUGCAUAGUGUGCUUAUUUUAAUGAUGCUAUGGAUUAUAUCGGGGGGGGGAGGGGGGUUAUAAGUCAUGGAGAAGUUAGAACACUGUAAUAAUUAUGAAUAAAUUCACAACACUACCUAAGUUUAUGGUUUUCCGAUUAUACUAAGGAUCUCAUGAAGUUUCUGUUCCGUUUUGUCUUCUGAAGUUUUCAAGUUUUGGGUGAGAUCACGAUGAAUGAAGGAAUAAGGAGCGGCAAGACCCUAAGCUUUGGGAUGCCCAAGUGUAACACCCACAAUGCGGCUAUAUCUGCCAUGUGUCGGGGCACGAUUUAGAGGCAUAGCCGCAUGGUAGGUCUGUCGCAAGAGGGGUAAUCUUUACACAUCCCAUGUACUGAAUAAGAAAGGGAUAAAGAGUCGGCUUACAAUCACCACUUCACACAAUACAUAAAUAAUCCAUACAUCAUCCAGAAUACAAUCAAGGUCCGACUACGGAACCAAAAUAAAGAAAGACCACCCCAAAUGCUAGAUCCCCGAUCGUCCCAACUGGGCUCCACUACUAAUCAACAGGAAACGAAACAAGACAACGAUCAAGAUCUUCAUCGAGCUCCCACUUGAGCUGGGUUGCGUCACCUGCACUGGUAUCAUCGGCACCUGCAACUGUUUGGAAGUAUCUGUGAGUCACGAGGACUCAGCAAUCUCACACCCGCGAGAUCAAGACUAUUUAAGAUUAUGGGUAGGAAAGGGUAGUGAGGUGCAGCUGCAGCAAAGCACUAAGCAUAUAUGGUGGCUAACUUACGCAAAUAAGAGCGAGAAGAGAAGCAACGCAAACGGUCAUGAACUAGAAGUGAUCAAGAAGUGAUCCUGAAACUACUUACGUUCAAGCAUAACACAAGGACCGUGUUCACUUCCCGGACUCUGCCGGAAAGAGACCAUCAUGGCUACACACGCGGUUGAUCCAUUUUAAUUAAGUUAAGUGUCAAGUUAUCUCCAACCGGAUAUUAACAAAUUCCCAUCUGCCACAUAACCGCGGGCACGGCUCUCGAAAGUUUAUACCCUGCAGGGGUGUCCCAACUUAGCCCAUCACAAGCUCUCACGGUCAACGAAGGAUAUUCCUUCUCCCAGGAAGACCCGAUCAGACUCAGAAUCCCGGUUACAAGACAUUUCGACAAUGGUAAAACAAGACCAGCAAGACCACCCGGAUGUGCCGACAAAUCCCGAUAGGAGUUGCACAUAUCUCUUUCUUAGGGCACACCAGAUAAACUAAGCGUACAGGUACCAACAUAACCCAAGUUUCCAAGGGACGGUCCCGCAUGGUGCUCUGGUUCGGACCAACACUUAGAGAAGCACUGGCCUGGGGGGGAGGAGUUAAAAUAAGAUGACCCUCGGGCUCGUGAAAACCCAAGGGAGGGUUAUAGGUUGUUAGGCAAAUGUAAAACCAAGGUUGGGCCUUGCUGGAGGAGUUUUAUUCAAAGCGAACUGUCAAGGGGUUCCCAUAACACCCAACCGCGUAAGGAACGCAAAAUCAAGGAUCAUAACACCGGCAUGACGGAAACUAGGGCGGCAAGAGUGGCACAAAACACCAGGCAUAAGGCCGAGCCUUCCAUCCUUUACCAAGUAUAUAGAUAGGGAUGGCAAUUUCGCCCAUGGGUAUGGGUAUCCGUGGGUACCCUACCUAAAAAUAGUGGGCAUGGGCAAGACUUGGCAAGAUUUUGUACCCAUGGGUAAUGGGUAUCCAUACCCGCAAAAUAUGUGGGUAGGGCAUGGGUAUGAGAUUGCGCCCAUGGGUAACCCAAUGGGUACCCAGAAAAUAUUAAUAAAUGAAAAUAACUCCUAUGAUAUGUGGGGUCUACAUCCAACUCAUAUUGCCCAACUCUUAAUUCCUUAUUCCCUAAACCAACCAUAGCUAAUAGGCUCCCAACAACCAGCUCACACUCCUCCUAUGUCCUAUGUGACUCCUCGAAAUGAUAAAAUCUCGACUCAUCACCAACACAUUCUCUUCCAACUCUCGAACUAGCAAACCCCAGUUCCCGUCGUCGCCUUCCACUAUGUCGGCUUCCACCAACCACUUAUCGUAAUCCCUUGCCGGCUGCAAUUGGCCACACACUAGAGGACGUCGUGUCGGUACUAGAUUGAUUGUCCAUCAUCACUUGAAUAUUACACUCAUGUAUGUAAUUCUUUAAAAUUUAAAUGCUAUAUAUGUUGUACCCAUUGGGUAUAGCAUACCCAAUGGGUAUGGGCAUGGGUGUCAAUUUGUGCCCAUGGGUAUUGAAAUGGGUGGGUAUAGAAAGUUUCUAUGGGUAUGGGUUUGGGCAAGAGGAGGUUGUACCCACCCAUACCCUACCCAUUGCCAUCCCUGUAUAUAGAUGCAUUAACUAAAAUAAGAGAUAUUGUGAUAUCCCAACAAAUCCAUGUUCCAACAUGGAACAGACUUCAACUUCACCUAGAACUAGCAACGCUAUAAGAGGGGCUGAGCAAAAGCGAUAACAUAGCCAAACAACGGUUUGCUAGGAAGGUGGGUUAAAGGCUUGACAUGGCAAUAUGGGAGGCAUGAUAUAACAAGUGGUAGGUAACGCGACAUAGUGAUAGAGCGAUCAACUAGCAAGCAAAGAUAGAAGUGAUUUCGAGGGUAUGGUCGUCUUGCCUGAGAUCCCGAAAGGAAGAAGAACGAGUCCAUGAAGAAGGCAAACAGACGUAGUCGAACGGAUCCUCACAACUCCGGAACGAAACCGAAGCUAACGAGAGAAGCAACCCGGAAAGAAGCAGGCAACAUAGUAAACAACCAUCACAUAAACAUGGCAUGAUGCACAACCAAGGAUGAUGCAUGUCCGGUUUAAAUAUGCAUGGCAUGGCAAAGUGCACAAACAACACUACAAGUUAAGUGGAGCUCAAUAUGCAACGAGUUGCAUAUUGACGAAACACCACAUUUGAUUAUUUAGUUCACCCCCGUUUAUGUACUCAACAAUAUUAAAUAUUGUUAAACAUGGCAAGAGAUGAAGCAAAAGUAAACUACACAAUCUAAGCAAUUUAAAUGGGGCCAAAAACAUCAAACAACAGUUCCGGUAAAUCCCCAUAUGCAUUUAGCAAUUUAAAGCAAACAACAAUUUUAAACAUUCUUGAUGUUGUUAUCAUGAUGCGGAUGACAUGUGCAAGUUUAUGCAAAUUUUAUUAAAAGUUGACAUGAACAUAUUAUGAAGCAUUUGUCAUCGUGGCAUAAACGAAAGGGGUGCCAUGACAACGAAUCCGAAAAUGAUGCCACGGCAACAUAUCGAUUCCGGUAGCUCAUGGAGAUACCGGUGCAAAAGGAAAAGUGACAGGAGCGUGUCAUGCAAGGAUGGUGGGGUGGUCCCGGAUACCGGGUUCCCACGGGUCGCGACGGUGCCAAGCGAGGGAAACAACUAGCGUUCACGGGAGGAUACAACAUCCAAACAUGCAUCUCAUACAACACAUACAUUCAUUCACGGGCGGUCGUCUCGGGGUUAUACCUUCGAAGCGUGCAACGGGACGGUUCUCGUUCGGUGCAAAGUAGAGGAAGUAGACGUUCUCGGGACGUUCGUAGUGGAGGUAGUCGUUCACGGCGACGGUAGUUGUACAUGGGUCUUCGGCCAUGGAAGUAGUCGCACAACGUUUUCGUAGAGGUUCAGGGUCACGACACGGAACUUGACGUCCACGGGGUCUUUGCGGGUCGACGGUAGUGGUACUUGGCAAAAUGCACGUCGACGGUAGUUGUUCUCGUAUCAUCGUGGUGGAAGUAGUCGUACUCGACGAUAGUGGUACCCGUCUUCGUAGAUGUUCGAGUCAUCGGUAGCGGUACUUGGUGAAACUCGAAACGGUCUUGGCGUCUUCGCGCGUAGGGGUACUUGGCGUUUCACUAGACUUGACGAUGGUAGACGAAUUUGGUGGUCCAGGGUACUUGGUGUGCAGCGAGCAACUUUGUGGUGUAUAGGUGCAUCGGUGGUCUCGAUCACAUAAGUGUUACCGAGAUGCGGCUGUUAUAGCCACAUGAACAUGAGCAUGGCGCUGGACUCGGACAAGGCCGAAGGAGGCCUCGGCAAGGAGGAUAGCAGCGGGGUAGAGGAGAUCCCGCGAGGAGGCAGCAAAUGUGCGGCUCCUUAGCAGAGAGGUCGUGGCCAUGGGAGGAUCUGAGAGCUCGGAACUGUGGCGAAGAAGAGAUCAGCGGGGUUUUGCGGACAUGGUACUCGCAGCAGCAGGAGAAGAGAAGAAAAAGGUGACCGGGAGGGGCGGCGAGCGGACGUGGCUCCGACGGAGCUGCUCGCCGGCGACGGCCGGAAACAAAGGCAGGGCCCCGGCGUGAUGGAGGCGGAUCAGUGGAGCGGUGGAGCAGAGCAGGCGCUGGCGGCGACACUGGCUGGAGCGAGGUGGAGGCGCUCGGUCCUCGGGCACGAGCGGGGAGGAGAGGUGGCUGCGGUAGGUUCCAGGCGGCGCUCGGUGGCGGCAGACUUGGAGGCGGGGCGGCGACGUGGUGUUCCACUCCUUGUGCUGCUCCUUCGAUGAGAAGAGUUGGCGGCGGGGACAAGGUGGCGUAGGGUCGGGCGAGGUGCCCUGGCAGCGGCACUAGGAGGGAGAUGAGGGGAUCGGGCGUCUCCCUUGGAGGCGCUGGGUGCGGUUCCUGUGUGCGAGCAAGGAGAGGGAGAGAGAUGGGGAUCGGGCCAAAGGCUCUGGCGGCGCGAGAGAGAGAUCAAGGAGAGCGAGGGAUCGGGCUAGGGAGCGGCUAGGGUUAGGUGCGGUUGGGCCUUGGGCCACUGGAGGCUGGGCCUGGGAGGUCCAAGAGGUAGGACUAGCUGCUGGGCUCUCUCUCCCUUAAGUCUUAAAAAAACCUUUUCAGAAAACAGAAAAAUCGCAAACAAAAAAGGAGAGAAAAGAAAGGGUUAGAGGAAGGAUUUGGGCACGCGGAUUAUUUUCCCGAAGUCGCAAAAAAGGGUAUGAUUCCAGAAAAAAUGGAGUGGCAAGAUUGUAAGAAUUGAAUUCAAAGAUAUGAACAAAGAGUAGGAUUUAGAAGUGUCUAAAAAUGUUGAGUAUUUUGGUGGAGCUCCGGAAAGUGAAGAGAGAAUUUUAGGGCAAAGUUUGGAGACGAAACUUGAAGCGGAAAAAGGCAUGUGAUUAUUUGCAAGUGUGUUUAUGGGUGAUUCCAAAUUAUUGGAAUAUAAUUUUUAUAGCUCCCUAAAUAUUGGGAGGAUAUGUUAUAUAGAUAAAUCACCAUGUGAGUUCCCUCAAUUUAAAUAGAUCAAAGAUCUAUGCAUUUUAUUUAAUUGAGUUAAAAAAAUGAAAUGGCAUGAUGGCAUGAUGACAUGAUGCAAUGAACAUAAUGCAAAGAUGGAUGCAAUAGACAAAACAAAUCACCCGAGAAACUCGGAAAAACAUGGAAGGCAUCUGAAGCGUCGGUCUUGGGGCGUCACAACACUCCACCACUAUAAGAGGAUCUCGUCCCGAGAUCUAGGAUGGCACCGGUGGAAAACGAAAGAGGAAGAGAAGAGGUAAAACUAAGUUGCUUCUUUGACAAAUGAGUGAAACCAAAGAACCUUGCGAGGUUGAACAAAUUGAAAGAAGAACACAAUAGAGUUGAACGAAAUUGAUGGAACUCUGGUAGAAAAGAGAAACAAGGAACACCAUGUGAACCUUGGAGGUUGCAAAUCUAUGAAUGUCGAGCACAAUGGACAACAAGGAAUUGAAACCACUCUGGUUGAAACGAGAUAAACAAGGAACAAGGAAGAAGAAAUUCGAACAGCACUCCAGUUGAAAAGAGAUACAAGACUUGAUAAGAUGAAAAGAACUUGAGUAGAGGACACAACACUCCUGCUAAACGGAUAAACAAGGAAAAGAACAUGAUCUUGACACAACUAGGUGACGGGUGAAGAGAGCAACAUCAUAAUGCCUCCAGAACAAAUGUAAGAAUGGAAUCAAAAGAACGAAGGAGAAAACAACAUCUUCUACCUCAAAUGAGCUUGAAAAAGCAUCUUUAGGAGAAGGGUCGAACGGAGUUGUUGAAAAAACCAACAACGAAAGGAGUAAGCUUGUUGUGGGCUUAUGGAAAACAUCUCGAAAUUUGAGGUGAAAUUCUGGCACUAGCGGAAACAAUAGAUUGGAUUGAUAUCAACAAGGAGACGAGAAACUUAUUUCACUAGGAGGAUAAAUGAAGAACUUGGGUCAUUUAUAAGCACCAUAAAUAGCAACAAUCCUUAGGGAAAGCGUUAGGUGAAAUAUAACCCAAGAUGACUCCAAUGAAGAGAUUGAUGGGUUGCAAAGGAUCUCAUGGACAAAUUGAAAAAUGAUGGGUUUACAAUAUGUCAUUCGGACAACUUGUGAAUCAUGAAACAUGAAGUGAAAUUGUCAAGAAUGACAUAACACCACCUCAAAAGAUAAGGGAGAAGGGAUUGAACUUUGAAAUGCAAGAUGAAGAAUACUUGAACUCCUCAAAACAACACAUGUGUUGAACACCAUGUUUAUUUUAGCUUGGUGGGUCAUGACUUCGAGAGAGAUCUUGAAGAACAAUUGAAGAAUGAACAGAAUCCUUGACGAGCCACCAUGAAGAAACUCUCGAAGAACUCCAGAUGGAUAAAAGGAAGGUCGCAAGGAAAAGAAGCUUGAAAAGAAUAAUAUGAAUCCUUGCAUUGAUUAAAUGGAGCUUCGCGAUGAUAUAACCGAGAAAAACAUGGAACUCCAGAAAGAAGGAUGAACAAAUGAAAUCAAGAAUUUUGAUGAACCUCCGUAGUGAGGAAUUAAUCACUCGGAUGAAACAAGAAUAAGAAUUACAUUAUGCUUAUCCUUCGCCAAUUUAAAUUGAUGACAAGAAACGGAUUUGGCAUACUACUUAUUCUCGUAGAAGGGAUUAAGAGAGAUAUAGCACAAACUUGAAAAGGACUUCAACGAACCACCCGUAGGAUUUGGAAAGAACGAAUGAAUUGAUACAAUAACAACGGAAGAGAAUUCUUGAACGGACCGCCAUAAGAAUUGAAAAUGAAAGUAGCAGAGGCACAAUUUACCGAGAAGAAUUGGAAAAAGAAUUAAGAUACUUGAGGGAAAUUAGAUACAUGAGAAAGAAGCGAUCAUGAACCGAUUAGAGGAUAUUUGAAUGAUGCACCGGUAAGAUUUGGAGAACAAUAGUUGAAAGCUAAGAAAUAAUAAACCUGAAUUGAUGGCCUUCGGAGAAUCAAACUGAAAAGACUCCUGAAAUGCUUUGGAUGGGUGAAAAGAAUUCUCACAGUCGAAUACAAUUAUGAGAGGAUAUCAUGAAGCUAGAACCACGAAUCUUCGAGAGAACGGAUAAGAUUGAGAGAGAAAAAUCUUCUUUGGUCUUCAAAUGUUGAGAAUGAUGAUGAGAACCACCACCAUGUUUAUUGAGGCACUCUGGAACAAUGAAGGAUAGGAAGGUUGAACCAACGAUGCAAGAAUUUGAAAGAUCUUGGAGAAAGACAUAUGAUUGAUGAUAAUUAAUUUUUACGCCAACUUUGAAAGAAUUUGAGAAUAACUCCGGGAAAGUAUGAAGAGUUAGGUAAGAUCCUGGGAAAAGACAUGUGGGUUAGGGCCCACUCAAAAGAAACACCUUCGAACGAUUUAAAAGAGAAAUUGCGCCGGUUGAUUUAAAUGGCUUGAAUGAGAUAAUAACCUCGAAAGAGCUCGAACAAUGCAGAGUGGAAACACGAAUCUUCGAGAUAUUUUCAGCACUCCGGAACAAAUGAAUAGCAAGAAGUGAAUGAUUAAGAGGUGCACCGACAUGAGAAAACAUUUGAACCGAGGAAAGGAUAUGAUCGACAAAGCUUGUAACACCCUCGAUGCGACUAUAUCUCCCACGUGUCGAGGCACGACUUAGAGGCAUAAUCGCAUUGAAGGCAUAUGUCACAAGUAAGGCAAUCUUCACAACAUCCCAUGUAAUAUAAAUAAUAAAGGGGAGAUAACAUAGUUGGCUUACACUCGCCACGUCAAUCAAGUACAUAAAUAACAUUACAUCAUCCAAACACUCAUGGCCCGACUACGACGCCAAAAUAAAAGAUAACCCAACAAGCGACACGGUCCCGAUCACCCCCAACAGGGCACCACUACUGAUCAUCAGGAAAAUAAAAUAGUAACGUUGAGAGUCCUCGUCGAACUCCCACUUGGGCUCGAGCGCGUCACCUGGAGCAGAAUCAUCAGGCCCUGCAUCUGGUUUAACAGUAAUCUGUGAGCCAUAGGGACUCACCAAUCUCGCACCCUCGCGAUCAAGACUAUUUAAGCUUAACAGGAAGGGCAAGGUAAAUAUGUGGAGCAGAAGCAAGCGACUAGCAAAUAUGGUGGCUAACCUGUUCGCAAAAGAGAGCGAGAAGAGGAGGCAAAGCACGAACGAAUAACUAGAGGGCAAACCUGCGGCAAGCAUUACUCCAACACCGUGUUCACUUCUCAGACUCCGCCGAGAAGAGACCAUCAUGGUAACUCACACUGUUGAUUCAUUUUAAUUAAGUUAAGGUUCAAGUUAUCUACAACCGGACAUUAACAAAUUCCCAUCUGCCCAUAACCGCGGGCACGGCUUUCGAAAGUUCAAAUCCCUGCAGGGGAGUCCCAACUUAGCCCAUGACAAGCUUGUCAUGGUCAACGAAGGAAUAGACCUCCUCCCGAGACGUUCCGAUCAGACUCGGUAUCUCGGUUCUUCAAGACACUUCGACAGGUUAAAACAAGACCAGCAACACCGCCCGAAUGUGCCGACAAAUCCCGAUAGGAGCUGCACAUAUCUUGUUCUCAGGGCACACUCAGAUGAGCUGUCCAUACAACUAAAACCAAACCUCGAGUUUCCCCGAUGGGGCGCUGCACAGGACUCUAGUUUGGACCAACAUUCAGAGGAGCACUGGCCCAGGGGGGGGGGCUAAAAUAAGAUGACCCUCGGGCUCCGGAAACCCAAGGGAAAAAGAGGCUAGGUGGCAAAUGGUAAAACCAAGGUUGGGCAUUGCCGGAAAAGCUUUAAUCAAGGCGAACUAUCAAGGGGUUCCCAUUACAACCCAACCGCAUAAGGAACGCAAAAUCCGGGAAUAUAACACCGAUAUGACGGAAACUAGGGCGGCAAGAGUGGAACAAAACACUAGGCGAGAGGCCGAGCCUUCCACCCUUUAUCAAGUAUAUAGAUGCAUUAAGAUAACAUGGCAAUAUAAUGAUAUCCCAACAGUAAAAUAAUGUUCCCACAAGGAACGGUCUCCAAUCUUCACCUGCAACUAGCAACGCUAUAAGAGGGGCUGAGCAAAGCGGUAACAUAGCCAAUCAACGGUUUGCUAGGACAUGGUGGGUUAGAGGUCUGACAUGGCAAUCUGGAAGGCUUGAAGGCAAGUGGUAGGCAUCGUAGCAUAGGCAUAGCAAAAGAGCGAGCAUCUAGCAAAGCAAAGAUAGUAGUGAUUUCGAGGGUAUGAUCAUCUUGCCUGCAAAGUUGUCAGAAUUGACUGGAUCCUCGAGCAAACUCAACGGGCUCCUCGUUAGCAAACUCGUCUCCUGGCUCUACCCAAACAAGACAAACAAGCAACAAGGACACAAUCAACCACGUGCAAGGCUCAAACAAUAUGAUGCAAAGAUGAUAUGCUAUGCGGGAUGCGAUGCGGGAUGCAUAUGCAAGAUGUGACAAGAAAUGCAUGAACCUGGCCUCAACUUGGAAAUCCAAGUAUGCCACUGGAAAGAUGAGAUGAAAUCGCUUGAGAACGAUAUAAAGAACGCCGGAAUCGGAGUUACGGUUUGGAAAUGGCAAGCAAUUCAAAUAUGACCAUGUUCUGCGAUUAAUAGCAAGUAGCCAUCUAAAUGCAAUGAGAUGAACAUGCUACAGCAUCCAAACAUGGCAUACAAAUACAUGGCAGGGAUGCAUUCAUGAUGCUUAACAAAAGUCUAGCACUGAGCUACGGCCAAUUCAUCCAUUAACAGGUUCAAACAAGCAUGGCAAAAAUGCAUAUGGUAAACAGAUCUCAGACUUAGUGAAAUUAACACUUGUCUGGAAUUUCAGAUCAGGUAGCACUCUUUGGAGCAACAAAACUACAUGCUAUAGGACCUGAACAUGGCAAAGUAAAGCAUGGAAUGGAUCUACUCAAAGAGCUUAACAAAAGUCCCUUAGUGACCUUGAGCCAAAAGGGAUCAGAAAAUACAUUUGCAAGCAUGUGAACAUGGAAAAAACAUAAUCAGUUCUCAGACUUAGUGAAAACUGGAACAUGCUGAAACAGAUAUCAAGUAGGCAUGUUUACGAGCUCGAUGCACUCACUACAGAGCAAGUCAUGGCAAUCUAAGCAUACACCCAUCAAGAAUACACAAAAUGCAAGCUAUACAUGGCAAGAACAAUAACAUAGCAUGCACGGAUCAACUACAACUUCCUCGGCAAAAUCGCUAACAAGUAGACAAUCUGCCCAGAUUCACGAAAUAGCAAAAGUAGAGCUCGAUUGACUCAAGCUAGGGUGCUCCAUAAUUGCAAACAAAGACAUGGAUGGAUAGAGCACUACAAGAUUAACAAAACAUCCUUACUGAUCAUCCCCAAAAGUGGCACGGAUCAUUAGGAAACAACAUGAACAUAUGGCCAUAUGAGAUAAACAGCUCAAGGACUUAGUGGAAAUGCUAAAUCCCUGAAAUCAGCAUUACCAAGUGCCUCACUUUGCAAGCUUGUGCUAGUCACCACACACAUCACAAAAAUACAUGGGUUGCACCUCUGGAAAGAUGGCAAAACCCUUAACAAAACAUAUGUAGAGCUCAUGGGCAUAUCAUGCACACAAUAAUCAUGGCAAAAAUGACAAAUAGCUAAAUGGAGCAGCAAAUCUGACAAUUAUCUCAAGUAGCACUCUUCUAACAGCAUUUCGGGCAUCAAGAUGAACUCAAAUGAAAAUGAUGCAAUGGAAUGAAAUGAUGUGCUCUCUGAGACGAACAUUUUGAUAUGCUAUAUGCCAAAAGAGGAGUUACGGAUGAGGAGUUACGAUGCGAUGAACAGGAGCAUAUGAACUAGGGUUUCGAGAAAAAAAGUCAACCGUCUCCGGAUCUAGAUCUGGCGGGUUACCGUAGCUGCAAGCAAUCCGAGGAUCGCCGGAAUCAGCGCCAGAGUUGGAGGAGUGGUGGCCGGCGAGGUGGGGGCGAUGCGGGUCGCCGGCGGGAGCGCGGGCUCCGGCGCGGCGGAGCCNNNNNNNNNNNNNNNNNNNNNNNNNNNNNNNNNNNNNNNNNNNNNNNNNNNNNNNNNNNNNNNNNNNNNNNNNNNNNNNNNNNNNNNNNNNNNNNNNNNNNNNNNNNNNNNNNNNNNNNNNNNNNNNNNNNNNNNNNNNNNNNNNNNNNNNNNNNNNNNNNNNNNNNNNNNNNNNNNNNNNNNNNNNNNNNNNNNNNNNNNNNNNNNNNNNNNNNNNNNNNNNNNNNNNNNNNNNNNNNNNNNNNNNNNNNNNNNNNNNNNNNNNNNNNNNNNNNNNNNNNNNNNNNNNNNNNNNNNNNNNNNNNNNNNNNNNNNNNNNNNNNNNNNNNNNNNNNNNNNNNNNNNNNNNNNNNNNNNNNNNNGUGGCGCGACGGGAGUGGGCGGCGGCGAUGUCCGGCGCGCGGACGGACGUGUCCGGCGCGCAGAUGAGGAGCGGGGCUAGGUUUAGGGCGGUUUGGAUCCGGAAUUUCGGGGAGGGGAUAUUUAUAGAGGUAGGAGGAGCUAGGAGAGUCCAAAUGAGGUGCGGUUUUCGGCUACGCGAUCGUGAUCGAACGCUCCAGAUGAUGGAGAGGGUUUUGGUGGGUUUUGGGCCAAAUUGGAGGGGUGUUGGGCUGCAACACACACGAGGCCUUUUCGGUCCCUCGGUUAACCGUUGGAGUAUCAAACGAAGUCCAAAUAGUACGAAACUUGGCAGGCGGUCUACCGGUAGCAAACCAAGGCCGCUUGGCAAGUCCCGGUCCAAUCCGGAAAUGUUUAAUCCCCACACACGAAAGAAAGGUAGAAUUGACCAUCGGAGGAGAACGAAGCGCCGGAAUGCAAAACGGACAACGGGGAAAAUGCUCGAAUGCAUGAGAUGAACAUGUAUGCAAAUGCAAUGCACAUGAUGACAUGAUAUGAGAUGCAUGACAACGAUAACAACACACGGAGACAAAGACCCGGAUCCGAGAAAAUAAAAUAACUUAAUGCCGGAAACGGCAAGAGUUGGAGUACAAAUUGGGUAAAUCAUAUCCGGGGUGUUACAACACUCCACCACUAUGAAAGGAUCUCGUCCCGAGAUCUAGGACAGAAAGAACGUCGGGUAAUCAGAACGGAGGUGAUCCUCGCGUUCCCAGGUAGCUUCACGGUCGGAAUGGUGUGACCACUUGACUUUGAGGAAUUUGAUUGACUUGUUGCAAGCCUUGCGUUCAGUCUCUUCAAGAAUAGCAAUGGGGUGCUCACGAUAGGAGAGAUCUUCUUGGAGCUCAAUGUCCUCGAAGUUGACGGUGUGGUCAGGAGUCUUGAAGCACUUUCGGAGCUGAGAGACAUGGAACACAUCAUGAACAUUUGCAAAGUUUGAAGGAAGCUCGAGUUGAUGGGCGAGAUCGCCUCUCUUGCUAACAAUCUUGAAAGGUCCCACGUAUCUGGGGGCAAGCUUCCCUUUGAUACCGAAGCGACGAGUACCUUUCAUAGGAGAGACGCGGAGGUAAACAUGAUCUCCGAUCUCGAAAGCCAAAUCACAGUGUUUACUGUCAUAGUAGCUUUUCUGGCGGGAUUGGGCUGCUUUGAGGUUAUCUCGAAUGACUUUGCACAUUUCCUCUGCCUUUAUGAUUAAGUCAUUUCCCAAAAGCUGACGUUCACCGGUUUCGGACCAGUUGAGAGGGGUACGACACUUCCUGCCAUACAGAAUUUCAAAUGGGGCCUUGCCCGAACUUGCUUGAAAACUAUUGUUGUAGGAGAAUUCAGCAUAAGGAAGACAAUCCUCCCACUUCAUGCCGAAGGAGAUCACACAAGCCCUGAGCAUAUCUUCAAGAAUCUGAUUGACACGCUCGACUUGACCGCUAGUUUGAGGAUGGAAAGCUGUGCUGAAGCGGAUGUUGGUACCCAUGGCCUUCUGAAAAGAAUCCCAAAACUUGGAGGUAAAGAUGCUGCCACGGUCUGAAGAGAUCACUUGUGGGAUACCGUGCAGAGAGACAAUUCGAGAGGUAUAGAGUUCCGCCAAUUGAGCUGCAGUGAUUGACUCUUUGAUAGGCAGAAAGUGAGCCACUUUAGUGAGUUUGUCGAUGACAACGAAUAUAGCAUCAUUGCCACGCUUGGACUUUGGAAACCCAGUCACGAAGUCCAUUUCAAUGUGGUCAAACUUCCAUUCUAGAAUGGCAAGAGGUUGGAGGAGACCAGCUGGCCUUUGGUGUUCUACCUUCACUCUUCUGCAGACAUCACACUCAUUCGCGAAUUGAGCAAUCUCGCGCUUCAUUCGAGUCCACCAAUAAGCCUGCUUGAGGUCCUGAUACAUCUUCGUACUCCCAGGGUGGAUGGAGAGGAGAGAAUUGUGAGCCUCGUUCAUGAUCACUUUACGAAGUUCACCUUUGGGUACAACAAUACGAUCCUCGAAGAAGAGAGUAUCCUUGUCAUCAAGGCGGUAGCACUUGUAUUUGGGUUGACUCUUGGCAAUCCCAAUCUUCACCUUUUUCACCAUAGCAUCAAGAAGCUGAGCUUGGCGAAUCUGGUCUUCCAAGGUAGGAGAGACUUGAAGGUUGGCGAGGAAACCUUGAGGAACAACUUGCAGAUUAAGUUUGCGGAAAGCUUCACAAAGCUCGGGUUGAUAAGGCUUGAGAAUCAGACUAUUGCAAUAAGCCUUCCUGCUCAAUGCGUCAGCAAUCACAUUGGCCUUGCCUGGAGUAUACUCGAUACUCGGAUUAUACUCUUGAAUCAUUUCGACCCAUCGAGUUUGCCUGAGGUUGAGGUUAGGCUGAGUGAAGAUGUACUUGAGACUCUUGUGGUCGGUGAAGAUGUCCACUUUUCUUCCCAAUAAGAGAUGUCUCCAAGUCAAAAGAGCAUGCACAACUGCCGCCAACUCGAGAUCAUGAGUGGGGUAGUUCUUCUCAUUGGGCUUCAACUGGCGAGAGGUAUAAGCAACAACUUUCUUCUCUUGCAUCAACACUGCGCCAAGACCUUGGAGAGAGGCAUCACAAAAGACCUCGUACGGCUUGGAUUCAUCAGGAGGAGUCAGAACUGGAGCAGUGAUCAAUUUCUCUUUCAAAGUGUUGAAAGCAAUGUCACACUCCGGAGACCAAACAUACUUGACGUGCUUCUGGAGAAGAUUCGAGAGAGGCUUUGCGAUCUUAGAAAAGUUCUCAAUGAAUCUUCGGCAGUAGCUUGCGAGACCGAGGAAGCUACGGAGUUGCUUCACGUUCUGAGGAGGUUCCCAAUUCACAAUUGCAGACACCUUCUCAGGAUUCACGGCAAUGCCCUUGGCAGAGAUGAUAUGACCAAGAUAAAGAACCUCAUCGAGCCAAAAUUCGCACUUGGAGAACUUGGCGUAGAACUGGUGUUCCCUCAGCUUAUCGAGUACCAAACGCAAGUGCUUGGCAUGAUCUUCCUUGUUCUUCGAGAAAACCAGAAUGUCGUCGAGAUAGACCAAAACGAAGUCAUUGGUGUAGGCAUUGAAGAUGAAGUUCAUCAUGCGAGAGAAAGUCGGAGGAGUGUUGACGAGGCCAAAAGACAUGACAGUGUAUUCAUAUGAACCAUAGCUUGUCCUGAAAGCCGUCUUGGGAAUAUCUUGUUCACGGAUUCGAAUCUGAUGAUAACCCAUACGGACAUCAAGCUUGGAGAAUACUUGGGCACCUUUGAGUUGUUCGAACAGCUCAUUGAUGUUGGGAAGUGGGUAUUUGUUCUUGAUGGUCUUCUUGUUCAAUGGACGGUAAUCAACACAAAGUCGGUCCGUUCCAUCCUUCUUCUUCACAAAAAGAACACCACAACCCCAUAGAGAAGAACUAGGCCGGAUGAGACCCAUUCUCUCUUGAAUAUCGAGUUGCUUCUUCAGCUCCUUCAACUCUUCAGGUCCGAGCUUGUAAGGACGCUUGCACACAGGUUCCGUACCGGGUUCAAGAUCAAUGAUGAAUUCAACUGGCUGGUGUGGAGGCAUUCCUGGGAGCUCUUCUGGAAACACGUCUUGAUAUUCGCAAACGACUGGAAUUUGCAAGAUAGCAUCGAGUUCACCCUUCUCAUUGAGAGAAAACAGACGGAUGGUAUCAUCACGAGCGGCAAAGACAAUUACAUCCUCAGACGAAUGAGUCAACUGAAUCUGCCUGGCAGCACAAUCAAGAUGCGCCUUGUGCUUAGAAAGCCAAUCCAUUCCGAGAAUAAGAUCAAUAUCUGAGUCACCCAGAACAAUAGGAGAAGCUAGAAAUUUGUAGUCGCCCAACGUGAUAGUAAUAUCCAGGACGCAUAAAUUAGCUGUCAUUUGCUUGCCCAGUGACACGAUUUGCAAGGAAUUUUGCAGAUACUGAUAAUCGCACUCAUACUUCGAUGCAAAAGGUUUGGAAAUAAAACAAUGCGAUGCACUAGUGUCAAAAAGAACUUUUGCAGGGAUAUCGUUAACAAGAAGGUUACCCAUGAUCACUUCUGAUGAGUCCUCUGCCUGAGCUGCGUUCAUCAAGUUGACCUUGGCGUGCUUGGGGUUAUGCUUGACCACAGCUGUACUUGCCGAUCUCACAGGAAGAGGAGGAGGAAGACGCCUCUGGUUGAGACACUUGUUGGCAUAGUGACCCUUCUGUUGGCACUUGUUGCACGUGACCUCUGAAAGCGGACGGUGGUAUGGAGCACUCGAUCUUGGAGCUUGAGACGAAGUCUUGUUCUGAAAGCCAGGGUUGGGUGGGUGGGAAGAUCCACUGCCACCUUUGCUCUUCUGCCGAUACGGCUGACGGAACGGAGGAGGAGGAAGCCAAUACUUCUGCUGCUUGGCCACUUGAGUAGAGGAAGAAGGAGUAGUGUCUCUGACUCGCUUCUUGGAAGCAUCACACCUCAGUUGAGCGGCCUCUUGCUUCAAUGCCAUGUUGUAGAACUCAUCGUACCUCAAGGGCUCAAAGAGAACAAGAGCUAGCUGAAUUUCUUCUCUGAGACCACCCCUGAACUGGUAUAUCAUGCUCUUCUCAUUAGGGACGUUCUGCUUGGCAAAGCGGGCGAGCUUCUGGAACAACUUGUUGUAGUCAUAGACAGACAAAGAGCCUUGCUUCAGGUUGCGGAAUUCCUCACGCUUGCUUUCAACCACGCUCUGAGGGAUAUGAUGAGCUCUGAAAUCUUGAUGGAAUUCAUCCCAAGUGAUCACACGUCCACCUCUGGAAUCCUUGUACUGCUGGAAUCGUUCUGCAGCUUUAUCUUUGAGUUGGAAGGAAGCGAACUUGACGAAGUCCUCAGGCCUGACGUUACUGCACUCGAAAUGCUUGCACAGAUCCACGAGCCAAUCGUCAGCAUCGGUUGCCUCAACACAAUUGCUGAAAGUCUUUGGCCCGUUAGCAAGGAACUGGUUGAGUGUAGCAAAGUGAUUCUGAUUGUUGCCUUAGUUCCCUUGGUUGCCUUGAUUGCGCUCUUGAAGAAUUUGCAUGAUCAACUGUGUGUUUGCAUUGGUUGCGGCCAUCACAGCUUGCCAUGCCUCCGGAGGAGGUGGAGGUGGUGGCGGAUCUUGAUUCUGAUUCUGAUUGGUGCUCUUAGCGGGAGCCAUCCUGAAGAGGUUGACCACCAUUAGCACAUAGACAGAUAAAUGAAGCUGAAUCCAACGGAAUGAAAAUUGCAACAUAUAGUCUUCACAUCCGAACAAAAUGAACGAAUGCAUUCCUCUUGAAAUGGUCACAUAUCCAUAAAUUGAGAAGCCACUUAGAAUUUAGGUAGAGAAAUAAAUCAACAAGGUACGGAUCAAGAACGAAUACUCGGUAAGAAAUUCCAAUCUCAAACAAAAUAUCCGUGGAAGAAGAACUAGAGCUACGAGAAUUCCCGCCUAUGAAACUCCCGAACCUUUCCGGUUAUGCAAUCAGGUGUUGGGGAUACAGGGGAAGCAUAAUAUCUCACCCAAUUCUAGCAAAUCCUACAUCCAGCUGUAUCCAUCCUUCAACACAUAACCGAGAAAAACUUUGGAAACCAUCUACCUCAACCUUCGAAAAGCAUCCAUUAUACAAGUUAUGGCGAUACUCCCGAACUCCCGCCCCAGUAUUGGGUGGCGUCGAGGUUAUCUCACCAACGAACUGCAUAAAAGAGAUUUUCGAUGUCGGCGUACUAAACUCAGGUAUUUCAGAACUGCAACGAUAAAAUUAUGACGACAACACCUCAGAGCUCAACUCCCCGGGACACUUCCACAAAACCCCUGACACGAGGCACCAAGACAAUGUUCUCGUCAUAAAACCAUCGGAACGAUUCCAAGAUACCCGCGUGAUCCUAAUUUUUUUAGUGAAAUUUGAGAAGAGAAGAGUCAAAACUCUACGUCAGGAUGCCUUACCAGAGCGAUGAGGAGACUGGGGAGUAAAAGAAUUCCUAAACUCUCCGAUAUAUAAUUCUUAAAUGACUCAAAACAUUUUUUCUAGACACAACUCAGCCGCUAAUAACGAUCAAUCAGUGGGGGCUCCUAAGGUCGGGGAAGGCUCUGAUUACCAACUUGUAACACCCUCGAUACGACUAUAUCUCCCACGUGUGGAGGCACGACUUAGAGGCAUAAUCGCAUUGAAGGCAUAUGUCGCAAGUAAGGCAAUCUUCACAACAUCCCAUGUAAUAUAAAUAAUAAAGGGAAGAUAACAUAGUUGGCUUACACUCGCCACGUCAAUCAAGUACAUAAAUAACAUUACAUCAUCCAAACACUCAUGGCCCGACUACGGCGCCAAAAUAAAAGAUAACCCAACAAGCGACACGGUCCCGAUCACCCCCAACAGGGCACCACUACUGAUCAUCAGGAAAAGAAACAUAAUAACGUUGAGAGUCCUCGUCGAACUCCCACUUGAGAUCGAGCGCGUCACCUGGAGCGGAAUCAUCAUGCCCUGCAUCUGGUUUAUUAGUAAUCUGUGAGCCACAGGGACUCAGCAAUCUCGCACCCUCGCGAUCAAGACUAUUUAAGCUUAAUAGGAAGGGCAAGGUAAAUAUGUGGAGCAGCAGCAAGCGACUAGCAAAUAUGGUGGCUAACUUGUUCGCAAAAGAGAGCGAGAAGAGGAGGCAAAGCGCGAACGAAUAACUAGAGGGCAAACCUGCGGCAAGCAUUACUCCAACACCGUGUUCACUUCCCGGACUCCGCCGAGAAGAGACCAUCAGGGUAACUCACACUGUUGAUCAUUUUAAUUAAGUUAAGGUUCAAGUUAUCUACAACCGGACAUUAACAAAUUCCCAUCUGCCCAUAACCGCGGGCACGGCUUUUGAAAGUUCAAAUCCCUGCAGGGGAGUCCCAACUUAGCCCAUGACAAGCUCUCACGGUCAACAAAUGAAUAGACCUCCUCUCGAGACGUUCCGAUCAGACUCGGUAUCUUGGUUCUUCAAGACACUUCGACAGGUUAAAACAAGACCAGCAACACUGCCCGAAUGUGCCGACAAAUCCCGAUAGGAGCUGCACAUAUCUCGUUCUCAGGGCACACUCAGAUGAGCUCUCCAUACAACUAAAACCAAACCUCGAGUUUCCCCGAGGGGGCGCUGCACAGGACUCUAGUUUGGACCAACACUCAAAGGAGCACUGGCCCAGGGGGGGCUAAAAUAAGAUGACCCUCGGGCUCCAGAAACCCAAGGGAAAGAGAGGCUAGGUGGAAAAUGGUAAAACCAAGGUUGGGCAUUGCUGGAAAAGCUUUAAUCAAGGCGAACUAUCAAGGGGUUCCCAUUACAACCCAACCGCGUAAGGAACGCAAAAUCCGGGAAUAUAACACCGAUAUGACGGAAACUAGGGCGGCAAGAGUGGAACAAAACACUAGGCGAGAGGCCCAACCUUCCACCCUUUACCAAGUAUAUAGAUGCAUUAAGAUAACAUGGCAAUAUAAUGAUAUCCCAACAAGUAAAAUAAUGUUCCCACAAGGAACGGUCUCCAAUCUUCACCUGCAACUAGCAACGCUAUAAGAGGGGCUGAGCAAAGCGGUAACAUAGCCAAUCAACGGUUUGCUAGGACAUGGUGGGUUAGAGGUCUGACAUGGCAAUUUGGAAGGCUUGAAGGCAAGUGGUAGGCAUCGUAUCAUAGGCAUAGCAAAAGAGCGAGCAUCUAGCAAAGCAAAGAUAGUAGUGAUUUCGAGGGUAUGAUCAUCUUGCCUGCAAAGUUGUCAGAGUUGACUGGAUCCUCGAGCAAACUCAAUGGGCUCCUCGUUAGCAAACUCGUCUCCCGGCUCUACCCAAACAAGACAAACAAGCAACAAGGACACAAUCAACCACGUGCAAGGCUCAAACAAUAUGAUGCAAAGAUGAUAUGCUAUGCGGGAUGCGAUGCGGGAUGCAUAUGCAAGAUGUGACAAGAAAUACAUGAACCUGGCCUCAACUUGGAAAUCCAAGUAUGCCAUUGGAAAGAUGAGAUGAAAUCGCUUGAAAACGAUAUAAAGAACGCCGGAAUCGGAGUUACGAUUUGGAAAUGGCAAGCAAUUCAAAUAUGACCAUGUUCUGCGAUUAACAGCAAGUAGCCAUCUAAAUGCAACAAGAUGAACAUGCUACAGCACCCAAACAUGGCAUAAAAAUACAUGGCAUGGAUGCAUUCAUGAUGCUUAACAAAAGUCUAGCACUAAGCUACGGCCAAUUCAUCCAUUAACAGGUUCAAACAAGCAUGGCAAAAAUGCAUAUGGUAAACAGAUCUCAGACUUAGUGAAAUUAACACUUGUCUGGAAUUUCAGAUCAGGUAGCACUCUUUGGAGCAACAAAACUACAUGCUACAGGACCUGAACAUGGCAAAGUAAAGCAUGGAAUGGAGCUACUCAAAGAGCUUAACAAAAGUCCCUUAGUGACCUUGAGCCAAAAGGGAUCAGAAAAUACAUUUGCAAGCAUGUGAACAUGGCAAACACAUAAUUAGUUCUCAGACUUAGUGAAAACUGGAACAUGCUAAAACAGAUAUCAAGUAGGCAUGUUUACGAGCUCGAUGCACUCACUACAGAGCAAGUCAUGGCAAUCUAAGCAUACACCCAUCAAGAAUACACAAAAUGCAAGCUAGACAUGGCAAGAACAAUAACAUAGCAUGCAUGGAUCAACUACAACAUCCUCGGCAAAAUCGCUAACAAGUAGAUAAUCUGGCCAGAUUCACGAAAUAGCAAAAGUAGAGCUCGAUUGACUCAAGCUAGGGUGCUCCAUAAUUGCAAACAAAGACAUGGAUGGAUAGAGCACUACAAGAUUAACAAAAUAUCAUUACUAAUCAUCCCCAAAAGAGGCACGGAUCAUUAUGAAACAAUAUGAACAUAUGGCCAUAUGAGAUAAACAGCUCAAGGACUUAGUGGAAAUGCUAAGUCCCUGAAAUCAGCAUUACCAAGUGCCUCACUUUGCAAGCUUGUGCUAGUCACCACACACAUCACAAAAAUACAUGGGUUGCACCUCUGGAAAGAUGGCAAAACCCUUAACAAAAUAUAUGUAGAGCUCAUGGGCAUAUCAUGCACACAAUAAUCAUGGCAAAAAUGACAAAUAGCUAAAUGGAGCAGCAAAUCUGACAAUUAUCUCAAGUAGCACUCUUCUAACAGCAUUUCGGGCAUCAAGAUGAACUCAAAUGAAAAUGAUGCAAUGGAAUGAAAUGAUGUGCUCUCCGGGGCGAACAUUUUGAUAUGCUAUAUGCCAAAAACGGAUUUACAGAUGAGGAGUUACGUGCGAUGAACAGGAGCAUAUGAACUAGGGUUUCGGGAAAAAAAGUCAACCGUCUCCGGAUCUAGAUCUGGCGGGUUACUGUAGCUACAAGCAAUCCGAGGAUCGCCGGAAUCAGCGUCGGAGUUAGAGGAGUGGUGGCCGGCGAGGUGGGGUUCGCCGGAUCUGGCCGGGGCGACGCGGGUCGCCGGCGGGGGNNNNNNNNNNNNNNNNNNNNNNNNNNNNNNNNNNNNNNNNNNNNNNNNNNNNNNNNNNNNNNNNNNNNNNNNNNNNNNNNNNNNNNNNNNNNNNNNNNNNNNNNNNNNNNNNNNNNNNNNNNNNNNNNNNNNNNNNNNNNNNNNNNNNNNNNNNNNNNNNNNNNNNNNNNNNNNNNNNNNNNNNNNNNNNNNNNNNNNNNNNNNNNNNNNNNNNNNNNNNNNNNNNNNNNNNNNNNNNNNNNNNNNNNNNNNNNNNNNNNNNNNNNNNNNNNNNNNNNNNNNNNNNNNNNNNNNNNNNNNNNNNNNNNNNNNNNNNNNNNNNNNNNNNNNNNNNNNNNNNNNNNNNNNNNNNNNNNNNNNNNNNNNNNNNNNNNNNNNNNNNNNNNNNNNNNNNNNNNNNNNNNGGAUGGAGUGGCGGCGCGCCACGUGGCGCGACGGGAGUGGGCGGCGGCAAUGUCCGGCGCGCGGACGGACGUGUCCGGCGCGCAGAUGAGGAGCGGGGCUAGGUUUAGGGUGGUUUGGAUUCGAAAUUUCGGGGAGGGGAUAUUUAUAGAGGUAGGAGGAGCUAGGAGAGUCCAAAUGAGGUGCGGUUUUCGGCCACGCGAUCGUGAUCGAACGCUCUAGAUGAUGGAGAGGGUUUUGGUGGGUUUUGGGCCAAAUUGGAGGGGUGUUGGGCUGAAACACACACGAGGCCUUUUUGGUCCCUCGGUAACCGUUGGAGUAUCAAACGAAGUCCAAAUGGUACGAAACUUGGCAGGCGGUCUACCGGUAGCAAACCAAGGCCGCUUGGCAAGUCUCUGUCCAAUCCGGAAAUAUUUAAUCCCCACACACGAAAGAAAGGUAGAAUUGACCAUUGGAGGAGAACGAAGCGCUGGAAUGCAAAACGGACAACGGGGAAAAUGCUCGAAUGCAUGAGAUGAACACGUAUGCAAAUGCAAUGCACAUGAUGACAUGAUAUGAGAUGCAUGACAAUGAUAACAACACACAGAGACAAAGACCUGAACCCGAGAAAAUAAAAUAACUUAACGCCGGAAAAGGCAAGAGUUGGAGUACAAAUUGGGUAAAUCAUAUCCGGGGUGUUACAAAGCUUGAAUUGAAUACAUCGGAGAAGAAAGAGAACGAAGAAUGAUGAGCUUGUAGAGCAUCUUCAUGAGAACCACCGGGUAAGAACAUUGAUUGAAAAUAAUGAAGAGACUUCACAUGAAUAAAAUGGAUACUUGAUUAAGACAUCUGAUUCCUUGAAGGAAAAGGGUGGGAGGGCGGGAAAACAAAGACAACUUGAAACGGAUGAAACGAAAACCGUUGGAAAAAACUGAGGGGUGAUAAUGGUAAAAAUGAUAGGAUCAUCUUGAAGGAAAACGCACCAGAUGAAAAGGAGUGACUUGACAAUCUCGAUUAUCAUGAAGGAUUAGUAUUCACAUAGAAAUAUGAGAACACCGCUUGGAAAAGGUAUGGAAUCAACACUUGACUUCGAAGCAACUCGAAUACCACAACUCAAAACAAAACAAAGGAUUUGGCUCGCAGAAUAAGCCAGAAACAAACAUAUGAUAGAUCCCAUAUCGUAUCAUGUGUCUGUUGGAAAGAUAUCCUACGUGAUACUUGAAUUCCCACUUAUAAACUCCCGAAAAUUUCUAGUUAUGCAAUCAGGUGUUGGGCAUACAGGAGAAGCAUAAUAUCUCACCCAAAAUAGCAAAUCCUACAUCCAGCUGUAUCCAUCCUUCAACACAUAACCAAGAAACCUUCGGAAAUCAUUUACCUCAACCUUCAAAAAGCAUCGUUAUACGAGUUAUGGCAAUACUCCCGAACUCCCGCCCCAGUACUGGGUGGCGUCGAGGUUAUCUCACCAACAACUGCAUAAAAGAGAUUUUCGAUGGCAGCGAACUCAGGUAUUCCAGAACUGCAAUGAUAAAAUUGUGAUGACAACACAUCGGAGCUCACCUCCCCGGGACACUGCCACAACCCCUAAAUGUCAGGAGGCACCAAGAACAAUGUUCUCGUCACAAGAAUAUCGGAACGAUUCCAAGAUACCUGCGUGAUCCUAAAUUUUUUUAGUGAAAUUUGAGGAGAGAAAAAGUCAAAACUUCUACGUCAGGAGGCUUCACCAGAGCGACGAAGAGACUGAGAAGUAAAAAGAAACCUACUCUACGAUAUAUAGAAUCCUAAGACUCAAAACAUUUUGUUCUAGACUCAACAACGUCAGCGAUUCGAUCAAGCAGGGGGAUCCUAAGUCAGGGAAGGCUCUGAUUACCAACUUGUAACACCCACAAUGAGGCUAUAUCUCCCACGUGUCGGGGCAUGACUUAGAGGCAUAGCCGCAUGGUAGGUCUGUCGCAAGAGGGGUAAUCUUUACACAUCCCAUGUACUGAAUAAGAAAGGGAUAAAGAGUCGGCUUACAAUCGCCACUUCAUGCAAUACAUAAAUAAUCCAUACAUCAUCCAGAAUACAAUCAAGGUCUGACUACGCAACCAAAAUAAAGAAAGACCACCCCAAAUGCUAGAUCCCCGAUCAUCCCAACUGGGCUCCACUACUGACCAAUAGGAAACGAAACAAGACAACGAUCAAGAUCUUCAUCGAGCUCCCACUUGAGCUGGGUUAUGUCACCUGCACUGGUAUCAUCGCACCUGCAACUGUUUGGAAGUAUAUGUGAGUCACGAGGACUCAACAAUCUCACACCCGCGAGAUUAGGACUAUUUAAGAUUAUAUGUAGGAAAGGGUAGUGAGGUGGAGCUGCAGCAAAGCACUAAGCAUAUGUGGUGGCUAACUUACGCAAAUAAGAGCGAGAAGAGAAGCAACGCAACGGUCGUGAACUAGAAGUAAUCCUGAAACUACUUACGUUCAAGCAUAACACAAGGACCGUGUUCACUUCCCGGACUCCGCCGAAAAGAGACCAUCACGGCUACACACGGUUGAUGCAUUUUAAUUAAGUUAAGUGUCAACUUAUCUCCAACCGGAUAUUAACAAAUUCCCUUUUGCCACGUAACCGCGAGCACGACUUUCGAAAGUUUAUACCCUGCAGGGAUGUCCCAACUUAGCCCAUCACAAGCUCUCACGGUCAACGAAGGAUAUUCCUUCUCCCAGGAAGACCCGAUCAGACUCGGAAUCCCAAUUACAAGGCAUUUCGAUAAUGGUAAAACAAGAUCAGCAAGACCGCCCGGAUGUGCCGACAAAUCCCGAUAGGAGCUGCACAUAUCUCGUUCUCAGGGCACAACGGAUAAGCUAAGCAUACAGGUACCAACAUAACCCAAGUUGCCAAGGGACGGUCCCGCAUGGUGCUCUGGUUCGGACCAACACUUAGAGAAGCACUGGCCCAGGGGGGUUAAAAUAAGAUGACCCUCAGGCUCGCGAAAACCCAAGGGAAGGUUAUAGGUUGUUAGGCAAAUGUAAAACCAAGGUUGGGCCUUGCUGGAGGAGUUUUAUUCAAAGCGAACUGUGAAGGGGUUGCCAUAACACCCAACCGCGUAAGGAACGCAAAAUCAAGGAACAUAACACCGGUGUGACGGAAACUAGGGUGGCAAGAGUGGAACAAAACACCAGGCAUAAGGCCGAGCCUUCCACCCUUUACCAAGUAUAUAGAUGCAUUAACUAAAAUAAGAGAUAUUGUGAUAUCCCAACAAAUCCAUGUUCCAACAUGGAACAAACUUCAACUUCACCUGGAACUAGCAACGCUAUAAGAGGGGCUGAGCAAAAGCGAUAACAUAGCCAAACAACGGUUUGCUAGGAAGGUGGGUUAGAGGCUUGACAUGGCAAUAUGGGAGGAAUGAUAUAACAAGUGGUAGGUAGCGCAACAUAGCGAUCUACUAGCAAGCAAAGAUAGAAGUGAUUUCGAGGGUAUGUCAUCUUGCCUGAGAUCCUGCAAGGAAGAAGAACGAGUCCAUGAAGAAGGCAAACGGACAUAGUCGAACGGAUCCUCACAACUCCAGAACAAAACCGAAGCUAACGAGAGAAGCAACCCGGAAAGAAGCAAGCAACAUAGUAAACAACCAUCACAUGAAUAUGGCAUGAUGCACAACCAAGGAUGAUGCAUGUCCGGUUUAAAUAUGCAUGGCAUGGCAAAGUGCACAAACAACACUACAAGUUAAGUGGAGCUCAAUAUGCAACGAGUUGCAUAUUGAUGAAACACCACAUUUGAUUAUUUAGUUCACUCCCGUUUAUGUACUCAACAAUAUUAAAUGUUGUUAAACAUUGCAAGAGAUGAAGCAAAAGUAAACUACACAAUCUAAGCAAUUUAAAUGGGGCCGGAAACAUCAAACAACAGUUCCGAUAAAUCCCCAUAUGCAUUUAGCAAUUUAAAGCAAACAACAAUUUUAAACAUUCUUGAUGUUGUUAUCAUGAUGCGGAUGACAUGUGCAAGUUUAUGCAAAUUGUAUUAAAAGUUGACAUGAGCAUAUUAUGAAGCAUUUGUCAUCAUGGUGGAAACGAAAGGGGUGAAACGAAAGGGGUGCCACGACAACAAAUCCGAAAAUGAUGCUACGGCAACAUAUCAGUUCCGGUAGCUCAUGGAGAUACCGGUGCAAAAGGAAAAGUGACGGGAGCGUGUCAUGCAAGGAUGGUGGGGUGGUCUCGGAUACCGGGUUCCCACGAGUCGACGACGGUGCCAAGCGAGGGAAACAACUAGCGUUCACAGGAGGAUACAACAUCCAAACAUGCAUCUCAUACAACACAUGCAUUCGUUCACGGGCGGUCGUCUCGGGGUUAUACCUUCGAAGCGCGCAAACGGGACAGUUCUCGUUUGGUGCAAAGUAGAGGAAGUAGACGUUCUCGGGAUGUUCGUAGUGGAGGUAGUCGUUCACGGCGACGGUAGUUGUACACGGGUCUUCGGCCACGGAAGUAGUCGCACAAUGUUUUUGUAGAGGUUCGGGGUCACGACAUGGAACUUGACGUCCACGGUGUCUUUGCGGGUGGACGGUAGUGGUACUUGGCAAAAUGCACGUCGACGGUAGUUGUUCUUGUAUCAUCGUGGAAGUAGUCGUACUCGACAAUAGUGGUACCCGUCUUCGUAGAUGUUCAAGUCAUCGGUAGCGGUACUUGGUGAAACCCGAAACGGUCUUGGCGUCUUCGCGCGUAGGGGUACUUGGCGUUUCACUAGACUUGACGAUUCCGGAGACGAUGGUAGACGAAUUUGGUAGUCCAGGGUACUUGGUGUGCAGCGAGCAACGUUGUGGUGUAUAGGUGCAUCGGUGGUCUCGAUCACGUAAGUGUUACCGAGAUGCGGCUGUUAUAGCCACAUGAACAUGAGCAUGGCGCUAGACUCGGACAAGGCCGAAGGAGGCCUCGGCAAGGAGGAGAGCAGCGGGGUAGAGGAGAUCCCGCGAGGAGGCAGCAAAUGUGCGGCUCCUUAGCAGAGAGGUCGUGGCCAUGGGAGGAUCUGAGAGCUCGGAACCGUGGCGAAGAAGAGAGCAACGGGGUUUUGCGGACAUGGUACUCACAGCAGCAGGAGAAGAGAAGAAAAAGGUGACCGGGAGGGGCGGCAAGCGGACGUGGCUCCGACGGAGAUACUCGCUGGCGGCGGCCAGAAAGGCAGGGCCCCGGCGUGAUGGAGGCGGAUCAGAGGAGCGGUGGAGUAGAGCAGGCGCUGGCGGCGGCGCUGGCUGGAGCGAGGUGGAGGCACUCGGUCCUCGGGCACGAGCGGGGAAGGAGAGGUGGCCGUGGUAGGUUCCGGGCGGCGCUCGGCGGCGACAGACUUGAAGGCGGGGCGGUGACGUGGUGUUCCACUCCUUCUUCUGCUCCUUCGACGAGAAGAGUUGGCGGCGGGGACGAGGUGGCGUAGGGUCGGGCGAGGUGCCCUGGCAGCGGCGCUAGGAGGGGGGUGAGGGGAUCGGGCGUCUCCCUUGGAGCCGCUGGGUGCGGUUCCUGUGGGCGAGCGAGGAGAGGGGGAGAGAUGGGGAUCGGGCCAGAGGCUCUGGCGGCGCGAGAGAGAGAUCGAGGAGAGCAAGGGAUCGGGCUAGCGAGCGGCUAGGGUUAGGUGCGGUUGGGCCUUGGGCCACUGGAGGCUGGGCCUGGGAGGUCCAAGAGGUAGGACUAGCUGCUGGGCUCUCUCUCCCUUAAGUCUUAAAAAACCUUUUCAGAAAACAGAAAAAUCGCAAAGAAAAAAAGGAGAAAAAAAAAGGGUUAUAGGAAGGAUUUGGGCACGCGGAUUAUUUUCCCAAAGUCGCAAAAAUGGGUAUGAUUCCAGAAAAAAAUGGAGUGGCAAGAUUGUAAGAAUUGAAUUCAAAGAUACGAACAAAGAGUAGGAUUUAGAAGUGUCUAAAAAUGUUGAGAAUUUUGGUGGAGCUCCGGAAAGUGAAGAAAGAAUUUUAGGGCAAAGUUUGGAGACGAAACUUGAAGCGGAAAAAGGCAUGUGAUUAUUUGCAAGUGUGUUUAUGGGUGAUUCCAAAUUAUUGGAAUAUAAUUUUUAUAGCUCCCUAAAAUAUUGGGAGGAUAUGUUACAUAGAGAAAUCACCAUGUGAGUUCCCUCAAUUUAAAUAGAUCAAAUAUCUAUGCAUUUUAUCUAGUUGAGUUAAAAAAAAUGAAAUGGCAUGAUGGCAUGAUGACAUGAUGCAAUGCACAUGAUGCAAAGAUGGAUGCAACAGACAAAACAAAUCAGCCGGCGAAACUCGAAAAAACAUGGAAGGCAUCUGAAGCGUCGGUCUUGGGGCGUCACACCAAGGCACCCAUAGAUAAUAUUCAAGGAAGACCCAAGCGUCUAAGCUUGGGGAUGGCACAGAUGACAUACCCUCUUUCGUCUAUAAUUCAUCGGUAUGUUACUUGGAGCUUUAUUUUUAUUCAUUACAUGAUACGAGUUUUACUUGGAGCGUCUUGUAACAUAGUUUUAUUUUGUUUGCUUGUUAACUUGCCACAAUCAUUGUUUGCUAGUCACAUCUUUUGAGAGAGACACACAUUCAUCAUGAUUUUGUUAGAGUACUCUAUGAGCUUCACUUAUAUCUUUUGAGCUAUGCAGUUGCUCAUGUGCUUCACUUAUAUCUUUAGAGCAUGGUGGUGGUUAUAUUGUAUAGGAACCAUUUGCACUCUCAUGCUCCACUUAAAAUCUUUUUGAGAGUGUCUUAAAUACGAAGUGGUAAUAUGAUACUAGUCUAAAAAUGAUAGGUAUACAAGAGGGAUAUAAUAAAAACUUUCAUGUAGAGAACUGAAUAUGAAAUGUGUUAAUUAAUUAUAUUGAUGUAAUAAUAUGAAAGGGUAUUGGUUCAUAAUUAUUAGUUAGUAAAGAUAUCGGUAUUAAAGCUUGUUAUCUAUUACUCUAAAUGUCGGUCAUGGCAUGGCGGGGAUGUUCGAGCAUUUUUAUUUCUGAUUGAAAUCCUUUGUGUUAUUUGAAUCGAGGGCGCGUGAUAGUUAACUCCUACCAACCUCCUCCCUAGGGGCAUGCGAGUAGUACUUUGCUUCGAGGGCUAAUAAAACUUUCACUAUAAGUUUAUGAGUUCUUCAUGACUAAUGUGAGUUCGUGGACUAAUACCACACUACCACCUAUCCAUAUAUUGCCAGCCUGUCCGGUGCUGUGCAUUGCUUAUUCUCACCUUGAGAGUCGGUGCAAACUUUACUGGUGCAUCCAUACCCCGUGAUAUGAUAUACAUAAGCCUCCUAUAACCGUCCUUAAAACAACCACCAUACCUACCUAUCAUGGCAUUUCCAUAGCCAUUUUGAGAUAUAUUGCCAUGCAACUUCCAUGGUCACUAUCCACAUGACAUGUGUGUUCAUCAUCAUAUUGCUUUGCAUGAUCAUAUAGAGCUGUCAUGAUAUUUGUGGCAACGCCACUGUUCAUCAUUGUAAUACAUGUUAUGCUAGAUCAUUGAACAUCUUGGUACACUGCCAGAUGCAUUCAUAUAGAGUCAUAUUGUUUUAGUUUAUCGAGUUGUAAGUAAAUAAAAGUGUGAUGAUCAUCAUCAUUACAGGAUUGUCCUAGUGAGGUAAAGAAUGAUGGAGACUGAUUAGUCCUCCAAAAGGUGGGGAUGAGGCUCGUGAUAUUGUUCUUAAAAAGAGAGAAAAAAUAAUUAAAAAAAGAGAGAAAAAGAGAGAAGGGGCGAUGCUACUAUCCUUUUACCACACUUUUGCUUCAAAUAGCACCAUGGUUCUUCAUAUAGAGAUUCUCCAUGAUUUGUCACUUUCAUAUACUAGUGGGAAUUUUUACGUUAUAGAACUUGGCUUGUAUAUUCCGAUGACGGGCUUCCUCAAAUGCCCAAGGUCUUCAUGAGCAAGCAAGUUGGAUGCACACCUGAAGGAAGUAUUCCCUAGAGGCAAUAAUAAAGUUGUUAUUUAUAUUUCCUUAUAUCAUGAUAAAUAUUUAAUAUUCAUGCUAGAAUUGUAUUAACUGGAAACAUAGUACAUGUGUGAAUACAUAGACAAAUAUAGUGUCCCUAGUAUGCCUCUACUUGACUAGCUUGUUAAUCAAAGAUGGUUAAGUUUCCUAGCCAUGGAUGUGAUGGACAAGACCCAUCCAUUAUCUUAGCAUAAUGAUCGUUCAGUUUUAUUGCUACUGCUUUCUUCAUAACUUAUACAUGUUCCUCUGACUAUGAGAUUAUGCAACUACCGAAUACCGGAGGAACACCUUGUGUGCUAUCAAACGUCACAACGUAACUGAGUGAUUAUAAAGAUGCUCUACAGGUGUCUCCGAUGGUGUUUGUUGAGUUGGCAUAGAUCGAGAUUAGGAUUUGUCACUCCGUGUAUCUGAGAUGUAUCUCUGGGCCCUCUCGGCAAUGCACAUCACUAUAAGCCUUGCAAGCAAUGUGACUAAUGAGUUAGUUACGAGAUGUUGCAUUACGGAACGAGUAAAGAGACUUGCCGGUAACGAGAUUGAACUAGGUAUUGAGAUACCGACGAUCGAAUCUCGGGCAAGUAACAUACCGAUGACAAAGGAAACAACGUAUGUUGUUAUGCGGUUUGACCGAUAAAGAUCUUCGUAGAAUAUGUAGGAGCCAAUAUGAGCAUCCAGGUUCCGCUAUUGGUUAUUGACCAGAGAUGUGUCUCGGUCAUGUCUACAUAGUUCUUGAACCCGUAGGGUCCGCACGCUUAACAUUUUGUGAUGAUUUGUAUUAUGAGUUAUGUGAUUUGAUUAUCGAAGUUUGUUCGAAGUCGCGGAUGAGAUCGGGGACAUGACGAGGAGUCUCGAAAUGGUCGAGACGUAAAGAUCGAUAUAUUGGAAGGCUAUAUUAGGACAUCGGAAAGGUUCCGAGUGAUUCGAGUAUUUUUUGGAGUACCGGAGAGUUACGGGAAUUCGUAUUGGGCCUUAAUGGGCCAUGGAAAGGAGAGAAAGGCCUCAAGGGUGGCCGCGCCCCUUCCCCAUGGACUGGUCCGAAUUGGACUAGGGAAAUGGGGCGGCCCCUUCCUUCCUUCUCCUUCCCCUUCCCUUUUUCCUAUUCCAUGUAGGAGGUGGAAUCCUACUAGGACUAGGGAGUCCUAGUAGGACUCCACACUUUGGGUGCGUCCUAUGAGGGCCGGCCUCCUCCUCCCUCCAUACUUUAUAUACGUGGCCAGGGGGCACCCCAUAGACACAAGUUGAUCAUUGAUCUCUUAGCCGUGUGCGGUGCCCCCCUCCACCAUAAUCCACCUUGGUCAUAUCGUAGUGGUGCUUAGGCGAAGCCCUGUUCCCGUAGCAUCAUCAUCACCGUCAUCACGCCAUCAUGCUGACGAAGCUCUCCCUCGACACUCUGCUGGAUCAUGAGUUCAUGGGACGUCACCAAGCCGAACGUGUGCAGAUCGUGGAGGUGCCGUACUUUCGGUACUAGGAUCAGUCGAUCGUGAAGACGUACGACUACAUCAACCGCGUUAUCAUAACGCUUCCGCUUACGGUCUACAAGGGUACGUAGACAAUACUCUCCCCUCUCGUUGCUAUGCAUCACCAUGAUCUUGCGUGUGCGUAGGAUUUUUUUUGAAAUUACUACGUUCCCCAACACUGGCAUCCAAGCCAGGUUUAUGCGUAGAUGUUAUAUGCACAAGUAGAACACAAAGGAGUUGUGGGCAUGGGUAUAUACAUAUUUCUUGCCGUCACUAGUUGAUUCUUGAUUCGACGGUAUUGUUGGAUGAAGCGGCUCAGACCGACAUUACACGUACGCUUACGCGAGACUGGUUCUACCAACAUGCUUCGCACACAGGUGGCUAGUAGGUGUCUGUUUCUCCAACUUUAGUUGAAUCAGAUUCAAUGAACAUGGUUCUUUCUGAAGAUCAAAAAACAAUCACUAUACCACGUUGUGGUUUUUUAUGCGUAGGUAAGAACGGUUCUUGCUCAGCCCGUAGCAGCAAUGUAAAACUUGCAACAACAAAGUAGAAGACGUCUAACUUGUUUUUGCAGGGCAUGUUGUGAUGUGAUAUGGUCAAGACGUGAUGAGAUAUAAAUUGUUGCAUGCGAUGAUCAUGUUUUGUUGAAGUUAUCGGUAACUGGCAGGAGCCUUAUGGUUGUCUCUUUAUUGCAUAAGAUGCAAGCGCCAUAUAAUUGCUUUACUUUAUCGCUAUACGAUAGCAAUAGUUGGUGAGAGGACCAUGUGACGACACGUUGAUAGAGAUCAAGAUGAUGGAGAUCAUGGUGUCAUGCCGGUGAUGAUAGAGAUCAUGACGGUGUUUUGGAGAUGGUGAAAGUGCAACUAUCCCUGGGUGGUUUUGGUAAUUCCUAACAACAUAUAACUCAUUGAGCUAAUGCUACUUAAAGAUAAACCUUUCAGGAAAGCUCAAUGAUUGGCAUGGCAUGGAUGAGAAAAGUGGAUCCCUCAAAAUUCUAAGGACAAAGGAUUGGCUCAAGCUCAAGGCUCAGGACUCUACAUCUUUUCAUUUUAAGUGAUCCAAGAUCACAUUGAGUCCAUACGAAAAGCCAGUACUAUUCAGAGGGGAUGAGGUGUUUCCUAAUGGCUUGCUUGCUCAAAGUGGCUAGUGAUAUGCUCCAAAAGCCCUCAACUACUUUCUCACAUCCACAUAUGUCCCAAACCAAAAGUCAAACUCGGCCCCACCAAAACUUUCUAUCCGGCGCCGCCAAGUUCAGUUGACAUAGCCACUACCAGAAACCCUAGUCUUUUCGGUCUCACCGAGAUGGGAUUGUAAUCUCUCUGUUUCCCUUUGUAACGUUUCGGUCAAACCGAGAUGAGCGAUCGGUCCCACUGAGAUUGCAAUGAAAACUCUCUGUUUCCCUUUUGUAACGUUUCGGUCCAACCGAGAUGAGCGAAUCGGUCCCACCGAGUUUCCCUAACCAACUCUCUGUUAGUCCAUUACCAAAAUCGGUCUCACCGAGUUUGUGUAAUCGGUCUCAUCGAGAUUACGUUAUGCCCUAACCCUAACAAAACUGGUCCCACCGAGUUGACAUGUCGGUCCCACCGAAAAACCCUAACGUUCACAUUUUGAACUAAAUCGGUCUGACCGAGAUUGGUGAUUUGUGUGUAACGGUUAGAUUUUGUGUGGAGGCUAUUUAUACCCCUCCACCCACUCUUCAUUCAUGGAGAGAGCCAUCAGAACAUGCCUACACUUCCAACAUACAUUUUCUGAGAUAGAACCACCUACACUUGUGUUGAGGUCAAGAUAUUCCAUUCCAGCCACAUAAAUCUUGAUCUCUAGCCUUCCCCAAGUUGCUAUCCACUCAAAUCUUCUCUCUACCAAAUCCAAAUCCUAUGAGAGAGAGUUAAGUGUUGGGGAGACUAUCAUUUGAAGCACAAGAGCAAGGAGUUCAUCAUCAACACACCAUUUGUUACCUCUUGGAGAGUGGUGUCUCCUAGAUUGGUUAGGUGUCACUUGGGAGCCUCUGUCAAGAUUGUGGAGUUGAACCAAGGAGUUUGUAAGGGCAAGGAGAUCGCCUACUUCGUGAAGAUCUACUCGAGUGAAGCAAGUCCUUCAUGGGCGACAGGCAUGGUGGGAUAGACAAGGUUGCUUCUUCAUGGACCCUUCGUGGGUGGAGCCCUCCGUGGACUCGCACAACCGUUACCCUUCGUGGGUUGAAGUAUCCAUCAACGUGGAUGUACGAUAGCACCGCCUAUCGGAACCACGCCAAAAAUCUCCGUAUCUCCAAUUGCGUUUGCACACUCCAAACUCCUCCCUUUACCUUCAUAUGCAAUUGUUUUACUUUCCGCUGCUAUACUCUUAGAAUUGCAUGUGUGGGUUGAUUGCUUGAUUUGUGCUAAGUUGCUAAAAUCUGCCUAGAACUAAAAUUGGGAAAAGACUAGAUUUUUAUUUGGUCAAGUAGUCUAAUCACCCCCCUCUAGACAUACUUUCGAUCCUACAAGUGGUAUAAGAGCUUUGGUCUCCAUUUGCUUUGAUUUCCGUAGCUUUUGGUGGUCAUAGCCUUGGUUUCACAACCUAGGAGAGUAUGGUGUCUAGCGAGGGAAAUUACCACCGUAGAGGUACUUACUUUGAUGGUACAAAUUUUGCUAGUUGGAAGCAUAAGAUGAAAAUGCAUAUUCUUGGACAUAACCCCACCAUUUGGGCUAUUGUGUGUAUUGGCUUGCAAGGUGAAUUGUUCGAUGGUAGAGAACCAAACCGUGAAGCUAUCGUAGAAGAAUUGAAGAUGCUACAAUAUAAUGCUCAAGCUUGUGAUAUUCUCUUCAACGGAUUAUGCCCCGAAGAAUUCAACAAAAUCAACCGUCUUGAGAAUGCAAAGGAAAUUUGGGAUACUUUGAUUGAUAUGCACGAAGGUACCGAAUCCGUCAAGGAAUCCAAAUUGGACGUGCUUCAAAGUCAGCUUGACAAGUUCAAAAUGAAGGAUGGUGAAGGCGUUGCUGAAAUUUACUCUAGGCUUGCUCUCAUCACAAAUGAGAUUGCCGGCUUAGGAAGUGAAGAGAUGACCGAUAUAUUCACCAUCAAGAAGAUCCUAAGAGCCUUGGAUGGAAAAUAUGAUACCGUGUGCACAUUGAUCCAAAUGAUGCCCAAUUACAAAGAUCUGAAGCUAACGGAAGUUAUUGGAAGAAUUGUUGCUCAUGAGAUGUCACUCAAGGAUAAGGAAGAGCUUCACAACAAGUCAAGUGGUGCUUACAAAGCCUCGUGUGAUGCUUCCACAUCAUCAAGUGAGAAGCAAAUCUUCAAUGAAGAAUUGAGUCUAAUGGUGAAGAACUUCAACAAGUUCUACAAGAGUAGAAGCAAGGAAAGAAGUUCCAAGUCAAGGUCCUAUAAUGACAAAAUAUCUUCUAGUCAUGAGAGUAAUUGCUACAAUUGUGGAAGAGCCGGACACUACUCCAAUGAAUGUACUCCCCCCUACAAAGGAAGAGAAGAUUCUCCCAAAAUAAGGAGUAGAAGAGAAGAAUCACCAUCAAGAGAGAGGAGUAGAGAUGAUCGUUAUGAACAAAGACCCUCUCGGAGAAGCAAGGACUCGGAAAGGAAGGACAAGAAGUCAUCAAGGAGCUACACGAAAAGAAGACAUCAAGCUCAUGUUGGUGAAUGGGUAUCCGGUUCCGACUCCGACAAUCACUCCGACUCCGAAUAUACUCAAGAUGAAGGUGUUGCCGGACUAGCACUUGUGACAACCAACUCCCUUGACAUAUUUGACUCACCAAAUGAAGGAAUUGGGAGAUGCUUCAUGGCUAAAUGUCCAAAGGUAACACACCCCGAGUAUGUUGAUUUCAAUAGUGAUGAAGAUGAUUUGCUAGGAUAUGAUGAUUUACUUGUUGACAACUCUAGUUAUGAAAACUAUAAUGAGCUUGCUAUUAAUCAUAAUAAUCAAUAUAAAACGAAUGACGAUGAUAAGAAGGAGAUUGAGCAUCUAACUAAAGAACUAAACACUCUUAAGUUAGCUCAUGAAACUACCUUGGAAGAUCAUCGAGAACUUUUAAAGACUCAUGAUAAGCUACGCUUUGAAAAGCUCAACCUUGAGAAAGAACAUGAGUUUUUAAAGGCAAUCAAAGAUGAUCUUCGCAAGAAAAGUUCUUCUUACAUUGCCAAGCGUUUACUCUUGUCUACUUACAUGCCACAAGUUAAAUCUAGCAACAAGAACAAGAAAGAUUCUUCAUCUAGUAGUAACAACAAUCAUGCUAAAUCCAAUGUUGUUGCUUCUAGUAGCUCUCUUGAUUCCACUAAUGAUUCUCUUAGCCAAGUUAUACUUGAGCAAGAAAAUAGCUUAUUGAAGGGAACUAUAGAGAAAGGUGUUUACAAGAUCCUUGCCGGAAGCAAGCAAUUUGAGGAAAUUGUACGCAAGCAAGGAAGACACCGGAGGAAUCAAGGUGUUGGUUUUGAACGAAAGUUCAAUGCCAAUGGAGUUGAGUGGGAAGAAGAUCAAUACCCCAAGAUGAAGUUUGUUCCUCAACAAGAGAAGUAUGAUCCUACUUCUUUCAAAGGAACACAAUCUCAAGAUGAUCUUCCACCAGAAGACCACAAGCAAAAAGGAAAGGACAAGCUUCAAGAGGAGAUUGAUGCAUUCGAGGAAGCUCCCAAAGCCUUGGUCAAGUGGGUUCCCAAGACUACAUCAAGUUCUACUUCAUCAAGUACAACUACAACUCCAAGGAUUCCCAUCAAGAUGGUGUGGAUCCCGAAGAAGAAGAACUAGAGAGUUCUUGAGGGUGACUCCGCGAACAUACUUCACUCCUAUCAUUUUGGCGAGGACAAGUGCAAACAACUUUCGUAUCUUGCACUAGUUCAAGGAGUCACGAACCCUUUUGUUGGUAAGAUAAGGGACAAGGUAACCUAAUGCUUCCACGGAGAUCAUCUUGUGUACACAUCACUCUAUGUCUAUGGAUAUCCUUGUUUGUUCCUUGUGGGACUAACCCAUGUAGGUAUUGAAAGUGCAACCCACUCCAAAGGAUUGCUUCGAAUGAUCUACAUCAACAUUGAGCAUCCACAUCUUCAACACCUACAUGAAGUCAUCAUCGACAAAACCCAAGGUUAGUUGAUCCCUCUUAGGAGGAAUAUCACAUCUAGGGGGAGCUUUACUCUAAUCAAUUGAGCUAAAGCAACUCUAAUGGUGUGAGUACAACAAUGCUCUAUGUAAAAGUGGUAACCCCACUUGUGCUUAAGCGAUGAGUAUGACCUACGAUCAAAUGUUCUCAUUUGACUCGUAAGUCAAUAUACUCAUAUAUAGAUGACCUAGUCAUCGCAAAUUGCUUGAUAGAUGCUAGAGUGAUUGUGCAUGCUUUGUCACAUAUUUCUUUUGCCAUCUUAUUGUGUGAGCAUGUUGGUUGCAUAUUUUACUCAUUCGAGGACAUCCAUUUGUUGCUUUGAUUGUUUGGCCUUUUUCUCUUUUGCCAAAUGGAUGGACAAGAAUGCCUAAGAACUCCAUCUAGCUAUCUAUGCUUUUCUCGUCUCAAACUCUAUUCAUGCUACAUCACAAAGUUUGAUCAAGUCAGUUUCGAACCACUUUGCGUGAGGAGCACUCGGAGUCCCCGAUUUGUCAUAGACUUAAACUUCCAAAACCUCUUUGUGCAUUUCGGUCUGACCGAUUCAUACUUUUCGGUCCUACCGAGAUCACUUAGUUGAUCUAGGUUUUCAAUCUAUGUGCAACCGAUAAGAACUGUUCGGUCACACCGAGUUGCAGUAACUGCCUGCAGUUUUGCAUCUCGGUGCCACCGAGUUGUUUCACUCGAUCACACCGACAGGGUCAGGUUAUAUAUACUGACGGGCUAAAUUUUGGAAAUUUUUUCGAAACCCUUCACCCGGGCAUAACCUACUCUGCCUCCUCGGGUUUCCGGAUCAUCUUCUCGCCAUCAGCGACCUCGCGCCGCUAGUCUCCGCCACCGUCAACGGCAAUCUGCCCCGCCGUUGCCGUCGUAGCAAGUUCGCCGCCGAAGUAGGGUAUGAACUUGAUCUUUGUGCUAUUCCUUAACUCCGGUUCAUAGCACAUUGCUUUGCCAUGAUUCUUGCCACGUAUGAAAUCAUCUUAUCCAUCGAAAGCAUCUCGUAGAUUAGAUUUGAUUUGAAAAUUUAGGGUUAGGUCUCCGCCGAACUCAACUCGGACCGACCGACUUUUAGAAUUCGGUCUCACCGAUUUGGCUUAGGUCAUUGCACAUGCGUUUUUGGUGUGAACGAAAAUUGCAGAUCGGUGUGACCGAGUUCAAUUCUCUGUGAAACCCUAGCAGUCUUGGUGCCACUGAACUGUGACUUGGUCUGACCGAGUUCACUAGUUUAGGUUCCAAAAGCUGCUUCGGUAUCACCGAGUUUACAAAUCGGUAGAUCCGAAAUGCUUUCUGUGAAGAACUAAAACUAAGUUUUUGAGUCAAGUGUUUUGCAAAACUCAUGUACGUUGUGAUGCUCAUAUUCUCUACCUCAUCUAUAAUCUAUUCACAGGGUCUGCUGACAGUAUGCCUGCAAGAUGUCUGAUCAAAGUGAUAGCCAGAACAAGUCUGAGGAGUAGGUUCAACUGAGUGAGGGCACUAGUCCCUCUAGCACUUUUGAUGAGGGCAGCAGGAGCACGCCAAGUAACUUGCCAAAGGCAGCUACCAGGACAAGGAAUAAGAAAACUUUUGAUUCAGAAGAUGAAGAUUAUGUGGCUGUUGAGGAUGAGGCCAGUUCAAAGAAAAAGGUGCUGAAAAAGGAGUAUGGCUCAGCUGCUACAGUCAAGCCAGGGAUGCAUAAGAAGGCACCAGCAAAGAGAGUUCCCUAUGUCUAAGGCCAGAGCAUCAACUGCUGAAACCUCCAAGCCAACUGAAGAGGCCGCUGGAGAAGGAAAGAAAAGGAAGGAAAGGGUCAAGAAGACCACUGCCAGAGUGCUUAGCAGAUCAUCCAUAAUGAGAGAGAUCCAGAAGAAGAAGAAGAGGAAGAGGAUGCUGCACCAGCUCCUAAGGCACAAAAUCUCAUGGGAGAUGCAAUCAGAUUAGGGGAUACUCCAUCUAAGCCCAAAGCAGCUCCCAAGGCCACUGCUCCAGCUCAGAAGCCUAAACCCAAGAGAAGCACUAGAAACAUUCCUGCUGAGGAGAAAAACAAGGCCCCAGUGCCUAAAGCUGCUGAAGAAGAAGAUGAAGCCCAAGAUCCUUGACCACAAUGAUACACAUCCUGUGGAAAAAAACAUGAAAAUCAGGAAGGAUGUAGGAUUGACGUUAUGGAGACAGUCUGAUCCAUAUGCUAUUAGGAGGAGGACUGCUGUGGACUACAUGUUUCAUAGCAAGGAACAGCAAGAUUUUUAUGAGACAGUGUUGCUUGACAAGAAGCCCAUUGUAUGUGACAUGAAAUGGGUGGAUUGGGAAUACAUCCAGGAAAAUGAAGAUCACUAUCCAGGUGUAUAUGACAGCUUCAAGGCAUGUGGAGUUGAUACCUUUGUGGCCCAGAAGCUCACCAAGUGGAAUGAUAAGUUGAUCAUGCAGUUCUACCACUGCCCAUUUCUAUCCAGAUGGGAAGAUCGUUUGGAUGUCUGAGGGUACCAGGUACCAGUCUAUAGUUGAUGAAUGGGCUUAGUUGAUCAAUGCCCCUGCAGAGCAUGAAGAUGACUUGGAUAUAUGCUGAGAAGAAGAAAGACCACAACACAAUGGCCAACAUGUACAAAGAGAUCCCAGAUGCUGCUUUGGAUACUCACAAGUUUGGAUCUGUCCACUUCUUGUUGUCUGGUCUGCCUACUAUAAAUUGCAUCCUCAGACACACAUUGCUACCCAAGUCAGGUGAUCACAAGAUGAUCAGAGGACAUGCCAUCAACUUGCUACAUUUGUUUGAUGUGCCUCAAAAAAUUCAAAGUCAUGAGUCUGAUUACGGAAACAAUCAAGAGGACUGCUGCUGACCAGAAGAGAAGUUGCGGGCAUGCUCGACAAAUUCAGGAGCUCAUCAACUCAAAGAUGGGCACAUGCAAGUAUAUUUUGGAUAAGGAGCACAUGCCCAUCUACCUUGAUUUUGAAGACAAUACUGUUGUAAUGACUGAGGAAGGUCCAUCAUCUGUGCAAGCACAUGAGAAGACAGAGAAGGCAAGGGCAGAGAAAGCUGCAAGGAUGCCAACUGCUGAAGAGGCAUCUCAGGUUUUCCUGAAGAGCAAGCAAGAUCAUCUUGGAUAUAUGAUUCAAGCUACACUGAGGAUUGAGAAGGGCUUGGCCACCCUAGCUCAAAACCAGGAGAGUUUGGAGAGGAUCGUUGAGCAGAAGAUCUAUGAUCUAGAUGUCAAGGUAACUGAGAUCCAAACUGCAGUUGAGCAGCUACAGGAGGAAGCAGAGGAGAAGAAGGGCAAGUCCACUACUGAUGCUUUCAAGCGUGUGCCACAAGGUCCAAGGUCUGCUGCAGUGCCAGUCACAGAUACUAGAACAUCAGUGUCAGCACCCGCAGCCACAGCUCCAGUGCCACCUCCAGCACCCACUCCAUCAGCUCCAACUACUUCAUCGGAAGCCUUCGUCCUUGGAGUGCUCUCUACACCACCUCCCAAAGAUCAAGCCUGAGAGUCGUUUAGCACUAUGCAUUUUUGAACUUUUUGGUAACUUGUUGCCAAAGGGGGAGAAAAAUGUAUAGAUCAUAGGCUUCGAGAGAGAGUGUUGUUCUUUUAUCUCUCUUGCUAUUUUGGUUGAACUUAUUUAUUGAGUGCUUGUGUGAGAUACUUUAUGUCCUUCUGAGAUACUUGUUGAUCAUGUGUUUGAUCAUAUGCUACAUUAAUGUUUGGUUGAAUGAUGCUAUCCUUUAUAUCCUCAUUUGAUCAUUCACUUGCUUGGUGAUGAGUGCAUGCUUCUAAUCUCUAUCAUUUUGAGCACUCCACCAAGAUGUAUGUGACAUGGAAGAGUAACCCAUGAUCCUAAUCGAUUAUGCAUUUGCAUUCAAAAGUAAAUUUUAAAUAAUGCACAAAUUUAGGGGGAGCUCUUGCUUAUCACAUACUUCUCAAAGCGACGAUGUUUUUCAAUCUUAUUUAUCAUUUGUCGAAGCUUUGAUCUAUAUGUUGUCAUCAAUUACCAAAAAGGGGGAGAUUGAAAGUGCAACUAUCCCUGGGUGGUUUUGGUAAUUCCUAACAACAUAUAACUCAUUGAGCUAAUGCUACUUAAAGAUAAACAUUUCAGGAAAGCUCAAUGAUUGGCAUGGCAUGGAUGAGAAAAGUGGAUCCCUCAAAAUUCGAAGGACAAAGGAUUGGCUCAAGCUCAAGGCUCAGGACUCUACAUCUUUUCAUUUUAAGUGAUCCAAGAUCACAUUGAGUCCAUAGGAAAAGCCAAUACUAUUAAGAGGGGAUGAGGUGUUGCCUAACGACUUGCUUGUUCAAAGUGCUUAGUGAUAUGCUCCGAAAGCCCUCAACUACUUUCUCACAUCCACAUAUGUCCCAAACCAAAAGUCAAACUCGGCCCCACUGAAACUUUCUAUCCGGCGCCACCAAGUUCAGUUGACAUAGCCACUACCAGAAACCCUAGUCUUUUUGGUCUCACCGAUAGGGAUCUCGGUCUCACCGAGAUGGGAUUGUAAUCUCUCUGUUUCCCUUCAUAACGUUUCGGUCAAACCGAGAUGAGCGAUCGGUCCCACCGAGAUUGCAAUGCAAACUCUCUGUUUCCCUUUCGUAACGUUUUGGUCCAACGGAGAUGAGCGAAUCGGUCCCACCGAGUUUGCCUAACCAACUCUCUGUUAGUGCAUUACCAAAAUCGGUCUCACCGAGUUUGUGUAAUCGGUCUCACCGAGAUUACGUUAUGCCCUAACCCUAACAAAACCGGUCCCACUGAGUUGACAUGUCGGUCCCACCGAAAAAUCCUAACGUUCACAUUUUGAACUAAAUCAGUCUCACCGAGUUUGGUGAUUUGUGUGUAACGGUUAGAUUUUGUGUGGAGGCUAUUUAUACCCCUCCACCCACUCUUCAUUCAUGGAGAGAGCGAUCAGAACAUGCCUACACUUCCAACAUACAUUUUCUGAGAGAGAACCACCUACACUUGUGUUGAGGUCAAGAUAUUCCAUUCCAACCACAUAAAUCUUGAUCUCUAGCCUUCCCCAAGUUGCUUUCCACUCAAAUCUUCUUUCUGCCAAAUCCAAUCCUAUGAGAGAGUUGAGUGUUGGGGAGACUAGGAGGAGGACUCCUCCUCCUGGAGCGCCCUACAGGACCGGCCGGCCUCCCCCUUGUUCCUUUAUAUACAGGGGCAGGGGGCACCCUAGAACACACAAGUUGAUCUGUUGAUCUCUCCCAGCCCUGUGCGGUGCCCCCCUCCACCAUAAUCCACCUCGAUUAUAUCGUAGCGGUGCGUAGGCGAAGCCCUGCGUCGGUAGAAUCAUCAUCACCAUCAUCACGCCAUCGUGCUGACAAAACUCUCCCAUGAAGCUAUGCUGGAUCGGAGUUCGUGGGACGUCAUCGAGCUGAACGUGUGCUGAACUCGGAGGUGCCGUGUGUUCGGUACUUGGAUCGGUCGGAUUGUGAAGACGUAUGACUACAUCAACUGCGUUGUGCUAACGCUUCUGCUUUCGGUCUACGAGGGUACGUGGACACACUCUCCCCUCUCGUUGCUAUGCAUCACCAUGAUCUUGUGUGUGCGUAGGAUUUUUUUUGAAAUUACUAUGUUCCCCAACAGUGGCAUCCGAGCCAGGUUUAUGCGUAGAUGUUAUAUGCACGAGUAGAACACAAGUGAGUUGUGGGCGAUACAAGUCAUACUGCUUACCAGCAUGUCAUACUUUGGUUCGGCGGUGUUGUUGGAUGAAGCGCCCCGGACCGACAUUACACGUACGCUUACGCGAGACUGGUUCUACCGACGUGCUUUGCACACAGGUGGCUGGCGGGUGUCAGUUUCUCCAACUUUAGUUGAACCGAGUGUGGCUACGCCCGGUCCUUGAGAAGGUUAAAACAACACCAACUUGACAAACUAUCGUUGUGGUUUUGAUGCGUAGGUAAAAACGGUUCUUGCUCAGCCCGUAGCAGCCACGUAAAACUUGCAAACAACAAAGUAGAGGACGUCUAACUUGUUUUUGCAGGGCAUGUUGUGAUGUGAUAUGGUCAAGACAUGAUAGGAUAUAAAUUGUUGUAUGAGAUGAUCAUGUUUUGUUAAAGUUAUCGGCAAGUGGCAGAAGCCUUAUGGUUGUCUCUUUAUUGCAUAAGACGCAAGCGCCAAACAAUUGCUUUACUUUAUCGCUAUGUGAUAGCAAUAGUUGCAAGACCAAUAGUUGGCGAGACGACCAUGUGACGACACAUUGAUAGAGAUCAAGAUGAUGGAGAUCAUGGUGUCAUGCCGGUGACGAUAGAGAUCAUGACGGUACUUCGGAGAUGGAGAUCAAAGGCGCAAGAUGAUCAUGGCCAUAUCAUGUCACAUAUUUUGAUUCCAUGUGAUGUUUAUACUUUAUGCAUCUUAUUUUGCUUAGUUCGUCGGUAGCAUUAUAAGAUGAUCUCUCACUAAAUUUCAAGAUAUAAGUGUUCUCCCUGAGUAUGCACCGUUGCGACAGUUCUUCGUGCUGAGACACCACGUGAUGAUCGGGUGUGAUAAGCACUACGUUCACAUACAAUGGGUGGAAGCCAGUUUUGCACACGCGAAAUACUCGGGUUAAACUUGACGAGCCUAGCAUAUGCAGAUAUGGCCUCAGAACACUGGAGACCAAAAGGUCGAGCGUGAAUCAUAUAGUAGAUAUGAUCAACAUAGUGAUGUUCACCAUUGAAAACUACUCCAUCUCAUGUGACGAUCAGACAUGGUUUAGCUGAUUUGGAUUAUGUGAUCAUUUAGAUGACUAGAGGGAUGUCUAUCUAAGUGAGAGUUCUUAAGUAAUAUGAUUAAUUGAACUUUAAUUUAUCACGAACUUAGUCCUGAUAGUAUUUGCAUAACUAUGUUGUAGAUCAAUAGCUCGCGAUGUAGCUCCCCGUUUAUUUUUGAUAUGUUCCUAGAGAAAAACUAUGUUGAAAGAUGAUAGUAGCAAUGAUGCGGACUAGGUCCAUGAUCUGAGGAUUAUCCUCAUUGCUACACAGAAGAAUUAUGUCCUUGAUGCACCGCUAGGUGACGGACCUAUUGCAGGAGCAGAUACAGAUGUUAUGAACGUUUGGUAAAUCUCGGUAUGAUGACUACUUAAUAGUUUAGUGCACCAUGCUUUACGGCUUAGAACCGGGACUUCAAAAAUGUUUUGAAUGCCACAGAGCAUAUAAGAUGUUCUAAGAGUUGAAAUUGGUAUUUCAUACUCAUGCCCGUGUCGAGAGGUAGAAGACCUCUGACAGUAAUUUGCCUACAAGAUGGAGGAGUAUAGCUCAAAGCAUGUGCUCAGAUUGUCUGGGUACGACAAUUGCUUGAAUCAAGUGGGAGUUAAUCUUCCAGAUAAGAUAGUAAUCAGCAAAGUUCUCUAGUCACUAUCACCAAGUUACUAGAACUUAGUGAUGAACUAUAAUAUGCAAGGGAUGACGAAAGUAAUUCCCAAGCUCUUCACGAUGCUAAAAUCAGCGAAGGUAGAAAUCAAGAAAUAUCAUCAAGUGUUGAUGGUUAACAAGACCACUAGUUUCAAUAAAAAGGGCAAAGGGAAAGAUAGAGAAACUUCAAAGAAGAAUAGCAAGCAAGUUGCUGCUCCCAUGAAGAAGCUCAAAGCUAGACCCAAGCCUGGAACUGAGUGCUUCUACUGGAAAGGAAAUGGUCACUGGAAGUGGAACUGCCCUAGAUACUUGGCGGAUAAGAAGGAUGGCGAAGUGAACAAAAUAUAUUUGAUAUACAUGUUAUUGAUGUGUACUUUACUAGUAUUUAUAACAACACCUCAAUAUUUGAUACUGGUUCAGUUACUAAGAGUAGUAACUCGAAACGGGAGUUGCAAAAUAAACAGAGACUAGUUAAGGGCGAGGUGAUGAUGUGAGUUGGAAGUGAUUCCAAGGUUGAUAAGAUCACCAUCGCACACUCCCUUUACCUUUGGGAUUAGUGUUGAACCUAAAACAAAUGUUAUUUGGUGUUUGCGUAGAGCAUAAUAUGAUUGGACCAUGUUUAUUGCAAUACAGUUAUUCAUUUAAGUCAAGGAUAAUUGUUAUUCUGUUUACAUGAAUAAAACCUUCCGAGGUCAUACACCCAAGGUGAAUGGUUUAUUGAAUCUCGAUCGUAGUAAUACACAUAUUAAUAAUAUUGAAGCCAAAAGAUGCAAAGUUAAUAAUGACAGUGCAACUUAUAUGUGGCACUGCCAUUUAGGUCAUAUUGGUGUAAAGCGCAUGAAGAAACUCCAUGUUGAUGGGAUUUUGGAAUCACUUUAUUAUGAAUCAUUUGAUGCUUGCGAACCAUGCCUUGUGGGCAAGAUGACUAAAACUCCAUUCUCUGGAACAAUGGAGCAAGCAACUGACUUACUAGAGAUAAUACAUACUGAUGUAUGCAAUCUGAUGAGUGUUGAGGCUCGCAGCGGGUAUCAUUAUUUUCUGAUCUUCACAGAUGAUUUGAGAAGAUAUGGGUAUAUCUACUUGAUGAAACAUAAGUCUGAAACAUUUGAAAAUUUCAAAGAAUUUCAGAGUGAAGUGGAAAAUCAUCAUAACAAGAAAAUAAAGUUUCUGUGAUCUGAUCGUGGAGGAGAAUAUUUGAGUUACGAGUUUGUUCUUCAUUUGAAACAGUGCAGAAUAGUUUCGCAACUCACGCCACCUGGAACACCACAUCGUAAUGGUGUGUCCGAACGUCAUAACCGUACUUUAUUAGAUAUGGUGCAAUCUAUGAUGUCUCUUACCGAUUUAUCACUAUCGUUUUGGGGUUAUGCAUUAGAGACAGCUGCAUUCACGUUAAAUAGGGCACCAUCUAAAUCCGUUGAGAUGGCACCAUAUGAAUUGUGGUUUAGCAAGAAAUCUAAGAUGUCAUUUCUUAAAGUUUGGGGCUAUGAUGCUUAUGUGAAAAAGUUUCAACCUGAUAAGCUCGAACCCAAAUCAGAGAAAUGCGCCUUCAUAGGAUACCCAAAGGAAACUAUUGGGUACACCUUCUAUCACAAAUCUGAAGGCAAGAUAUUCAUUGUUAAGAAUAGCUCCUUUCUAUAGAGGAAGUUUCUCUCGAAAGAAGUGAUUGGGAGGAAUGUAAAACUUGAUGAGGUAAUUGUACCUUCUCCUGAAUUGGAAAGUAGUUCAUCACAGAAAUCAUUUCUAGUGAUUACUACACUAGUUAGUGAGGAAGUUAACGAUGAUGAUCAUGAAACUUCAUAUCAAGUUACUAUUGAACCUUGUAGGUCAACUAGAAUACGUUCCGCACCAGAGUGGUACGGUAAUCCUGUUCUGGAGGUCAUGUUACUUGACCAUGACGAACCUACAAACUAUGAGGUAGUGAUGUUGAGCCCAGAUUCCGCGAAAUGGCUUGAAGCCAUGAAAUCUGAGAUGAGAUCCAUGUAUUAGAACAAAGUAUGCACUUUGAUUGACUUGCCCGUUGAUCGGUGAGCCAUUAAGAAUAAAUGGAUUUUCAAGAGGAAGACGGACACCGAUAGUAGUUUUACUAUCUACAAAGCUCGAAUUGUCACAAAAGGUUUUCGACAAGUUCAAGAUGUUGACUAUGAUGAGAUUUUCUCACUCAUAGCGAUGCUUAAGUCUGUCCGAAUCAUGUUAGAAAUUGCCACAUUUUAUGAAAUCUAGCAAAUGGAUGUCAAAACUGCAUUCCUUAAUGGAUUUUUUAAAGAAGAGUUGUAUAUGAUGCAACAAGAAGGUUUUGUCAAUCCUAAAGGUGCUAAGAAAGUGUGCAAGCUCCAGCGAUCCAUCUAUGGACUGGUGCAAGCAUCUUGGAGUUGGAAUAUAUACUUUGAUAAAGUGAUCAAAGCAUAUGGUUUUAUACAGACUUGCGGUGAAGCCUGUAUUUACAAGAAAGUGAGUGGGAGAACCACAACAUUACUGGUAAGUAUAUGUGAAUGACAUAUUGUUGAUCGGAAAUAAUGUAGAUUUUUCUGGAAAUCAUAAAGGAGUGUUUGAAAAGAGUUUUUCAAAGAAAGACCUCGAUGAAGCUACUUACAUAUUGAGCAUCAAGAUCUAUAGAGAUAGAUCAAGACGCUUGAUAUAUUUUCAAUGAGUACAUACCUUGACAAGAUUUUGAAGUAGUUUAAAAUGGAAAAGUCAAAGAAGGAGUUCUUGCCUGUGUUUUAAGGUGUGAAGUUGAGUAAAGACUCAAAACACGACCACGACAGAAAAUAGAAAGAGAAUGAAAAGUCAUUCCCUAUGCCUCAGUCAUAGGUUCUAUAAAGUAUGCUAUGCUGUGUAUCAGACCUAUUGUGUAACUCACCAUAAGUUUGUCAAGAGGGUACAAUAGUUAUCCACGAGUGGAUCACUAGACAACGGUCAAAAAUAUCCUUAGUGGAAUAAGGAAAUGUUUCUCAGUUAUGGAGAUGACAAAGAGUUCGUCGUAAAGAGUUAUGUCAAUGCAAGCUUUGACACCGAUCUGGAUGACUCUAAGUCUCGAUCUAGAUACAUAUCGAAAGUGGAAGCAAUUAGCUAGAGUAGCUCCGUGCAAAGCAUUGUAGACAUAGAAAAUUUGCAAAAUACAUACGGCUCUGAAUGUGGCAGACCCAUUGACUAAAUUUCUCUCACAAGCAAAACAUGAUCACUCUUUGGGUGUUAAUCACAUAGCGAUGUGAACUAGAUUAUUGACUCUAGUAAACCCUUUGGGUGUUAGUCACAUGGAGAUGUGAACUAAUCACAUAAAGAUGUGAACUAUUUGUGUUAAAUCACAUGACGAUGUGAACUAUAUUAUUGACUCUAGUGCAAGUGGGAGACUGAAGGAAAUAUGCCCUAGAGGCAAUAAUAAAGUUGUUAUUUAUAUUUCCUUAUAUCAUGAUAAAUGUUUAUUAUUCAUGCUAGAAUCGUAUUAACCAGAAACUUAGUACAUGUGUGAAUACAUAGACAAACUGAGUGUCCCUAGUAUGCCUUGAUAACCCACAAGUAUAGGGGAUCGCAACAGUUUUCGAGGGUAGAGUAUUCAACCCAAAUUUAUUGAUUCGACACAAGGGGAGCCAAAGAAUAUUCUCAAGUAUUAGAAGCUGAGUUGUGAAUUAAACCACACCUGGAAACUUAAUAUCUGUAGCAAGGUAUUUAGUAGCAAAGUAAUAUGAUAGUAGUGGUAACGAUAGCAGAAGUAACAGUAGCAAAAGUAAUAUUUUUGGUGUUUUAUAGUGAUGAUAACAGUAGCAACGGAAAAUUAAAUAAGUGAAGAACAAUGUAUGGAAAGCUCGUAGGCAAUGGAUCGGUGAUGGAGAAUUAUGCCGGAUGCGGUUCAUCAUGUAAUAGUCAUAACCUAGGGUGACACAGAACUAGCUCCAGUUCAUCAAUGUAAUGUAGGCAUGUAUUCCGAAUAUAGUCAUACAUGCUUAUGGAAAAGAACUUGCAUGACAUCUUUUGUCCUACCCUACCGUGGCAGUGGGGUCCUAUUGGAAACUAAGGGAUAUUAAGGCCUCCUUUUAAUAGAGUACCGGAACAAAGCAUUAACUCAUAGUGAAUACAUGAACUCCUCAAACUACGGUCAUCACUAGUAAGUAUCCUGAUUAUUGUCACUUCGGGGUUAACGGAUCAUAACACAUAAUAUGUGACUAUAGACUUGCAAGAUAGGAUCAAGAACUCUCAUAUAUUGGUGAAAACAUAAUAGGUUCAGAUCUGAAAUCAUGGCACUCGGGCCCUAGUGACAAGCAUUAAGCAUAGCAAAGUCAUAUCAACAUCAAUCUCAGAACAUAGUGGAUACUAGGGAUCAAACCGUAACAAAACUAACUCGAUUACAUGAUAAAUCUCAUCCAACCCAUCACCGUCCAGCAAGCCUACGAUGGAAUUACUCACACACGGCGGUGAGCAUCAUGAAAUUGGUGAUGGAGGAUGGUUGAUGAUGAUGAUGGCGACGGAUUCCCCUCUCCGGAGCCCCAAACAGACUCCAGAUCAGCCCUCCCGAGAGAGUUUAGGGCUUGGCGGCGGCUCCGUAUUGUAAAACACGAUGAAUCCUUCUCUCUGGUUUUUCCCCCGAAAGUGAAUAUAUGGAGUCAAGGUUGAGGUCGGUGGAGUGUCAGGGGGCCCAUGAGGCAGGGGGCGCGCCCAGGGAGGCAGGCGCGCCCCCACCAUCGUGGACAGGUGGAGGCCCCCCUGACAUGGAUCUUCCUUCCAGUAUUUAUUAUAUAUUCCAAAAUAAUUCUCCGUUGAUUUUCAGGUCAUUCCGAGAACUUUUAUUUCUGCACAAAAAUAACACCAUGGCAAUUCUGAUGAAAACAGCGUCAGUCCGGGUUAGUUCCAUUCAAAUCAUGCAAUUUAGAGUCCAAAACAAGGGCAAAAGUGUUUGGAAAAGUAGAUACAAUGGAGACGUAUCAACUCCCCCAAGAUUAAACCUUUUCUUGUCCUCAAGCAAUUCAAUUGAUAAACUGAAAGUGAUAAAGAAAAACUUUUACAAACUCUGUUUGCUCUUGUUGUUGUAAAUAUGUAAAGCCAACAUUCAAGUUUUCAAUAAAGAUUAUGAACUAACCAUAUUCACAAUAACCUUUAGGUCUCAUGUUUACUCCUAUCAAUGACAUAAUCAACUAGCGAGCAAUAAUAAUAAAUCUCGGAUGACAACACUUUAUCAAAACAAUCAUGAUAUGAUAUAACAAGAUGGUAUCUCGCUAGCCCUUUCUGAGACCGCAAAACAUAAAUGCAGAGCACCAUUAAAGAUCAAGGACUGACUAGACAUUGUAAUUCAUGAUAAAAGAGAUCCAGUCAAGUCAUACUCAAUGUAAACUAACAGUAAUGAAUGCAAAUGAUAGUGGUGCUCUCCAACUGGUGCUUUUUAAUAAGAGGAUGAUGACUCAACAUAAAAGUAAAUGGAUAGGCCCUUCGCAGAGGGAAGCAGGAAUUUGUAGAGGUGCCAGAGCUCGGUUUUGAAAUAUAUAUGAAUAAUAUUUUGAGCGGUACACUUUCAUUGUCAACAUAACAACCAAGAGAUGGCGAUAUCUUCCAUGCUACACACAUUAUAGGCGGUUCCCAAAUAGAAUGGUAAAGUUUACACUCGCCCUCCACCAACAAGCAUCAAUCUAUGGCUUGCUUGAAACAAUGAGUGCCUCCAACUAACAACAGUCCCGGGGGAGUUUUGUUUGCAAUUAUUUUGAUUUGAUUUUCAUAAAGCAUGGGACUGGGCAUCCCGGUGACCAGCCAUUUUCUCGUGAGUGAGGAGCGGAGUCCACUCCUCUUGAGAAUAACCUGCCUAACAUGGAAGAUACGGACAUCCCUAGUUGAUACAUGAGCUAUUCGAGCAUACAAAACAGAAUGUUUAUUUGAAGGUUUAGAGUUUAACACAUACAAAUUUACUUGGAACGGCAGGUAGAUACCGUAUAUAGGUAGGUAUGGUGGACUCAUAUGGAAUAACUUUGGGGUUUAUGGAAUUGGAUGUAAAAGCAGUAUUCCCGCUUAGUACAGGUGAAGGCUAGCAAAAGACUGGGAAGCGACCAGCUAGAGAGCGACAACAAUCAUGAACAUGCAUUAAAUUAAAUCAACACCGAAUGCAAGCAUGAGUAGGAUAUAGUGCACCAUGAACAUAAAUAUCGUAGAGGCUAUGUUGAUUUUGUUUCAACUACAUGCGUGAACAUGUGCCAAGUCAAGCCACUCGAAUCAUUCAAAAGAGGCUACCAUCCUAUCAUACCACAUCACAACCAUUUUAAUAGCAUGUUGGCAUGCAAGGUAAACCAUUAUAAGCUCCUAGCUAAUUAAUCAUGGCAUAAGCAACUAUAAUCUCUAAUUGUCAUUGCAAACAUGUUUAUUCAUAAUAGGCUGAAUCAGGAAUGAUGAAAUAAUCAUAUUUACAAAAACAAGAGAGGUCGAGUUCAUACCAGCUUUUCUUAUCUCAAUAAGUUCAUAAUAUAAUCAUCAUUAUUGCCUUUCACUUGUACGACCGAAUAGUGUGGAUAAUAAUAAUAGUGCACGUGCAUUGGACUAAGCUGGAAUCUGCAAGCAUUCAAUUCAUGAGAGAAGACAAGGUAAUAUGGGCUCUUUGUCAGAUCAACAAUAAUGCAUAUAAGAGCCACUCAACAUUUUAAUCAUGGUCUUCUCCUCUCAACCCCCAAAGAAAAGAAAUAAAACUAUUUACACUGGAAAGCUCCCAACAAGCAUAAGAAGAACGAGAAAUCUUUUUGGGUUUUAUUUUUAGUUACUAUUACUACAAGCAUGGAAAGUAAACUAAUUAAAGGCUACAACUAUUUUUUUUGUUUUUCUUAAGGUUUAUUAAACACACAAGAAGAAAGCAUAAAAAGGAAAAUAAACUAGCAUGGAUGAUACAAUGAAAAAGUAUGGGCACCGACAACUAGCAUGAGUAUGUGAACAUGAAUGUAAUGUCGGUGAGAAAUACGUACUCCCCCAAGCUUAGGAUUUUGGCCUAAGUUGGUCUAUGGCCACGGCUGGCCUGGCGGAUAUCCAUAGUAAUAGUUGGAGUCGUACUAUGAAGAAGCCUCAGAUUGCCACUGGUUGGCAAUCACCUCCGGAUCCCACUGGUAAUCAGACUGUCGUGGAGGAUCAAAUUGUGGUUCCGGCUCUGGCUCUGUAGCUAAUGUAGGGUUCCGGUAGGCGUGAAUGGCCUCCAACGGAACAAGGUACUUGCCCACAGAUAAAUCAAACAAGGAAGGAGCAGGCAAGGUAAUAGUCUCAGGAUGAUUUUUACCAAAUAUUAAUUUGUACUUAAGCUCCGUUUCCCUAUUCUUAACAAUAAAGUCAUGUGCUACCAUACUCUUAUAAUCUAGAUAAACAGGAGGCAACAACUUCUCUUCCUUCUCAUAAUGCCUAAUAGGUAUGUUGAAGUGUGCAGCAAGGCACGAGGUGAAGAUGCCUCCAAGGACGGGGCCCUUAGUACGGUUAAGAUUUAACCUCUUUGCAACAAUAGCACCCAUACUGAAUGUAUCAUCAUGAAAUAAGGCAUGGCACAAAAUAACAAUAUUAGGGGCACUCAGGUUCCCAUAGUUUCCGCACCCAAUUAAGCAUCUACUAGCAAAUAUAGCAAAGUAACAUAGAACAGGAAAGUGUAUGCUAGUAAUUCGUGCGUCGGAAACCUUCCUCGUUUCCCCUACAGCAAUGGUAUCAAUAAACCCAUCCACAUCGUCACGAUGUGGUUCCUCUACGCUACCCUCGAAAGGGAUCAAACAAACCCGACAAAAAUCAUAAAGUGACAUUUCCUUAUGCUCAUCAUAUAAAUAAAAUUCCACCAUAGGUGGUGAGCUCCUAGCAUGGAAAUGAAAGUUUUGCACAAAGAUAUUGGUGAGUAAGAGAUACUAUUCGCGUUGGUCGUGGAGGAAGGCGGUGAGGCCUGCAUUCUCUGCCAAUUCAUAGAAAUCAUCAUAAAUCCCGGCUGCUCUCAAGAAAUUAUCAGAAGGCCAUUCACACGGUUGGACCACCGCGGUGCGAGGGAUAUUAUACUUGGGCCUCUUAUCCUCCUCACUUUGCUUAUCCUUCGAGCUUCAGCUCGAUGCACCCCUAAAAAAUCUCUUCAUCUUUUUCUGAAAAUAUCUGAAAUUUUAGUAACUUCAAAAUAAAAGUGAACCAAACUCAACAAUAUUGAUAGCAACUACUCCCACAAGUGCCUAGAGGCAAUAUCAUGCAUCAAAACUACUUUUGACCAUAUACUUUUGACAUGCAAGCUCAAGAACAGGGUCACCUAAGCAGCAAAAAUAUGCAAUGAAUAAAGCACUAGAACAAACACUAAUUGGACCAUUGGAGGAGUCACAUACUAAGGAACAAUCCCCCAAAGCAGUUUUGUGAGAGGUGCUUUGAGAAAGGAGAUCGAAAAUGGCAGCAAGAUGAGCUUGGACUCGGGUUUGAGCUGGCUAGUGGUGUUUGUGGGAGGAAGAAGGAGUGUGUGGUAGCUGGAAUAAGUGGAGGGGAGCCACCGUGGGUCCACGAGGCAGGGGGCACGCCCUCCACCCUCGUGGCCAGGUGCUUGCUCACCCUGCUGUGUUUUUAGUGCCAGAUAUUCUCAAAUAUUCUAGAAAAAAUCAUAUUUAAUUUUCAGGGCAUUUGGAGAACUUUUAUUUUCGGGGUAUUUUUUAUUGCAUGGAUAAUUCAGGAAACAGACAAAAAUUACUAUUUUUGCUUUAUUUAAUAUAAAUAACAGAAAGUAAAAAGAGGGUACAGAGAGUUGUGUUUUCUAAAUUCAUCCAUCUCAUGCUCAUCAAAAGGAAUCCACUAACAAGGUUGAUCAGGUCUUGUUAACAAACUCAUUUCGAGUAACAUGAAACUGGAGAAAUUUCGAAUAACACUAUGUUACCUCAACGGGGAUAUGCACGUCCCCAAUAAUAAGAAUAUCAUAUUUCUUCUUGACAGUAGGUAGAGGAAAUUCAAAACCUCCAAAAAUAAUCGAUGGAAUUUUUCCAAUAGAGUUUAUACUAUGAACUUGAGGUUGUUUCCUCGGAAAGUGUACCGUAUGCUCAUUGCCAUUAACAUGAAAAGUGGCAUUGCCUUUUUUGCAAUCAAUAACAGCCCCUGCAGUAUUCAAAAAGGGUCUUCCAAGAAUAAUAGUCAUACUAGCGUCAUCGGGAAUAUCAAGAAUAACAAAGUCCGUUAAAAUAGUAACGUUUGCAACCACAACAGACACAUCCUCACAAAUACCGACAGGUAUAGCAGUUGAUUUAUCAGCCAUUUGCAAAGAUAUUUCAGUAGGUGUCAACUUAUUCAAAUCAAGUCUACGAUAUAAAGAGAGAGGCAUAACACUAACACCGGCUCCAAGAUCACAUAAUGCAGUUUUAACAUAGUUUCUUUUAAUGGAGCAUGGUAUAGUUGGUACUCCUAGAUCUCCUAGUUUAUUAGGUAUUCCACCCUUAAAAGUAUAAUUAGCAAGCAUGGUGGAAAUUUCAGCUUCCGAUAUCUUUCUUUUAUUAGUAACAAUUUCUUUCAUAUACUUAGCAUAAGGAUUCAUUCUGAGCAUGUCAGUUAAUCGCAUACGCAAAAAGAUAGGUCUAAUCAUUUCAGCAAAUCGCUCAAAAUCCCCAUCAUCCUUUUUCUUGGAUGGUUUAGGAGGAAAGGGCCUGGGUUUCUGAACCCAUGGCUCUCUUUCUUUACCGUGCUUCCUAGCAACAAAGUCUCUCUUAUGAUAACGUUGAUUCUUUGAUUGUGGGUUAUCAAGAUCAACAGCAGGUUCAAUCUCUACAUCAUUAUUAUUACUAGGUUGAGCAUCAACAUGAACAUCAUCAUUAACAUUAUCACUAGGUUCAUGUUCAUUACCAGAUUCUGUUUCAGCAUCAGAAAUAGAAAUAUCAUUGGGAUUCUCAGGUGUGUCAUCAACAGGUUCACUAGAAGCAUGCAAAGUCCUAUCAUUUUUCUUUUUCUUCCUCUUAGAAGGACUAGGUGCAUCAAUAUUAUUUCUUUGAGAAUCUUGCUCAAUUCUCUUAGGAUGGCCCUCAGGAUACAAAAGUUCCUGAGUCAUUUUACCACCUCUAGUCAUAACUCUAACAUUAUUAUCAUUUUUAUUAUUUAAUUCACUGAGCAAAUCAUUCUGAGCUUUAAGUACUUGUUCUACUUGAGUGGUAACCAUAGAAGCAUGUUUACUAAUAAGUUUUAGUUCACCUUUAACAUUAGCCAUAUAAUCACUCAAGUGUUCAAUCAUAUAAGCAUUGCGUUUUAAUUCUCUACCAAAAUAUGCAUUGAAGUUUUCUUGCUUAACCAUAAAGUUAUCAAACUCAUCUAAGGAUUGGCUAGCAAACUUAGUAAGAGGGAUUUCAGCUUUAUCAUAUCUAUAGAGAGAAUUUAUCCUUACUACCUGUGUCGGGUUAUCAAGACCAUGUGUUUCUUCAAUAGGUGAUGGAUUAAAACCAUGUAUUUCUUCAAUAGGCGGUAAAUUAAGACCAUGUAUUUCUUCAAUAGGAGGUAAAUUCUUAACAUCUUCAGGUUUGAUACCUUUUUCUUUCAUAGAUUUCUUUGCCUCUUGCAUAUCUUCAGGACUGAGAAAUAAAAUACCCCUUUUCUUCGGAGUUAGCUUUGGAGUUAGUUCAGGGAUUGGAUCAGGAAGCGUCCAAUUAUUUUCAUUACUCAACAUAUUAUUCAAUAGAAUUUCAGCUCCAUCUGGUGUUCUUUCCCUGAAAACACAACCAACACAACUAUCCAGGUGGUCUCUGGAAGCAUCGGUUAGUCCAUUACAAAAGAUAUCAAGUGUUGAGGAUAUGACUACCAGGUAUGACCUGCCCAGGAGGGGCCGAAUCAACUACAAAUGGAGGUUUACAUAAAUAAAGCCCAAGAGUAUACAAGAUGAUAGUUUACGAUUAGGCUUAUAAUAGGCCCAAGCCAGGAGGCGGCUCAUGGACCGUAAGUACAAACCGCCAUGUAUGAGUAGACUUGUAAUGCGAGGCAUUUAAGAUACGUCGCCGAGUCGGACACGUUGUAUGAGCCGGCCGGGACUCUGUAGGCCGCAUGGCGUCAACCCGUGUAUAUAAGGGGGCGACCCGGCGGCGGCUUAGGGCAAGAAACAACAGAUCGAGAGCCAAGUCAAGCGGAUUCGCUCCUUGGUCAUCGAAACCUAGCAAUACCAUAACAACUGGACUAGGCCUUUACCUUCACCGCAAGGGGCCGAACCAGUAUAAACCUCUUGUGUCCUUUGUCCCGAUUAACCCCUUUAAGCUUCCUAGUUGCGAUGGCUCCACGACUAAGUCCUUUCACUAGGACAUCAGCCGUGACAAUUCCACGACAGUUGGCGCCCACCGUGGGGCCAGCGCACGGUGGAUUUGAGUUCUUGAAGGGCAGCUUCGAAGGGCUCAACUGAUAUGCUGUGGGCCGGAUGACCAAGAGUCGUCGCGGCAAGCUCUACAUCAAUGACGCAGGCUGGGGCCCGGACGCCGGCUCAAUGGAGUAUGGGUACCGGGUCCCCUUCGGUGGAAUCCAUGUCUUCAUCGGCCGCAUCGGUGAGCCGGGCCCUGAGCCGGACAUCUGCACCGACCUCAUCGAGACGGCUCAGCGGGCGAGACCCGCCCGGGAUCAGCCCAUCGUGAGGCGUGCCUUCGUGGGUUGCAUCCAUGGAGGGGAGCUUUCUGAAGGAUCCGUGGAUGGCGGUGAGAUGGCCAUCUACUCUGACGGUGAGUCGUCCACAGGUGAGACGGAUUCAUUAUAUCAACUACACGAUGGCGGGCUUGGGGGAUGUUUCGAUGGCAGCAGUAUUCCAGACCCCUUUGAGCCAUCGAGCAGAGCGGGGAUCUUCAUGACUGGCAUGCAACCCGCUCAAAAAUCUACAACUGCGGCAACGAUAACCAUCGGGCCAGCAGCGGCCGGGGCAGGAGGCCUCGCGCACCCGCCGACUCAGGUGCUGAUGGAUCUCAUGGACAGAAUUACAACCCUGUUGACUGCCGUGGUUGACCUGGCAGAUCAGGCUUAACACGAUGCAGAGGUGGCAUGAUUACGUGAGGAGUUAGCACAAGCCAAAGAAAACUUAGCGACAGAGGAUGCCAGGAUGGCUGCGGAACGGGCGGCUCUGGAUGCUAGAGCUCAGCAGCUUCAAUCAGAGGCUUUUCGGCUCACCAUGGACCUGAACGCAUCAAACGAGGUCAUGAGGAGAAGGCACUAGAAGACUCAAUCACGUCUGCCUCUGAGUUACGAUCCUAGGAACCUCUUCCACACACCCGGUGCAGGUCCCAGUAACCCGCCGGAGAUGAACCGGAUUGCAACACCCGGGGCUGGGGCUUCGGUUCAGCCACGGACAUUGGAACCCCCUUGUGUGAAUACUACUCCGCCUCAUUAUACACCGACACCACCGGGUCAUUUUUCUAACCCUUUGGAGAAUCUGAUCACUGUAUCGGCAUGUUUGGCGGCUCUCCCAAUGGAGGCCGACUCUCCGACGGCGAUCGAAACGUGAAGGGUCAGAGAACUUCUUCAGACGGCUCUGGCACAGCAGGAGGCAUACUCUUAUAGUCGAGACAGGAUUCAUUCGACCCUCGCCCAAGCCGGAGCCCGAGCUAUAGCAGGCAUAUGGAUUCAGCAGCCGUAUCAAGCAACGCCCAGCGCCGUAACUAGCCGCACAGGCAUGACCCGGCGCGUGAUGGAGAUCUUAACUUGGUUGACCAGGAUAGGAUCCGCCAAGAGGCCGAGCGGGCAGUUCAACAGGCAGCUGAGCAGGUGGCUCACCAAGCUUUUCCGGUUUAUCUGACGACCUCUGUUGAAGCAGGUGUGGCCACAAGGACAAGAGGUGUCCCUUGCUUGGUGCCGGCUCUGCGUAAUGAGCGCUUGCCAAAGGAUUUCAAGGGGCCUUGGAAGGUGCCUAAUUACACAGCCGACUUAUAGCCCGGGGCAUGGAUUUAAAGUUAUGAGAUGGGCAUGUGUAACGCCCUCGAUGCGGCUAUAUCUUCCACGUGUUGAAGCACGACUUAGAGGCAUAACCGCAUUGAAAGCAAUGUCGCAAGUGAGGUAAUCUUCACACAACCCAUGUAAUGCAUAUGGAAAAGGGAUACAUAGUUGGCUUACACUCGCCACGUCACACAAUACAUGAAUAAGCAUUACAUCAACCAGAUACAAUCAAGGUGCAACUACGGAACCAACAUAAAAGAAGACUACCCCAAAAGCUACACAGAUCCCCGAUCGUCCCAACUGGGCUCCACUACUGAUCAACUCGAAUGAAACAACACAAAGGACAAGAUCUUCAUCGAGCUCCUCCUUGAGCUUGGUUGCGUCAUCUGCAUAGUUCAACGGCACCUGCAAGCUAGUUUUGGAAGUAUCUGUGAGUCACGGGGACUCAGCAAUCUCACACCCUCGUGAUCAAGACUAUUUAAGCUUAUACGAAGGGUAAAUGUAUGAGGUGGAGCUGCAGCAAGCGACUAGCAUAUAUGGUGGCUAACAUACGCAAAUGAGAGCGAGAAGAGAAGGCAAAAGCACGGUCGAGAAUCUAUGAUCAAGAAGUGAUCCUAGAACAACCUACGUCAAGCAUAACUCCAACACCGUGUUCACUUCCCGGACUCCGCCGAGAAGAGACCAUCACGGUUACACACGCGGUUGAUGUAUUUUAAUUAAGAUCCACUUCAGGUUUUCUACAACCGGACAUUAACAAAUUCCCAUCUGCCCAUAACCGCGGGCACGGCUUUCGAAAGUUCAAAUCCCUGCAGGGGUGUCCCAACUUAGCCCAUCACAAGCUCUCACGGUCAACGAAGGAUAUUCCUUCUCCCAAGACAAUCCGAUCAGACUCGGCAUCCCGGUUACAAGACAUCCUCGACAAUGGUAAAACAAGUCCAGCAACACCGCCCGAAUGUGCCGACAAAUCCCGAUAGGAGCUGCACAUAUCUCGUUCUCAGGGCACACUCAGAUGAGACAUCCUACGAGUAAAACCAACCCUCAGGUUGCCUCGAGGUGGCCCCGCAGUCUACUCGGUCGAACCAACACUCAGAGGAGCACUGGCCCAGGGGGGUUUAAAUAAAGAUGACCCUUGAGUCUGCAGAACCCAAGGGAAAGAAAAGGCUAGGUGGUGAAUGGUAAAACCAAUGUUGGGCAUUGCUGGAGGAUUUUUAUUCAAGGCGAACUGUCAAGGGGUUCCCAUUAUAACCCAACCGCGUAAGGAACGCAAAAUCCGGGAACAUAACACCGAUAUGACGGAAACUAGGGCGGCAAGAGUGGAACAAAACACCAGGCAUAAGGCAGAGCCUUCCACCCUUUACCAAGUAUAUAGGUGCAUUAAGAUAAACAAGAUAAUAUUGUGACAUCCUAACAAUAAACAAGUUCCAACAAGGAACGAUCUCCAAUCUUCACCUGCAACUAGCAACGCUAUAAGAGGGGCUGAGCAAAGCGGUAACAUAGCCAAACAACGGUUUGCUAGGACAUGGAGGGUUAGAGGUUUGACAUGGAAAUAUGGGAGGCAUGAUAAGCAAGUGGUAGGUAUCGUAGCAUAGGCAUAGCAAAAGAGCGAGCAUCUAGCAAGCAAAGAUAGAAGUGAUUUCGAGGGUAUGGUCAUCUUGGCUGCAAAGUUCUCAGAGUUGUCUUGAUCCUCGUAAGCAUACUCAACAGGCUCCUCAUUCACGAACUCGUCUCCCGGCUCUACCCAAACAAGAACAACAAGCAAAAGGAGCACAAUCAACCACGUGCAAUGCCCAAGCAACAUGAUGCAAACAUGGUAUGAUAUGCGGGAUGCGGUAUGCGAUGCAUAUGCAAGAUUUGGAAAGGAAUGAUUGGACCUGGCCUCAACUUGGAAAACCAAGAGUUCCACUGGAAAGAGGAGAUGAUUUCGGUUGAAAUCGAUAUAAAUAUCACCGGAAUCGGAUGCAUGGUUUGGAAAUGGCAAGCAAAACAAAUAUGGCACCGGUGUGCGAUAAACGGCAAGUAGCCCUCUAAAUGCAUCAAGAUAAAUAUGCUACAUCACUCAAACAUGGCCACAAAAUACAUGGCAGGGAUCCACUCAUGAUGCUUGACAAAAGAUGAACACUGAGCUACGGCUAAUUCACUCAUUAACAGGUUCAAACAAGCAUGGCAAAAGUGCAAAAGAUAACAGGUUUCGGACUUAGAGAAAUAACAACAAAUCAGGAAUUUAUCAUCAGGAAGCAAUGUUUAGAGCAUGAAAACAGCAUGCUACAGGAACAUAUCAUGGCAAAGCAAGGCAUGGCAUGAAGCUACUCAAAGCAUAUAACAAAAGUCCCUUAGUGACCAUGAGCCAAAAGGGAUCAGAGAAUACAAUUGCAAGCAUGUGAACAUAGCAAAAACAUAAACAGAUUCAGACUUAGUGAAAAUCUGGAGCAUGCAAAACAGAUUAACAAGUAGGCAUGUUAACGAGCUCAAUGCACUCACCAUGAGGCAUUGCAUGAUAAUCUAAGCAUACACCCAGCAAGAAAACAUGGCAUAGAAGCUAGACAUGGCAAGAACAACAUCGUAGCAUGCACAGAUCAAUAGCAACAACCUCGGCAAAAUCGCUAAACAUGUUAUCAAUCUGCCAGGAACAUUUUAUAGCAAAAGUAGAGCUCGAUUGACUCAAGCUAGGGUGCUCCAUAAUUUCAAACAAAGGCAUGGAUGGAUAGAGCACACCAAUAUUAACAAAACAUCCUUACUGAUCAUCCUCAAAAGAGUCACGGAUCACUAGGAAACAACAUGAACAUAUGGCCUAAAACAAUAUCAGGACAAGGACUUGGUGAAAUUCUAAGUCCCUGAAAUAAGCAUCAUCGAGUAAGCUACUUUGCAUGCUUGUGCUAGUCACCACAAAGAUCACAAAAAUACAUGGCAUACACCCCUGUAAAGAUGGCAUGGCCUAUAACAAAACACAUGUAGAGCUUAGGGUCAUAGCAUGCACACAUUAAUCAUGGCAAAAAUGACAAAAGGCCAUUUGCUGAAACAGAUCUGACAUAUUCCUCACAUAGCCCUCUUCCAACAGCAUUUCGGGCAUCAAGAUGAGCUCAAAUGAAAAUGAUGCAAUGAGAUGAAAUGAUGUACUUGUCGAGGCGAACAUUUUGAUAUGCUACAUACACGAAUCGGAGCUACGACGACAUAGUUAUGAUGCGAUGAAAAUGCUCAAAAAAUACUGAAAUCUGGGGGGACUUAGUGAAACUUGGACCUCUCGGGAAAAGUCAACCUGGGACGAAGCGGUGCGGGACAGAGGGAUCCCGAUUGGAGGGAGACGUUUGGUUAGAGGACUCGCUGGAUCUCAUCCAGGGGCAAGUCAACGCCGGCGGCGAGCUCCUCCGGCGAGGGCGCGGAUGCUGAGGAGGUCGAGGAGGAGUAGCACGGUCGCCGGGAGCGCGACACCGGCGAAGGCUACGCAGGGUCGGGCGCUCGGGCGGCGCGGCGCGCUCACAGGAGGAAGGCGGCGCAGGGCGGCGGUCAUCGCGCGAGAGGCGGCGCGACGCGAUGGCCAUGGCGCGGUGGUUGGCGGAGCAGCGCAAGGCGGCGGGAGAUCCAACAGCGGGGUGCGGGCGGAGGAGCGUGGGCGGCACGGGAGAGCUGCGGUGGCGACGCCGGCGAACAGGCGGCGGGGUGGAGGCGACGGCAUGGCGGCGAGCNNNNNNNNNNNNNNNNNNNNNNNNNNNNNNNNNNNNNNNNNNNNNNNNNNNNNNNNNNNNNNNNNNNNNNNNNNNNNNNNNNNNNNNNNNNNNNNNNNNNNNNNNNNNNNNNNNNNNNNNNNNNNNNNNNNNNNNNNNNNNNNNNNNNNNNNNNNNNNNNNNNNNNNNNNNNNNNNNNNNNNNNNNNNNNNNNNNNNNNNNNNNNNNNNNNNNNNNNNNNNNNNNNNNNNNNNNNNNNNNNNNNNNNNNNNNNNNNNNNNNNNNNNNNNNNNNNNNNNNNNNNNNNNNNNNNNNNNNNNNNNNNNNNNNNNNNNNNNNNNNNNNNNNNNNNNNNNNNNNNNNNNNNNNNNNNNNNNNNNNNNNNNNNNNNNNNNNNNNNNNNNNNNNNNNNNNNNNNNNNNNNNNNNNNNNNNNNNNNNNNNNNNNNNNNNNNNNNNNNNNNNNNNNNNNNNNNNNNNNNNNNNNNNNNNNNNNNNNNNNNNNNNNNNNNNNNNNNNNNNNNNNNNNNNNNNNNNNNNNNNNNNNNNNNNNNNNNNNNNNNNNNNNNNNNNNNNNNNNNNNNNNNNNNNNNNNNNNNNNNNNNNNNNNNNNNNNNNNNNNNNNNNNNNNNNNNNNNNNNNNNNNNNNNNNNNNNNNNNNNNNNNNNNNNNNNNNNNNNNNNNNNNNNNNNNNNNNNNNNNNNNNNNNNNNNNNNNNNNNNNNNNNNNNNNNNNNNNNNNNNNNNNNNNNNNNNNNNNNNNNNNNNNNNNNNNNNNNNNNNNNNNNNNNNNNNNNNNNNNNNNNNNNNNNNNNNNNNNNNNNNNNNNNNNNNNNNNNNNNNNNNNNNNNNNNNNNNNNNNNNNNNNNNNNNNNNNNNNNNNNNNNNNNNNNNNNNNNNNNNNNNNNNNNNNNNNNNNNNNNNNNNNNNNNNNNNNNNNNNNNNNNNNNNNNNNNNNNNNNNNNNNNNNNNNNNNNNNNNNNNNNNNNNNNNNNNNNNNNNNNNNNNNNNNNNNNNNNNNNNNNNNNNNNNNNNNNNNNNNNNNNNNNNNNNNNNNNNNNNNNNNNNNNNNNNNNNNNNNNNNNNNNNNNNNNNNNNNNNNNNNNNNNNNNNNNNNNNNNNNNNNNNNNNNNNNNNNNNNNNNNNNNNNNNNNNNNNNNNNNNNNNNNNNNNNNNNNNNNNNNNNNNNNNNNNNNNNNNNNNNNNCGCCCGGAGCCCCGCCGGCGAUCACCGGAGGUAGCCCCGCCCCAAUCCGGUUUUCCCUAAAAACCGAUCCGGUUUAUAAAAAAAACGUGUUCGGUUUUAAAAAAAAAAACUAGAUUGGUUUUAUUUUUUCGGUUUUCUUAUUUAACAAACGUUCACCGAACCGUUCGUUUCAAUGAACGCGUUCGUUGGAUUGGUUCUGUUAACGAACGUCCGUUAUUUAAACUGUUCGUCGUUUUUCUUUUAAUCGGAUUUAAUCCGUUAUUUUUUCUGAUUCGAUUUCCGAUCCAAUUUUCAAAUCUGUUUUUUUUCUUGCUCGUUUAUCGGAAUCAGGUGAUUCAAACGCCUGGAGUUUCGUAACGAAACCGCCGUUCCGACUAACCAACUUUCACAGAGUUUUGCUACUGUGAAAUUUUGACCUAAUUUCAGAUUUCUAAACCGAGUCGUUCUCUCUCGAGUUCCGACUUUCGAUGCCUUAUUUGAUUCGAUUCUUUUGCAACCAGGGUUCUUAAGUUGAACUCUCUGGUUAGAUCUUUUAUUCGAGAUUUCCCUGUGCAUUAGAUGAGUACUUAUUGUAUGCUUGUUGUUUGUCUGCGUUAGAUCACCCGGAGUGCGCCGCUUGUUACUUCGAAUCUCUAGGUCACGCGGAUCAUCAGCAAGGCAAGUAACACUUGAUCAUAUCUUUCCUACUACCCAGUUUUAUUGCAUUAGAUGAAACCCUCAAACACUUGCAUUGUUUAGGAUCUAAAUUAAAUUGUGGGAUUGGGAAGUAGAAUUGAGGUAGUACCUAUUACCUGUUACUUAUGAAACUUUGGGAGUUACUUCUACGUUUGCUUAUUAUGCUAUGCUAUGCUAGUAGACGUGGAUUGGGUGAGUGAAUAUCCAUGACAGAUGUGAGAUUGUUAAUUAAUGGUUUAUCUAAGGUGGCAACCUAAACACACAUCUGGGUGGAUUGAGGCACCUGGUUUCCAUCAGGACUUGCCUGUAUUUCUUCGGACCGCCACCCAGGCUCUAAGGGAUCAUAAGAUAUUUCAAACUGGAAACUUCCGUGUGCAGCCACAAGCCAAUUAUGGGCUCUGGCGUAGUUGAUUAAGUUGUGCGAACUCUUACGGGUAGGCUAGCUGAUGUAGGGGAUGUAGGUUGGUACGGUCUACCCACAUGUAAGGUGCUAGCGCUUCUGAAAGACUAUGUCUCGGUCAUCCGUUUCUCAAACACCAUGUAGUGCGAGAAUCAAGCGGAGGCGAUCGAGUCUUGUGGGGAAAAGUGCGCAAACCUCUGCAGAGUGUAUAAACUAAUCAUGAUUAGCCGUGUCCCCGGUUAUGGACGUUUUGAGUAUCUGGUAAUUGAAUAUCAUGUGAAUCUCAACAUGUUACCUCUAAUAAAAGCUAUUGGGUUUUAAUGAGUAUUUUUAAUUGGGAUUGAGGAUGCUGUCAACCAUUCUCAAUGUUUAACAACCACCAUGAUAGUUAAACAAAAUUAUUCCUUUGAUGUAGGGAAAAAUUGGCUUUUCGCAAAACUGUAACCAUAGAGCCUUACCACCAGCCAAAUAUGCAUGUAUUAUAGGCUUAUUGUUUCAUUACUCUCUAUGUGUUACAUUGCCAGCAUAUUCCAUGUGCUGACCCGUUUUCGGGCUGCAACUUUCAUGUUGCAGACUUUUCAGACGACGAGUAAGGAAUUUAGGUCGUGGUUCUAUACUCAGUGAUGCCGAUGGAGUUGAUGGACUCACUUAUCUUCCAAGCCUUCCGCUGUUAUCGUUAUUAGAUGGCCUUAAGCCAUAUUUAUUGUAAUAAGUCCUCUUCUGGACAAUCGAUGUAAUAAGUGUGUGAUUGCUACUCUGCUAUAAAUCCUUCGAAGUACUGUGUGGUGUCAGCAUUACUGAUCCAGGGAUGACACCUGAGCACAGAGACUUGAUCCAUUCGGGUCUGGUCGCUACAGAGAUGGUAUCAGAGCACACGCUGACAGUAGGACACGACCACUAAGUUAAAGCCAUAGAUCACUAUUCUCUCCUCAUUUUCUAACUCCUCAUCUUUUCUACUCUAUUAGGAUGACGAAUGUGAAGAUUAAGUACGCUCAACCGGAUGAAGGCACACCAUUUGGAUUUCACCUGAAGGAAGUCACCAAGUUCCUGAACAUUGGAUUACCAAGUUUCACCGGGACUUUCAACGCCACUCUGCCUGAAGAGGAGCGCUGGAAGAUUCACGCUCACGUUCCAGGAAGGACAUUCGCCCCAAUCACCAAGCCUAUAGAUAGUGUUUUCAAUGCACCAACCUGGAGUCUGGGAAGGAGCAUGGCAUCCCAUAUCACCAUAGGACGCAUUGGAGAAGUUUAUCAAGAAGACCUCAAGGACACUAUCUACCAGAUUUGCGGACACCGAGAUGACAAAUGGGACAUAGUCAGCACCAAGAAGGAUAGAUCCAUUGCAGCUUUUAUCCAGGAGUUAAACCAGCACAUUCGACGCCAGGAGAACCAGAUGUGCAAUGAUAUGUUGGAGUUGCAGAAUGCAAAGGGAAGGAUCAUCGAACUUGAAGGAGAACUAAAGACUACACGCAAGGACUACAUGGACGAGAUCGUAGCUCUAGCAAGAGACAAUAACGAUCUUAAGCAGGAGAUUGAAGAACUCAAGAGGAAGUUAGCAUCCCAGGAGGAAGACGAGUACGUCGCAUGUCCAGACAACUACAUCAUCCUCGACGACACCGAUUCGGAUCCAAGUGAACCCGACUUCGAAGACGAAGCUGGAGCAGAUAUCAUGGAGUCUUCCACCGAUUCAAAUUUCUAGAUGACCACCAGAUAGUAGUAGUAUUCCCCCAUGUAAACACAAUAGAGUCGAGCACUUUUGCAAUAGAUAGACCGUUUGUAAGCCCUUGUUUGAUUGAUUGGAGUGAUUUUGUGUGCAUUUGCUCAUGUGCAUUUGGGUAGUGAUUCCCCUUAGACCUCAUUCUAUUCUAAAUUUCUCUUCUUUUCUAAACCCAUCAGAUGCCUCCGAGACGCGACCCUGGAUUCGUUUUCCCGCCAGAGAUCACCCAACUGAUCCAGCAGCAGAACACCCUGAUUCAAACAUUGGUGCAGAACCAGGGCAACAACAACAACAACCCACCACCACCACCUGCGGAUCAUUUGACUCGUUUCCUUAGACUAAAUCCGCCGGUGUACUCCAGUAGCACCGAGCCGAUUGUAGCAGAUGAUUGGCUCCGCAAGAUAGGAAGGGAGUUGACCACUGCAGGAUGCACAGAUGGAGAAAGAGUGAAGUUUGCAGCACAUCAGCUUGAAGGACCCGCAGCCGCAUGGUGGGAGAAUUUCACAGCCACUUACCCGGUAGACACUGUCACAUGGGAUCAAUUUCAGCAAGCUUUUCGCACUGCCCAUGUCUCAGCAGGAGCCAUGGCCAUGAAGAAGCGUGAGUUUCGCAACUUACGCCAAGGAGGAAGGACUGUUGGCCAGUACGUGGAUGACUUUAGCAAAUUAGCACGUUACGCCCCAGAUGACAUUGCUACAGAUGCGGCUAAACAGGAGAAGUUUCUAGAAGGACUGAAUGAUGAGUUCAGCAUGCCGUUGAUGGUAGCAAGUUUCAAUAACUACCAGGAGUUAGUAGACCGAGCCCUUAUGAUUGAAGGAAAGCAGCAGCAAAUUGAGAACCGCAAGCGAAAGUAUGGACAAGGGAAGUAUAACUCUGGAGCUCAGCAGAAGACUCGUUAUACCCCUAAAUCAGGAAUUCAGUUUCAGCAUACCCAUGGAGGAGGUAAUUCGCACAACCAUAAUGGCACUAAGAAUGGGAACGGGAAUGGAGGAAGCAACGGACAGAAUCGCACCAACCCGUCAACACCAUCCAAGGCAGACUUGAGUCACAUUACUUGCUUUAAGUGCCGCAAGACGGGGCAUUAUGCAAAUGACUGUCCAGAAGGCCAGAAUGGAAAUGGCAAUGGAAGCUCUGGAAAGAAGCCCAACCCUUUCAACAGGGGACAGGUGAACCACAUUGAUGUGGAGGAGAUUGAAGAUCAGCCCGAUGCAGUAAUCGGUAAGUUUUUGGUUAAGUCAUUUACUGCAGUUGUUCUUUUCGAUACUGGUGCAUCACAUUCAUACAUAUCAAGGGAAUUUGUGGAUAAGUAUGAGUUACCGACCCAAGCCCUUAGGUCACCCAUGCUAGUAACCUCACCCGGAGCAGAGUACAUGGCUAGUAAAUGGUGUGAUCGACUGCCACUAAGGAUUGGACACUAUGUUUUCCCCUCAGACCUAAUAGUUCUGGAAUCCCAAGGAUUUGAUGUGAUAUUAGGAAUGGAUUGGUUAUAAAAGUAUGGAGGAAACAUUGAUUGCUCCACUAGAUCAAUUUUGCUCACCACACCAGAAGGAAGAAGGAUUAAGUAUGUAUCACGGCACGAGCCGAGGAGAGCACAAGUAAAUUGCUUAUCAGGAGUGGUGCAGGAAGAAGUACCAGUGGUGAAGGAUUUUCCUGAUGUAUUUCCGGAAGAGUUGCCAGGCAUGCCACCGGAUAGAGACAUUGAGUUUUUGAUUGAACUAUUGCCAGGAACAGGCCCGAUAUCGAAACGACCAUACAGGAUGCCAGCACAAGAUUUGGCAGAAAUCAAGAAGCAGAUUAAGGAGCUAUUGGAUAAAGGUUAUAUACGCCCAAGCUCUUCACCUUGGGGAUCACCCGUUUUGUUAGUGGAGAAGAAGGAUGGAUCUUUGAGAAUGGUUGUUGAUUAUCGUGAAUUGAAUGCGGUAACAAUCAAGAACAAGUACCCACUACCAAUGAUAAAUGAUCUGUUUGAUCGUUUGCAAGGAGCCAAAGUGUUUUCCAAGAUCGACUUGCGAUCAGGGUACCAUCAGUUGAAGAUUCGGGAGCAAGACAUACCCAAGACUGCAUUUACCACGAGAUAUGGACUGUACUAGUAUACCGUUAUGUCAUUUGGACUGACUAACGCACCAGCUUAUUUCAUGAACCUGGUGAACAAAGUGUUUAUGGAGUUUUUGGAUAAGUUCGUCGUGGUGUUCAUAGAUGACAUUUUGAUUUUCUCGAAGAAUGAAGAGGAACACAAGGAACAAUUGCGAUUGGUUUUGGAGAAGCUAAGAGAACAUCAGUUAUACGCCAAGUUCAGCAAAUGUGAGUUUUGGCUAAAGGAAGUUGGAUUUCUCGGACAUGUUAUAUCCGGAGAAGGAAUAGCAGUUGACCCCACAAAGGUUGAGACCGUAACUAAUUGGGAAGCACCAACGACAGUUGGAGAGAUUCGGAGUUUUCUUAGACUCGCAGGAUACUACCGAAGAUUCAUUGAGAAUUUCUCAAGGAUUGCUAAGCCUAUGACUGAAUUGUUGAAGAAGGAUAACAAAUUCAUAUGGACUGAGGACUGUGAGGCAAGUUUUCAGGAGUUGAAGAAAAGAUUGGUUACCUCACCAGUUUUGAUAUUGCCAGAUCAGACUAAGGAUUAUGAGGUGUAUUGCGGCGCUUCACGUCGAGGACUUGGAGCAGUGCUUAUGCAGGAAGGAAGAGUUGUUUCGUAUGCUUCACGACAACUUAAACCCCAUGAGUUGAAUUAUGCCACUCAUGAUUUGGAGUUAGCAGCCGUUGUGCAUGCCCUGAAGACGUGGAGACAUUUUCUCAUUGGAAAUCAUUGUGAAGUAUAUACGGAUCACAAGAGUCUGAAGUACAUCUUCACACAGAAGGAAUUGAAUCUCAGACAAAGGAGAUGGUUAGAACUUAUCAAGGAUUAUGAUAUGAGAUUGCAUUAUCACCCCGGAAAGGCUAAUGUCGUAGCAGACGCAUUGAGCCGUAAAAGCCACGUCAAUACCCUAAUGAUGGGAGGAAUACCCAAUGAGUUAGCCGAGGACCUUCGAGAGCUAUGUUUGGAAAUAGUUCCGAGAGGCUAUGUAGCAACAUUGGAGAUUCAGUCGACACUGAUGGACAAAAUCAGAGAAGCCCAAAAGGCAGAUAAGGAAGUUGCCUCUAUAAAGGAGAAAAUGGGCAAAGGAAAGGCUAAAUGAUUUCGUGAGGAUGAACACGAUACCCUAUGGUUUGAAGACUGUGUUUAUGUGCCCAAUAACCCAGAAAUCAGGAAGUUGAUUUUACAAGAAGCCCAUGAUUCACCCUAUUCGAUUCACCCAGGAAAUACCAAGAUGUAUUUGGAUUUGAAGAACACUUUCUGGUGGACCGGAAUGAAGAAGGAUAUUGCGGAGUAUGUAGCAAUUUGCGAUGUAUGUCAGAGAGUAAAGGCAGAACAUCAGAAGCCAGCAGGAUUGUUACAACCGUUGCCGAUACCCGAAUGGAAGUGGGAUAAACUAGGCAUGGAUUUCAUCACAGGUUUGCCAAAGACCCGUUCAGGAUAUGACUCGAUUUGGGUUAUAGUCGACCGUUUAACAAAGGUAGCUCAUUUCAUUCCAGUCAAGACUACCUAUAGCAGUGCUAAGUUGGCGAAGAUAUACAUGACCAGAAUUGUGUGUUUACACGGAGUUCCGAGGAGCAUCGUAUCAGAUAGAGGAACCCAGUUUACCUCGAAAUUUUGGAACCAGUUGCACGAGACAUUGGGAACUAGAUUGGAAUUCAGUACAACUUUCCACCCACAGACCGAUGGACAGACUGAGAGAGUCAAUCAGAUUUUGGAAGAUAUGCUGAGAGCUUGUGCACUAGAUUAUGGAUCUAGCUGGGAUGAUAAUUUGCCGUAUGCAGAAUUUUCCUACAACAACAGUUACCAAACCAGCUUGAAGAUGGCACCUUUUGAGGCUCUGUAUGGAAGAAGGUGCAGGACACCGUUGUCAUGGGACGAAAUUGGAGAUCGUCAGUUGUUUGGACCAGAUUUGAUUAAGGAGUCUGAACAGAAGGUUAAGUUGAUUCGAGACAGGCUCAAGGUAGCCCAGUCCAGACAGAAGAGCUAUGCCGAUUCAAAGCACAAAGCGAUUGAGUAUGAAGUUGGAGACAGAGUAUAUCUCAGAGUAUCCCCGCUUCGAGGAGUUAAGCGUUUUGGAGUUAAAGGAAAGUUAGCACCCCGUUUCGUUGGACCGUAUAAGAUUUUGCAACGUAUGGGAGAAGUUGCUUAUAAGUUGGAAUUGCCAGAAGGACUGUCAGGAGUUCAUGAUGUAUUCCAUGUUUCUCAGUUGAAGAAAUGUCACCCAGAGAUAGCAGAGGUACCGUUAAGAGACACAGUGCCACUGGAAGCAAUUCAGUUGAAGGAUGACUUGACAUAUGAGGAAAAACCUGUUAAGAUUCUCGAUUAUGCUAGCAGAGUUACCCGCAGCAAAGUUAUCAAGUUUUGUAAAGUUCAGUGGAGCCACCACACUGAGGAUGAAGCCACCUGGGAAAGAGAGGAAGUUUUGCUCAAGGACCACCCUCACCUAUUUUCUAGCCAACCCGAAUCUCGAGGGCGAGAUUCAUCUUAAGGGGGUAGGUUUGUAACAUCCCAAAUUUUCAAUUUGGAAUGUUAUACAUUAGGUCAUCAUGCAUAUCAUAUUUUUCUCGCAUUUUCCGAUCCUAGAAAAUUUCACGCAACUCAAGGACCCUCGGAGAGAGUUGGAAGUUUCAUUAUUUUCAUAUUUGGGAUUUCUCAAAUUUUGAAAAUAGGAUCAUUUGGAUUUAUUUAAUUAUCUUCAUAAAGUUUUUCCUAUAAAAAUUUUAAGAGAGGGAAUAAUAUGACUUUNNNNNNNNNNNNNNNNNNNNNNNNNNNNNNNNNNNNNNNNNNNNNNNNNNNNNNNNNNNNNNNNNNNNNNNNNNNNNNNNNNNNNNNNNNNNNNNNNNNNNNNNNNNNNNNNNNNNNNNNNNNNNNNNNNNNNNNNNNNNNNNNNNNNNNNNNNNNNNNNNNNNNNNNNNNNNNNNNNNNNNNNNNNNNNNNNNNNNNNNNNNNNNNNNNNNNNNNNNNNNNNNNNNNNNNNNNNNNNNNNNNNNNNNNNNNNNNNNNNNNNNNNNNNNNNNNNNNNNNNNNNNNNNNNNNNNNNNNNNNNNNNNNNNNNNNNNNNNNNNNNNNNNNNNNNNNNNNNNNNNNNNNNNNNNNNNNNNNNNNNNNNNNNNNNNNNNNNNNNNNNNNNNNNNNNNNNNNNNNNNNNNNNNNNNNNNNNNNNNNNNNNNNNNNNNNNNNNNNNNNNNNNNNNNNNNNNNNNNNNNNNNNNNNNNNNNNNNNNNNNNNNNNNNNNNNNNNNNNNNNNNNNNNNNNNNNNNNNNNNNNNNNNNNNNNNNNNNNNNNNNNNNNNNNNNNNNNNNNNNNNNNNNNNNNNNNNNNNNNNNNNNNNNNNNNNNNNNNNNNNNNNNNNNNNNNNNNNNNNNNNNNNNNNNNNNNNNNNNNNNNNNNNNNNNNNNNNNNNNNNNNNNNNNNNNNNNNNNNNNNNNNNNNNNNNNNNNNNNNNNNNNNNNNNNNNNNNNNNNNNNNNNNNNNNNNNNNNNNNNNNNNNNNNNNNNNNNNNNNNNNNNNNNNNNNNNNNNNNNNNNNNNNNNNNNNNNNNNNNNNNNNNNNNNNNNNNNNNNNNNNNNNNNNNNNNNNNNNNNNNNUCCCUAAAAACCGAUCCGGUUUAUAAAAAAAAACGUGUUCGGUUUUUUUUUUAAAAAAAAAAACUAGAUUGGUUUUAUUUUUUCGGUUUUCUUAUUUAACAAACGUUCACCGAACCGUUCGUUUCAAUGAACGCGUUCGUUGGAUUGGUUCUGUUAAUGAACGUCCGUUAUUUAAACUAUUCGUCGUUUUUCUUUUAAUCGGAUUUAAUCCGUUAUUUUUUCUGAUUCGAUUUCCGAUCCAAUUUUCAAAUCUGUUUUUUUUCUUGCUCGUUUAUCGGAAUCAGGUGAUUCAAACGCCUGGAGUUUCGUAACGAAACCACCGUUCCGACUAACCAACUUUCACAGAGUUUUGCUACUGUGAAAUUUUGACCUAAUUUCAGAUUUCUAAACCGAGUCGUUCUCUCUCGAGUUCCGACUUUCGAUGCCUUAUUUGAUUCGAUUCUUUUGCAACCAGGGUUCUUAAGUUGAACUCUCUGGUUAGAUCUUUUAUUCGAGAUUUCCCUGUGCAUUAGAUGAGUACUUAUUGUAUGCUUGUUGUUUGUCUGCGUUAGAUCACCCGGAGUGCGCCGCUUGUUACUUCGAAUCUCUAGGUCACGCGGAUCAUCAGCAAGGCAAGUAACACUUGAUCAUAUCUUUCCUACUACCCAGUUUUAUUGCAUUAGAUGAAACCCUCAAACACUUGCAUUGUUUAGGAUCUAAAUUAAAUUGUGGGAUUGGGAAGUAGAAUUGAGGUAGUACCUAUUACCUGUUACUUAUGAAACUUUGGGAGUUACUUCUACGUUUGCUUAUUAUGCUAUGCUAUGCUAGUAGACGUGGAUUGGGUGAGUGAAUAUCCAUGACAGAUGUGAGAUUGUUAAUUAAUGGUUUAUCUAAGGUGGCAACCUAAACACACAUCUGGGUGGAUUGAGGCACCUGGUUUCCAUCAGGACUUGCCUGUAUUUCUUCGGACCGCCACCCAGGCUCUAAGGGAUCAUAAGAUAUUUCAAACUGGAAACUUCCGUGUGCAGCCACAAGCCAAUUAUGGGCUCUGGCGUAGUUGAUUAAGUUGUGCGAACUCUUACGGGUAGGCUAGCUGAUGUAGGGGAUGUAGGUUGGUACGGUCUACCCACACGUAAGGUGCUAGCGCUUCUGAAAGACUAUGUCUCGGCCAUCCGUUUCUCAAACACCAUGUAGUGCGAGAAUCAAGCGGAGGCGAUCGAGUCUUGUGGGGAAAAGUGCGCAAACCUCUGCAGAGUGUAUAAACUAAUCAUGAUUAGCCGUGUCCCCGGUUAUGGACGUUUUGAGUAUCUGGUAAUUGAAUAUCAUGUGAAUCUCAACAUGUUACCUCUAAUAAAAGCUAUUGGGUUUUAAUGAGUAUUUUUAAUUGGGAUUGAGGAUGCUGUCAACCAUUCUCAAUGUUUAACAACCACCAUGAUAGUUAAACAAAAUUAUUCCUUUGAUGUAGGGAAAAAUUGGCUUUUCACAAAACUGUAACCAUAGAGCCUUACCACCAGCCAAAUAUGCAUGUAUUAUAGGCUUAUUGUUUCAUUACUCUCUAUGUGUUACAUUGCCAGCAUAUUCCAUGUGCUGACCCGUUUUCGGGCUGCAACUUUCAUGUUGCAGACUUUUCAGACGACGAGUAAGGAAUUUAGGUCGUGGUUCUAUACUCAGUGAUGCCGAUGGAGUUGAUGGACUCACUUAUCUUCCAAGCCUUCCGCUGUUAUCGUUAUUAGAUGGCCUUAAGCCAUAUUUAUUGUAAUAAGUCCUCUUCUGGACAAUCGAUGUAAUAAGUGUGUGAUUGCUACUCUGCUAUAAAUCCUUCGAAGUACUGUGUGGUGUCAGCAUUACUGAUCCAGGGAUGACACCUGACCACAGAGACUUGAUCCAUUCGGGUCUGGUCGCUACAGCGGUGCGGCUGAUGUGGCGGCUCUCCAUUGGCCGGAAUGAGGUGGCUGUGGAGUGGAUGCGUCCGCCGGCGAGACGGACAUGUCCAGCGGCGCGAUGGAGAAGAAGGUUAGGGUUUCAUCCGCGAAAAUUUCGGGGGAGGCCACAUAUUUAUAGGUAGAGGGAGCUAGGAGAGUCCAAAUGAGGUGCGUUUUUCGGCCACGCGAUCAUGAUCGAACGACCGAGAUGAUGGAGGGGGUUUAGAUGGGUUUUUGGGCCACUUUGGAGGGGUGUUGGGCUGCAACACACACAAGGCCUUUUCGGUCGCUCGGUUAACCGUUGGAGUAUCAAACAAAGUCCAAAUGGCAUGAAACUUGACAGGCGGUCUACCGGUAGUAAACCAAGGCCGCAUGACAAGUCUCGGUCCAAUCCGAAAACGUUUAACACCCGCACAUGAAAAGAGGUAGAAAGGACCGUCGGAGGACAUAGGAGUGCCGGAUUGCAAAACAAACAAUGGGGAAAAUGUUCGGAUGCAUGAGACGAACAUGUAUGCAAAAGAAAUGCACAUGAUGACAUGAUAUGCAAUGCAUGACACACAAGCAAAGAUAUGGCAACAACAGCAAAUAACUGGACGACACCUGGCACAUCGGUCUCGGGGCGUUACACCAUGGAAUUGCUGGAGGUCUGUGACGCAGCAAUGGCUAAGUACUUCACUAUGAUGCUGGAUGGAACGACCCGCACUUGGUUAAAGGGACUGCCACCUAAUUCCAUUGGUUCCUGGGCCGAGUUAAAGGCCCGGUUUAUUCAGAACUUCAAAGAUACAUGCAAGCAGCCCAUGUCGAUUGUGGACUUGACUAAUUGCAAGCAAGAGGAAGGUGAGUCCACGACCCAUUGGGUGCGCCGGGUAAAGGAAAUAAUACAUUCAUCUGAUAAGAUGGAUGUCGGUUCCGCGGUGUUAAUGUUGGAGAAAAAUUGCCGCUUUGAACCUCUGAAACAGAAGCUGGGGCGGCUCAAGCGCGAUUGUAAUGACAUGGGCCAGCUGAUGGCGGCUCUAGUCAAAUACGCCAACUCUGAUAGUAACAAGGAUCCCGCGUAUGAUGAAGAAAAGACAGGGAAGGGAAAGAAGAACGACAAUGCGAUGGGUCUUCAGCAUAACUCGGCAAAUCAAGGAGGCAAGAAUAAGGCCAACGGCAGCUUGGAGUUUGUAGCAAAUGCGCAGGGCAACAAUCAAUGACGUAAGGGGAUGCCACCUCCUCGGUCAGGCGGGUCAUGUCCUACCCUUGAGCAGUUACUAAAUGAACCAUGUCCAAGACACGACACUACUAGAAAAAGGGCUGCUAGUGGCGCAUCUAUUUUCGCUACUAAUGGCGCACUACUGGUGCGCCACUAGCUUCACGCCAUUAGAAUUUUUUUCUAAUGGCGCACCUGUGGUGCGCCAUUAGAAUCUGGUAUUCUAAUGGCGCACCGCGCCAUUAGUAUGGCCCACGGUGUGCCAUUAGUACCAUUAGUAACAAUUUUUUUUUCAAUUUUUUUUUAAUUUUUUUCAAAAAAUUUCAAUUUUUUUCGUUUUUUUCUUAAUCUCAGGUCAAUAUGCUUAAUCUCAAGUCAAAUCGCACUCCAUGGUCAAACUUCCCGAAAGGUCACCCAUCCUCACACUACUCCAGCCCAAGCACACUUAACUUCAAGGUUCUAUCCAACCCCAGCAACAACUCACUUCACAGGCACUUGUUGAUAUAUCUAGCAUAUCAAUCCUAUUAUACCUUGUUGAUGUCUAGGACUUUGUUCAUGUUCAUGACUAUGAUGAAAUUUUGAAAAAUAUUUCAAACUUCCCGGUCAUAUUACGUAUCAUUUUUUGAAAAUAAAAAUUUCAAAACCUUUUUUUUAAUUUUUUUGCCUCUAGAUCUUGAAAGCCCUGUAACUUUUUUUGUGUUAGGUUUUUGGGGAUUUUGAAAAUGUUUAACGGGGUUCCCCCGAUUAAAUUCGGAUGUACCUUUUCGAGUAGAUGAUUUUUCAUAUAUAAAACAUUUUAAUCCGAGUUCGUAUGCAAAAGUUAUGCCAUUUUACAAAUUUCCAGAGAGAUUUUGCAAAUAAAGUCGAAAUUUAUAUUUGUAAAUUUUCCCAACAACUAGACCACAUAUCACAUGGCAAACUUAUUUUCUUUUAUUUUUUUGACAUUUUUAUCAUUUUUUUAUUUUUUUAAACUGAAAAGGCGGUCCAGGGGGGGUGCAUUCGGUGGAAGCCGGGCAAACUAGUAAUGGCGCACCGUGGGGUGGUGCGCCAUUAGUAGUUAAACUAGUAAUGGCGCACCACACCCACAGUGCGCCAUUACUAGUUUUGAAAAAAAAUUGAAUUUUUUUUGAUUUUUUUUAAAAAACUUAGUAAUGGCGCACCAGUGGACAGUGCGCCAUUACNNNNNNNNNNNNNNNNNNNNNNNNNNNNNNNNNNNNNNNNNNNNNNNNNNNNNNNNNNNNNNNNNNNNNNNNNNNNNNNNNNNNNNNNNNNNNNNNNNNNNNNNNNNNNNNNNNNNNNNNNNNNNNNNNNNNNNNNNNNNNNNNNNNNNNNNNNNNNNNNNNNNNNNNNNNNNNNNNNNNNNNNNNNNNNNNNNNNNNNNNNNNNNNNNNNNNNNNNNNNNNNNNNNNNNNNNNNNNNNNNNNNNNNNNNNNNNNNNNNNNNNNNNNNNNNNNNNNUGUCAACUAGUAAUGGCGCACCACACCCACGGUGCGCCAUUAGUAACAAUUUUUUUUUUCAAAACUUCUAAUGGCGCACCGCACACCAGGUGCGCCAUUAGUAAUAUAUUACUAAUGGCGUACCUGUAUGUGGUGCGCCAUUGCUAUAUUCUAAUGGCGCACCACACAUGUGGUGCGCCAUUAGUGACCAUUUCAUCUAUAGCCGUUUUCCUAGUAGUGCGACACCCGAGAGAAGCCGACCAACCAUCUAUGAAAGGACUGUGCGAUCAUGAGGGCUUUCAAGAAUUCUAACAUGUUCGAUGGUAAUCAUGGCCCGGACAGCGGUUCAGGUGGUGGCGGUUUUCAUGGCCCGGGCAGCAGUUCAGGCGCUGGCGGUUCUCAUGGCCAGGGCCCUCAAGGUAAUCAGGGUGGUUAUAAUCAGCAAUCUGGCCAAGGAGGUCAGCAGCAGCAGCAAUCUGGGUAUCAGAGUAACCCAAAGCAGCUGAGUAGUGGGUAGUAUCACGUGUUCACCACCAGUUUAUGCAAAAGGGACCAGAAACUUCAUAAGAGGGCUGUGAACGCUGUUGAACCGGUGGUUCCUCGUUAUUUGAGAUGGUCCGAGCAGCCUAUUCUGUGGAGUAGGGAGGAUCACCCUCCCUGGGUUGACAAUCCGGGUCACCUGGCCUUGGUAGUGGCACCUCAGGUUGGUGGAUAUAAGUUCACAAAAGUACUCAUGGAUGGAGGCAGCAGCAUCAACAUCCUCUAUUAUGAGACCUUUCGUCGCAUGGGGUUAACUGAUAAGAAUCUCAGGAUGUCCAACACUGUUUUUCAUGGAGUAGUGCCCGGUAAGUCAGCGUAUCCAGUGGGUAAGAUUGAGUUGGAAGUAGCCUUUGGAGAUGAGCAUGAUUCCAGGGCGGAGAAGUUAACGUUUGAGGUUGUCAAAAUCAAGAGCCCGUAUCACGCCCUGUUUGGACGAUCGACUUAUGCAAAAUUUGUGGCACGACCGUGUUACGUUUAUCUGCAACUCAAGAUGCCGGGUCAUAAAGGUACUAUGAUAGUACAUGGGAGUCGGAAGAUAACCUUAGAGUGUGAGGAAGGCGAUGCUGCUUACGCAGAAUCUGUUUGUGCAACGGAGGAGUUAAAGUUCCACAAAGACAAUGUUGACCCGACAGACAUGACAUCUUUGAAGAAGCCAACUACCGAACAUGAGCCGGUGCUGAAGUUUAAGUCGGGUGACGAUACCAAGAUGAUUGAUUUUGUUCCUGGCGACUCAUCCAAACAGUUUAUUAUCAGUGCCAAUUUGGAUCCCAAAUAGGAAGGCACGCUCAUCGAGUUCAUCCAUGAGAACUGGGACAUCUUUGCAUGGAAACCCUCUGACAUGCCGGGUGUACCGAGAGAACUCGCUGAGCACACUCUUAAUAUUGAUCCAAAAUUUAAGCCGGUCAGGCAGUUUCUUCGGCGGUUUAAUGAGGAGAGGCGUAAAGCUAUUAGUGAGGAGGUGGCCCGGCUCUUGGCGGCCGGGUUUAUUGUUGAAGUUUUUCACCCAGAGUGGUUGGCUAACCCAGUGCUUGUACUCAAAAAGAAUGACACACCUGGCGCAUGUGUGUGGAUUAUACAGACUUAAACAAAGCUUGUCUGGGUGAUCCUUUCGCUCUCCCCCGUAUUGAUCAAAUCAUUGAUGCUACGGUGGGUUGUGAGCGUUUGAGCUUUUUGAAUGCUUAUUCUGGUUAUCAUUAGUUCAAUAUGGCAGCUAAGGACCAGGAGAAGACGACUUUUAUUACUCCGUUUGGAGCCUUCUGCUAUGUGUCUAUGCCUCUUGGGCUUAAGAGUGCCCAGGCAACUUAUCAACACUGUGUACAAAACUGUCUUCACAAUCAGAUUGGGCGCAAUGUUCAUGCUUAUGUGGACGAUAUAGUGGUGAAAUCCAGAGAGAAGGAGACCUUGAUAGAUGAUCUGAAGGAAACCUUUGAUAAUCUCCGGGUCUACAAGAUGAUGCUUAACCCGGCCAAGUGCGUUUUUGGAGUACCGGCGGGCAACCUUUUGGGUUUUUUGGUUUCUAACAAAGGCACUGAGGCUAACCCGGAGAAAAUCAAGGCGGUCACGUCUUUGGCUAAGCCGGUAUGCAUCAAUGACGUUCAACGAUUGGCGGGUCGUGUUGCAGCUUUAAGCCGAUUCAUAGGCCGGUUAGGUGAGAAGGCUAUGCCGUUAUAUCAAAUGAUGAAGAAGACGGAUGAUUUGUCUGGAGUGAUGCUGCUAACUCUGCCUUUGAAGAUCUGAAAAGACAGCUCGCUGAGCCGCCGGUUCUUGCUGCUCCCGUUGAUAAGGAGCCACUGUUGUUAUAUGUGGCUGCUAACACACGUGAUGUCAGUGUGGCCAUUGUUGUAGAGCGCAAAGAGGCUGGCAAGGAAUAUCCGGUUCAACGGCCGAUUUACUACGUCAGCGAGGUGCUCAUUGAGUCCAAACAAAGAUAUCCACAUUGUCAUAAACUUGUUUAUGGGGUGUUCAUGGCGAGCCGGAAGCUUAAGCAUUACUUUCAGGGUCAUCCUAUCAAUGUGGUUAGCUCUGCUCCUUUAGGAGAUAUUAUUCAAAAUAGAGAAGCCACGGGAUAAGUCGCCAAGUGGGCCAUUGAACUUGGGUCUCAUGGUUUAAAGUAUGUACCACGUACUGCCAUCAAAUCUCAAGCGCUGGUGGACUUCAUUAACGAUUGGAUAGAGUUGCAGAUGCCUGAAGAGAAACCAGACAACACAUAUUGGACGAUUCAUUUUGAUGGGUCCAGGCAAUUGGAAGGCUCAGGGGCUGGAGUUGCUUCAACUUCCCCUCGAGGUGACAAAUUUUGUUAUGUGUUGCGUUGAUGUUUCCUUGUACUAAUAACGCAACUGAGUAUGAGGCCUUACUCCAUGGUCUUCGAAUGGCUAAAGAAAUGAGUUUAAGCCGGGUAAGGUGCCUUGGCGACUCAUAUUUUGUGGCUCGGCAAGUAUCAGGCAAGUGGGACUCCAAGGAUCCUCUCAUGGCGGCUUAUCGCCGUGAGGUUGACGCUGUUGCUGGACACUUCAAGGGUUAUCAAGUGGAGCACAUUGACCGCAGAAAGAACGACGCGGCUGAUGCUUUAAGCUGGUUGGGAUCUCAGCAUAAGCCGGUGCCACCUAACACUUUCUUAGAUGUUCUGCAUAGCCCUUCUGUCAAAUUGCCUACAGAGGAAGACUUGGCUAUUCCGGACCCAGAAGCACAAUUGGUGGCGGCUCUUCACGUCAUCCCAGAUUGGACAGUGCCAUAUUUGGCUUAUAUGACCCGGGGUGAGUUACCUGAUGAUGAGACUUUAGCUAGACAGAUAACCCGGCGGUCUAAAUCAAUGACAAUUUCCAAUGGUGAGUUGUAUCAUCGCAGUGUCACCGGGGCGUUUCAACGCUGUGUCUCUCCUGAGGAAGGUCAAGAAAUUCUUCGUGAGAUCCAUGAAGGAGAUUGUGGCCAUCAUGCCGGUUCAAAGUCUCUUGUGGCCAAAGCCUUCCAUCAUGGCUUUUACUGGCUAACCACUCACACUGAUGCAGAGGAUCUGGUCAGUAGGUGCGAUGGGUGUCAAAAAUUCACAUGACGAGCGCACGUGCCGGCUCAAGAAUUGCGGAUGAUUUCAAUUACUUGGCCGUUUGCAGUCUGGGGACUUGAUAUGGUUGGACCUUUCAAAAGGUCCAAAGAUAAAAAGACACACCUUUUGGUGGCAGUGGACAAAUUCACAAAGUGGGUUGAGGCAGAGCCGGUUAGUAAGUGUGAUGCAACCACGACAGUUCAAUUCAUGAAGAAAGUAAUUUUUCGUUUUGGCUUUCCACACUGCAUUAUAACUGACAAUGUUACUAACCUGUCCCAAGGAGCUAUGGAAGAAUUCUGUCAACGAGAAUAUAUCCGGCUUGAUGUUUCAUCAGUAGCUCACCCCCAAUCCAAUGGUUAAGCUGAAAGAGCCAAUCGGGAAAUCUUGAAAGGUCUAAAACCCCAGCUUAUGGUCCCUUUACAACGGAUGCCAAGUUGUUGGGUGGAAGAGUUACCCUCUGUGAUAUGGAGCAUCAAUACUACCCCUAACAGGUCUACGUGUUAUACACCUUUCUUCAUGGUUUAUGGAGCAGAGGCAGUCUUCCCUAGUGACAUCCGUCAUGACUUGCCCCGAGUGUCGGCUUAAGUUGAAGCUGAUAAUGAACAAGCCCAUCAGGAUGCGCUUGACCUAUUGGAUGAAGAGCGUGACUUAGCAACAGCCCGCUCAGCGAUUUACCAAUAGGACCUGCGUCGUUAUCACAGUCGCCGGGUUAAGUCAAGAACCUUUCAGGAAGGUGACCUAGUGAUCCGGCUCAUCCAGGAUCAGUCUGAUGCGCACAAGUUAACCCCACCCUGGGAAGGACCCUUUGUGGUUAGCAAGAACUUGAAUAACGGGUCAUACUACCUUAUCGAUGUUCGAGAGCACAAAGACUCACGUAAGUCGGAGGAGGAGACCCGCUGGCCGUGGAAUAUUUCUCAUCUUCGGCCUUACUACAGUUGAGCCACCGGCUCUCAUAAUGUACAUACUUUGACUUUGUAUAUAUUAUGAUAAGUAAUAAAGCAGGACCUCUAUCCUUUUUCAUCCUUAAUGAUCACAUUUCUUUGUUAUUUUAAUUAUAAAGCGACCACUUGGGGGCUGAUCGUAUUCGAAUUUAGCUUCACCCUCUUGGUCCGGCUCAUGAUCAUAUUCGAAUCUAGCCGUUAAAACUCAUGAUCACUAGCGGGCUUCCUGUUCAAACAUAGGUCGUAUUCGGACCAAAGAGAACAUAGCUGUCGUUACCCUCUUGAUCAGCGCAAAGCCAAACUCACUAGGGGGCUUCUUGAUCGUAUCCGAAUCAUAGCUUAACCCCUUUUGGGUCCAACUUGGAUCGUAUUCGAAUCAGGGUCGUUAAAAACCUCCCAAGGUCAUUUGGGGGCUUCCUGUUCAAACAUAGGUCGUAUUCGAACCAAAGAGAACAUAGCUGUCGGUACCCUCUUGGUCGGCGUAACGCCAAAGCCACUGGGGGCUACAUGAUCGUAUUCGAAUCCUAGCUUAACCCCUUUGGUUCGGUUUACUGAUCGUAUUCGAAUCAGAAGCCUCCAAAUCUUUCUUGGUGCUUGAUUUACAUUGUUUGAAAGAUAAUCUUUUGUUUUUCUGGUUUUUGUUGUCUAAAAUUUAACUGUAAGUAUGGUUUCAAUUUAAACCGGCUUGGUUCUUUGACAAUGAAUUGCCAGUGUAUAACAGUCAUCAUUCAUAUGGAAGUAUUGGCUUUUAAAGAUUGGGUUAUCACCCUUACUGUUCGGGUUACAUAAGCCGACAGCCCAUAUUCAAGAUCACAGGUAUGAUAUUGUCGUUAAAAUUCAUAACAGACUCAUUUGUGUUUUCUUCAAUCAAAGACUUUCCAGCCUUAUUUAUCCUUACAUCUAGCCUUGAUUAUACAGUUAUGUUAAUUUCCAUAAGUAUGCACUGGGUGUUUUGACCCGUCCAGCGACAAACCGCCAGGACAAUUGUUCAUCUUUUACAUACAGGAACAGAUUCAAACGCUAUAGAUAUGAUAAAGGAUGUAAAGCAUAUAUUGACAUCAUGGAUAAAAGUGUCAUAUGCACGAUGUCAUAGGCAAAACAUGAAGUUUUAAGCUAGCCUAUUACAAGGCGUUUGGAGCCCAAAAGGGUAAUACUGUUUUUCUCCCGAGUAGAUGUUAAACUAAAGCCGGUUCAUUAAAUCUUGGCCGGGUUAUUUCGAUGGUUACGACUCCUCCCUCGCCGGUUCAUCUUCCUCCAUCGUUUGGAAACUGUGCUUGGACCAAUCAAAGACAUGAAGAGCAACGAACUGAGCUUCAUCAUCAAUUAGACCAGACGGGUCAAUUUCUGGGGCAAAGGUGUGUUGGUGAACCGACGGGAUUAGAUCUAUCACUUUAUACGAAGGAGUCGCCAUCUUUUUAUUCUCAGCGUCAAAACCCAGCUGAUAAUCAACAUUGGUCUCGUCGCCAAGGAUGGUAGCAUGAGGACGAAUUACCUUCAUGCAAGCAGCAAAAUAUUCUUGAUCAAACAGAGUCUUGUCUUCCUUAAAGCUGGGAUACCCCUUGGCUACAUCCGCCGGGUCUAGCUCUGGUACCUAGGCUUUGGAGCGGCUUAGAGCAGUUAGGGCUCCGGCUUUUGCACAUGACCGCUCGACUUCUUGGAAUCUGGCGGGUAAGAUAGAUAACUUCUUCAAGACAUCACUCAAGAGGUUUGGUCCUUGGUUAGCUGGGGAAAUAAUGGCAAGCACCCGUUGAGCUCUAGUGUACAGUUGCUCCACUAGGGUGUAAACCGCCUUGAGUUUUAUCAAGCUGUUUUGGCUCAGAUUGUUGUUCCGUGGACCUAUGAGUAUUCCAAAAGGUUAAGCAGGUGGCUUAUAUUUAUGGCAAAAAUAGAGUUUAAGUAAAUAAUACAAUAACUCACCGAAGAUUGCAGAGACCAUCUGAGACACAUGGUUCUUCAAACCGGUGAGUUCAGUGGUAACUUCCUUGAGAGCCGCCUCGGCUGUCUCAGCAUGCUGUAUUAUCAAGGUUUUUUCAUCGGCCCAUGAUUUUUUUCUCUACAUCAAAACUGGUCUUCAGUUUCUGUGCUUCAGAUGGGCUCAACUAGAGUUUGGAUUCAGUAUUCUUUAUCUCAGUCUCUUGAGCCGCCAACCGGGUUUUCGCAUUAGCCAGUUGAGAAUCCAAGUCAGUUGUGGUGGUCUACAGACAUGCACAGGUGUGUCAAAGUUUAUUCCAAUAAAGGUCAUAGUGAUUAAAGUCCCAAGUGCUUUGCAAAGCAACACCACUCGGCACUUGGGGGCUAAUGUCUGCCAAAGCAGUUUUUAAAUGCAGAAAUGACUCUUCUAAAAAAUGUCCCAAGUGUUUUACAAGUAACAACGCUUGGCACUUGGGGGCUAAUGCAUGCUAUUCAGAAAGUUUUUUCCUCUUGAGCCGGACAACAAUAUUAGUUUGGACUGAUUCAAGACAGCUAUGAAGUUAAGUACCGGCUCAUUCAUGAUGAAUUAAGCCGACCCUUGGGGACUAUAGGUGAAAUUAUGUUCAUCAGAUAAAUCCGGUUAAACAUUUUAAACCAGACUUGGGGAAAGUCCAGGUCAGAACAUCAACCUAUAUCACAAGUCUACAGAUCAUUCAAGUUUAUCAUAAUUAGGAGACUUGGGGGGCUGGCAGAGCAGAUAAACUAACGAAAGCCGGAGAACAUACCUCAUAUUUUAGUUGCAGCUGUUUGACCAUCUCAAUUUCAGAGUCAUGGCUAGAAUGCACAUGACUAAGGUAGCCAGAUAGCACAUCACUAAUACUCAGGUGAGCAUAUUGAGAGAUGUCAAACCACACUUUUUGCUUUUCCAAAGCCUCUUGCUUGGCGGAGUGUCUGGCUAGCACAGUUGGAUUGCCCGGUUCAACAAAUCUACUACCAGUGAUUAAAACGUCACUGUCAUAUGUCGCCGACGGGUUAGAUGAGCUUGACGGUUCAACAGUAGAUGGAUUGAGAACAAUAUCAUCAAUAGACGGCUCAGGAGGAUCUAUUUGAACAUUCACAGUCAGGUCUUCUAGUGCUUCAGGUUGUCCCGGGGCAAGAGUCGGUAAUGCCGGUUCAGCGGCUUUUGGUCCUUCAGUCGGCUUAAUCACCCUUGCCUUCUUGGGUUUUGCUUGACCACUAAGAGGAAUUCGAUGAAUCAGUAUAAUGAUACGGACAUAGAGAUGCAAAAGAAGGAUAAUUAUCUUUACCCAGGGGCAGUCUUGAAAGCCGGAAGUUGAGUUUGUGAAGAAUCACCAGAAGAACAAGAGACCUCCUGCAAAAGUGAAAUCAGAAUUAAAAAGAGCAAGGAAAUAGAUUCAUUAAUAAAGGCAAAAGUCAAAGGUGAAAGAAACCUCAUUUUGGCGUUUCUGAGGAGUUUUUGGUAAGUCGGAGGGCAGUUCAUUGUCGUCACUGGUCUGGGUCUGACGGCGGCUCUCAUGUUGCUGUUUUUUCAAAAGAAAAUGAGGAUCCAAAUAAGCCAAAGGGUGUGAAAACCUUACUUUCUGGGUUACCAGUUGAGGUUUCUGUCUUGGCAAAGGUUCUGAGUCGGAGGAAAUAAUUACCUCUUCUUCUACUGCCUAGCUGGCCCCCCGUGUCAUCAUGGCAAUAGUCAGUGUCAAUAAGGUUGUUAAAAAGCAGGCCAAGAGAGUCAAGGGCUACCUCCAACUCAGAGGCGUCAUCCAACUUGAGAAGAUCAGAAGCAGUUGGUUUCUUUUUGGGUUUUAUAGUUGCCUUCUUGGCGGCUAUUGCGGGGGCUCUAGCUUUUUUGGCAGCCUCAUGAUCGUAUUUGGCUUUCCAAAACUCAGAUUUAGCCUAUAGGAAAGUAACAGGUUGAAACUCAAGCAAAAACUUCACUACUUAGGAAAAAGAAGUCAAGGGAAUUUACCUCUGGUGCCGGAUUAAGUUUGCGGAAAGGAUUCAAUCCAACUUUACUGCAGUCUUCAUAUUUACUGUUUACAAGGGUGGUUGACAUUUCAACAAUGUCCUCUUCAGUUAGUUGUAGAGAACUAUGAUGUAGAGGGUCAUCUGGUCCUCAGGCAUAGUUAUACAUCAAGUCAGAUCGGCGACUCAGAGGGAUGAACUGCCAUGCGAUCCAAUAGCGGAUCAAGUCAACUCCAGUUAAGCCGUUUCACAACAAGGCUUGAACCCUUUUGAUGGUUGGGAUGAGCUUCUUACGUUCAGUGACAGAAAGCUUGUCAGGGAGUGAAAACUUAGCGUCAAGACGCUCCGCGCGAUAACCCGGCAUUGUUUUUCCAUCAGCUAGCGAUGUGUCUUUGCAAUAAAACCAAGUUGGGUUCCAAUCCUUGGGAUGGCUUGGUAAGACUACUAAGGGAAAGAAAACAUCCCGUCUGCGCUGAAUCAAAAUUCCACCAAGUUCCAUGCUGGGGCUGUUGGUGUAUUCAUUCUGGCGGUUCAAAUAGAAAUACUCUUUGAAGAGUUCAACAAUAGGUUCUUCUUGAAGAUAAACCUCGCAGAGAACUUGGAAAUUGUAGAUAUUUGAUAUUGAAUUGGGUCCAAGAUCUUGUGGAUGAAGCUUGAAAAAGUGCAGAACAUCUCUGAAGAAUUUUGAGCCGGGCGGUGAAAACCCCCGGUUCAUAUGGUCAGUAAAGACGAUGACUUCACCAUCUUUGGGCUGAGGUCGUUCUUCGGCCGGGUCAGGGGCGCGAUAGGACAUAAUGCUCUUCUCUGGUAAAUAUCCAAUGGUGACAAAAUCCUUCAGAGUGUCAUCAGUAACUAUGGAAGGGACCCAGUUGCAAACUGUCAUCGUCUUUGGCGGCAUGGUGAGAGGACAAGCUAAAAAGGAAGUAAUUACCGGUUUAAGUUAAAUGGUGGAAUUACAGGUUAAAUACAGAUGCGUAAUGGCGGCUUAAAUAAUGGCUAAUGAUAUAUGAAGGAAAAAUGAGCCGGCAUGAUAAGCCGCCAUGACUAAAGGUAUUCAAAAAUUGCCAGCGACAAGAAAUUGGCUAAGUACCGAGAGAAACAAGUUUCACAAGCUGUUGCUACUAUUUUGGAUCAAGAUUGUUCAAAAAAAGGAAAAUAAAUCUAGACCUAAAAAACCAGUACAGAGGAGUUCAUCAGUUCUAAGGAGGCCUUUGUACAAGAAAAGGGGAUCUACUAGCAUCUGAAAUGGAUGUGAAACAACUGCCGCAUGAGUUCCAUACUUCUUUUAGAUCAAAAGAGGAUGCGGUAGAGAAAACUAUGAAGAAUCCAUGAUGAACAAUGAAGAACAUAGAAGAACUUGCAAACCCUAAUGCGGAUCUAAGGUGGGGAAAAGCAAAAACUUAUGGACGCAGAUCUACUACGGAGGGUCGCCGCCGUUCUCUGGACAAGCUCAGGUUGAUUCAGCGGCCAAGGUUGAGGACGACGGCGAGCGCUGCGGCGGCGGCAGAGCUUGAGCGACAGAGGGUUGCGAGAGAAGGAAGAAGAAGAAUGCGGAGGGCCAGCCGUGCCUAUUUAUAAGGAGAUAGGCGAACAGGCAGGUGUGAAAAACGAGGAAGGCGAAUGAAAGUUAUCUAUCUAGAUGGAUGCCUCGAUUUUCGGAAAGACAUUAAGAUAAAGAUCCGUUAAGGUGACGUCGUGGCAGGAUUCUACAAAUUCCAGAGAUGAUGUCAUGGCGGGUUACAAGGUUUUCACGGCAGUGGUAGAUGGAUUUUUUCUAAGUGUUGAAGAUUGACAUGAACAUGGUUCAAAUCAACCUGGGGCCUAAUGUUGGGGAUAUGACUACCAGGUAUGACCCGCCCAGGAGGGGCCGGGUCAACUACAAAUGGCGGUUUACAUAAAUAAAGCCCAUGAGUAUACAAGAUGAAAGUUUACGAUUAGGCUUAUAAUAGGCCCAAGCCAGGAGGCGGCUCAUGGCCCGUAAGUAUAAACUGCCAUGUAUGAGUAGACUUGUAAUGCGAGGCAUAUAAUAUACGUCGUCGAGUUGGACACGUUGUAUGAGCCGGCCGGGACUCUGUAGGCCGCAGGGCGUCAACCCGUGUAUAUAAGGGGACGACCUGGCGGCGGCUUAGGGUAAGAAACAACAGAUCGAGAGCCAAGUCAAGCGGAUUCGCUCCUUGGUCAUCGAAACCUAGCAAUACCAUAACAACUGGACUAGGCCUUUACCUUCACCGCAAGGGGCCGAACUAGUAUAAACCUCUCGUGUCCUUUGUCCCAAUUAACCCCUUUAAGCUUCCUAGUUGCGAUGGCUCCACGACUAAGUACUUUCACUAGGACAUCUGCCGUGACAAUUCCACGACAUCAAGUUUUUCAUUUUCCUUAAGAGGAUGAUCAGGCAAAGCAUUAAGUAAUUAGAGAAGCCUCCCCCAAGCUUGUGGGAGACUCUCUUCUUCAAUUUGCACAAAAUUAUAUAUUUCCCUUAAAGAAACUUGUUUCUUAUGAGCAGGGAAAUAUUUAGCAGAGAAGUAAUAAAUCAUAUCCUGGGGACUACGCACACAACCAAGAUCAAGAGAAUUAAACCAUGUCUUAGCAUCACCCUUUAAUGAGAAUGGAAAUAAUUUAAGGAUAUAAUAAUAGCGAGUUUUCUCAUCAUUAGUGAACAGGGUAGCUAUAUCAGUUAAUUUAGUAAGAUGUGCCACAACAGUAUCAGAUUCAUAGCCAUAGAAAGGAUCAGAUUCAACCAAACUAAUUAUCUCAGGGUCGACAGAGAAUUCAUAAUCCUUAUCAGUAACAAAGACAGGUGAAGUAGCAUACGCAUGAUCAUAUUUCAUUCUAGAAUUCACAGUUUUUUGUUUCAGCUUAGCUAAUAAUUUCUUAAGAUCACUCCUAUCAUUGCAAACAAGAAAAUCUCUAGCAGUUUCUUCAUCCAUAACAUAGCCCUCAGGCAUAACAGGUAAUUCAUAUCUAGGGGGAUGUAGGAUCGAAAAUAUGUCUAGAGGGGGGUGAUUAGACUACUUGACCAAAUAAAAA
rnacentral:lncRNA from 1 species